rnacentral:lncRNA from 1 species
UCUUCAUCUACUUCUCGUCCACUCUUUUACUUUCGUAACCGCAACCAUUUCUCCACCAGAGCUUCCCUCGUUUCUUCUCCAGGUAUCUAUCUAUCUAUUUCUCUCCAUAAAUAUUAAUAUUAAUCGAUUAAUUAAUUAAUUAAUUAAUUAAUGAUGAUUUUGAGGGGUUUGGUAGAUAUUGGUGGUGGCGAAGUAGUGAAGGAUGAAGUUGCGCGUGAACUAGGGUUUGAGAAAGUAUCAGAAGAAUUCAUUCCAGAAUGCAAAUCAAUAGCAGUACUUUUCAAACACGUCAAGACGGGUGCACAAGUCAUCUCUGUUUCAAACAAAGAUGAGAACAAAGUCUUUGGCAUUGUUUUCCGAACUCCUCCCAAUGAUUCCACUGGUAUUCCUCACAUUUUAGAGCACAGUGUUUUGUGUGGUUCAAGAAAAUAUCCUCUCAAAGAACCAUUUGUUGAGUUACUCAAAGGAAGCUUACACACUUUCCUCAAUGCAUUCACUUAUCCUGAUAGGACUUGUUACCCUGUCGCCUCCACCAAUACCAAGGAUUUUUAUAAUUUGGUUGACGUCUAUCUCGAUGCCGUUUUCUUUCCUAAAUGUGUCGAGGAUGUUCAGACUUUUCAACAGGAGGGUUGGCAUUAUGAGCUCAAUCAUCCUUCUGAAGAUAUCACUUAUAAAGGUUGCCUUUUACUAUUCUAUAUAGAUAUAUCUAUCUAUCUAUCCAUGCAUUUCUCACUUACUUAUAAUCAAUGCUUUUCACUCGUUCCAGGUGUCGUGUUUAAUGAGAUGAAAGGUGUCUACUCUCAACCAGAUAAUAUACUUGGACGAGCUUCUCAACAGGUGAGGCCAGUUUAUAUUUCAACUACCAACUGCGACAAUUUUUUUGAACUUAAGCUCCGUGCAUUCAUUAUUGGUGUAUGUAACUUUGUUGCAGGCUCUUUUCCCAGAUAACACAUAUGGCGUUGACAGCGGAGGUGAUCCUCAAGUUAUUCCUAAGUUGACAUUUGAGGAAUUUAAGGUUUGUUUUUAAGAAUAAUGUUGAAAAAUUAUUAUUGCGGUAUAUAGAGAUAACUAAUUUGAACAAGGAGAGAAUUCUGUUUAGUUGUUAGGUCUUAGGUGUUUGUGUCUACUAAGUCUAACAUUGAUUUUUGUAGUAUGCUGGGUAAAAUCGUACAUCUUUGUGGGAACUCAUACCUUGUAACUUUUUUACUUUCGUAUAGUCUACUGCAGAUCUCAAUAAUACCAGCUAUUUCAAAGAUUUAAUUGUUUUAUUUAAGAAAUUUUCAUUUUAAACUCAAUUGACAGGAAUUUCACCGCAAGUAUUACCAUCCCAGCAAUUCACGGAUUUGGUUUUAUGGAGACGAUGAUCCAACUGAGCGCCUCCGCAUCCUGAGUGGUAAUAAGCUUUGGUUUAACUUGCUCUUUAAAUGUUGAGACUGAGAAUUGGGGAGAGCCAUUUGUGAUGCCCUUGUAGAUCCAAGCCCAGACUCCUGAUUAAAAUGAAUGACUAAAGCAUUUGGCCUGACUUGCUGUGCAACCCAUUCUAUGACAAUGAUCGGGAUAUUUUUGGUAGCCAAGUUAGGUCUUUAUAGUUAUAUGCCAAGCCUAGUAGCUCCCUCACGCAUUCUUUCUCAAAUAUAAAUAACAAAGAUAGCUUUAUGGAUAAAUUUCAUGAGUUAUUUUGUAUCUUUUUUUGGGGGAAUAUCUUAAACUACUUCUAGUUGUACUUCCCAUUCUCUAUGAUAUUUCUUUAUAAAGAAUUGAACACAUAGUUUUGACAGUCUAAAAAUGAUUGAUGUUUAUGUUCUUUGAAAUAUUGAGGCAGGUUAAUCAAUUCUACAAGUUAAAAUGUUGUUAUCCUCCCUUUUGAAAUUACAUAAAUACACUUAUUUUAAAGACAGAGAGAGAGUUGGGGUAGUACCUAUAGUAGAAAAGAUGGUGGAAAACAUAAUUAGGUGGUUUGGACAUGUAGAGAGAAGACCUAUAGAUUCUGUAGUAAGGAGAGUCGAUCAAAUGGAGGAUGGUCGGAUCACAAGAGGCUGAGGAAGACCUAGAAAAACUAUCAGAUAAACUAUUAGGAAUGAUUUGGAAAUUAAUGAGCUGGACCGAAAUAUGGUGCAUGAUAGACCAUUAUGGCGUGAUUUCAUCCAUGUAGCUGGCCCCACUUAGUGGGAAAAGGCUUGGUGGUUGUUGUUGUUAUUAUUGUUGUACACUUAUUUUAGAAAUUAGAAUGAGCGCGAAACUGUAUUGAAUUCCCCGUUGAAGAUCCUGAAUUGUCCAACAGCUUCCCCUUAUGUUCCUAGAUUUAUCUUCCUUUGGACUUAUAUUGUUCACUGUUAUUUUUUAUGCUAAUUGAGAAUAUUAUUGGCAUCAUGGCAUGGUUGCUCUGUGUUCCUAAUAAUAUUCAAUAUCUCAGAUCAGUUAUGAAAGAUGAUUUUAGAGUUCUUACCAGCAGUAAUUAACCGCUAACUUAAGUCCUUAUCUGUUUUUCAGAGUAUUUAGACAUGUUUGAUGCAAGCUCAUCCCCAAACGAAUCAAAGAUUGAACCACAGAAACUGUUUUCAAAGCCAGUCAGGAUUGUUGAGACUUACCCUGCAGGGGAAGGGGGUGAUUUGAAGAAGCAUAUGGUUUCCCUUAACUGGUUGCUCUCUGAUAAGCCCUUAGACUUGGAAACUGAGCUAGCACUUAGUUUUCUGAAUCAUCUUCUACUGGGCACUCCUGCUUCGCCACUCAGAAAAAUUUUGCUAGAAAGCAGGCUGGGUGAUGCCAUUGUUGGUGGUGGGUUAGAAGAUGAACUACUCCAGCCUCAAUUUAGCAUUGGAAUGAAGGGUGUUUCUGAAGAUGAUAUUCCUAAGGUAGAAGAACUGAUUGUGAAUACACUUAAAAAGUUGGUUGAAGAAGGUUUUGAUACAGAUGCCAUUGAGGCCUCUAUGAAUACAAUUGAAUUUUCUCUGAGAGAGAACAAUACCGGGUCAUUUCCUCGUGGCUUGUCCCUCAUGCUCCAGUCCAUUGUAAGAAAAGCUAAAGUAUUUUGGUGUGUGGAAUGCCCAUCUUUCGUUGAUUGAUAUUUACAAUUGUUUUGGUUUGCAUAUUUAGGGUAAAUGGAUUUAUGAUAUGAAUCCCCUUGAGCCACUGAAGUAUGAGAAACCUCUCCAAGACCUGAAAUCUAAAAUAGCAAAGGAAGGCUCUAAAUCUGUUUUUUCUCCAUUAAUAGAGAAAUUCAUCUUGAACAACCUUCAUAAAGUAACUGUGCAAAUGCAGGUACUUAUUUAUUUAUUUAUUUAUUUUAGCCUUGAAAAUCUGUGUUUGUGUGAGAAGCCAUUUUGCACUCAAUAUGUUAAUAAUUGAUGAAAACUUUUCGUGGUCAGCCGGACCCGGAGAAAGCUGCUCGUGAAGAAGCAACGGAGAAACAGAUAUUGCAGGAAGUUAAAGCAAGUAUGACAACAGAAGAUCUGGCAGAAUUGACUCGUGCUACUCAAGAGCUUAGGCUUAAGCAGGAGACCCCUGAUCCACCAGAAGCUUUGAAAACUGUUCCUAGUCUUUCUCUUCAAGAUAUCCCUAAAGAACCUAUUCAUGUUCCCACUGAGGUUAUCAUUGCUUUCCCUUGGGUGAGAGUUUUGUGUGUUUCCCUAGUAGCCUGUAGAGAUUCAUGAAUACUUGAAUGUUAAAUGUAGGUUGGGGAUAUCAACGGAGUAAAAGUUUUGCAGCAUGAUCUCUUCACCAAUGAUGUCCUUUACACCGACAUAGUGUUCGACAUGAGUUCAUUGAAGCAAGAGCUUCUUCCUUUGGUGCCACUGUUUUGGUAAUCAUGCAACCUCUAAAAAAUGUUUUACAUUUUGUUUCCAUGGUAUUUAAUAUUACAUGCAUAGUGAAUUUCUAGGAUAGCAAUUUAAUCGGUACUUAUUUUGUUAUUAACCUUCCUUGGUCUGGAAUUUCAUAUUUAAUUUCAAUUCAGCAUAUGCUUUGUCUCCUUAUAGGUUUCUUAUAGGUUUCAUGCUAUUGUGAUUCUUCAAAACAUUAGAUUUUGUCAUAUACUCCCAAAUUCUCUACUGGAUUGUGUUAGUUCUCAACAUGUUUCUUUUUAGUAGUAUUGAUAGCUAUAAUUCUAUUUCUUUUUCCUUUUGGUGUUUUUAUUCUUCUAUUCCUCAUCACGUGUAUAUUGGAAGCACCUUCUUGAUAAAUAAAUGACAAAUCUUCAUGUUCUCACAUCAAGCUCUGUACCUCUCAUGCUAUUUUUUUAUAGCCAAUCAUUGCUGGAGAUGGGCACAAAGGACUUGACUUUUGUCCAACUAAACCAAUUAAUUGGGAGAAAAACUGGAGGAAUUUCAGUUUAUCCAUUCACAUCAUCAGUGCAGGGCAAGGAAGAUCCAUGUAGUCACAUGAUUGUCCGAGGCAAAGCAAUGGCUGGACGUGCUGAAGACCUUUAUGACUUGGUACAUUUUUUCGUCCAAACUUCAAACAUUUCGUCUUUCAACACUCAAUGCUUUGCAUUAUUAGCCUAAAAUAUUCCUUCAUGUAAAUCCUAAUUUCAUACUGCUACCGAACUCCAGGUUAAUUCUGUUCUUCAAGACGUUCAAUUUACAGACCAACAGCGUUUCAAACAAUUUGUUUCCCAGAGUAGAGCAAGAAUGGAGGUAAUUGCCAAAAUGUUUUAUGUAAAGGACCAAAAUUACAAAUGGUCAUUGUGCAGAACCUCCAUGCUGAUUAUCGAUUUUGUGCUUUUUUAUCUUUUGUUAGAACCGGCUAAGAGGCAGUGGUCAUGGAAUUGCAGCUGCAAGGAUGGAUGCAAAACUUAAUGCAGCAGGCUGGAUGUCAGAAAAGAUGGGUGGUCUCAGGUUGGAAUAUUAAGAUACCUUUAUGAUUUAAUAUGAGGACACAUUUGUGUACAUUUUUUUGACAUCCAUUCAUAGUUGUUAGGCGCGCGAGUUAGAUCAUGAGAUUGUACGAUCUCUCACGCCAUCAUCCCUCAACAGUGUUGGAUCGGUGUGAAGAUCACUCUAUACGGCGGCGUGGCUGGCAUGCGGUAAAAAAGCGUGAGAUGCGCUUUUCUCCUGCGCCGGUGAUGAAUGUUUACGACACCGUCUGCCAAUUUUAUUGUUCACAAAGUUGUGGUUUCCGGGUCAAGUUCGCGACAUGUUUCGUUGAAGACGACAACUUAGCAUUAAAAAAUACCCUAAAAAUAUGUUAAUGAUACAUUGCAUUUCACUUUGGCAUUUUACUUUUUUUCGCUUUGCUUUCAUUAUUCUUUCUUUUUACUCUAUUUAAUACACGUAUAACUUGAUUUCCAUUUUUUUAUUCUGUAAUAUGCUUUUUUCUUAAUUUUAAUAUAAAUUUUUUUACCAAAAAUGUUAGUGGUUAAUUGCUAAUGUGAUUUAAAAUAUUCAGGAAAUUAAUAAUAAUAAUUACAAUAAUAACUAUUAAUAAAAUGAAAUAUGUUAUGCUAUAUUAUUUUUUAAUUAAUAAGUAUUAAAUUAUUUAUUUAAAUUUUUUAAACAUGAUAAUUUUUUUUAUAAUUAAUAAGUAUAUUGCGUUUAUUUUUUAAAGUUAUAUAUAUAUAUAUAUAUAUAUAUAUAUAUAUAUAUAUAUAUAUAUAUAUAUAUAUAUAACUUUUUAUGCAUGUGUGGUUGAUUUUAUAUGCACAUAUAUGUGAAUUUAAUAGGAUCUUACUACCUGUGUUAUGAUCCCACGAUUUACGAUUUUCCUAUAAACAAUCUUAGGCCAAAAGAGACUUAUUUAGGUUACAACAAUAUUUUUUUUUUCCUUCUUCUGGGCUUGUCCUCAACGGGGUCGGGCCUCUGGCCUCUUAUACCAAUUGGAUUAUGGCACAUGGCCAAUUGGACUAUUGGAACAUUGUUCAUAUUUAGUGAUCCUAUGUGCGCAUUCUUUAAUUUGCAACAAUUUAUAAUAGUCACAUAAAUAAAAAAUAAUAUAAUUUUUAAUAAUAUUAUUAACUAUUUAUAGUUCUUUUUGCAGAAAAGAAAAGAAACUAUUUAUAGGUUUAAUUAUACAAUAAAACGUUAAUUUUUGCAUUUAUAGAUACGAGGUCAUUAAAUAUUUAAGAAAUAUUAUUUAAUGUAAUAAAAUAAAUUCAUUAAAAACCAUACAUAUAUAUAUAUAUAUAUAUAUAUAUAUAUAUAUAUAUAUAUAUAUAUAUAUACACUAUUUUUACUGUUUAUGAAUUAUAAAUAGAAUAGAAUGUCACGAAUAUCGAGACCUAACUCAUCCAUACAAAACCGGCUUGUACGGUGAGAGUGCCUCCUCUUUAUAAACUUUUCUCAAGAAUCCUAUAUAUCCGAUGUGGGACUAAAUCCCACCCGAGUGUUGGCCGCUAACACCCCCCCUCACGCUUCAGCCCAGCCCAAUGGGCCUGAAGCGUGGAGAUGCAAGCCCAACGAUGGACCCGAUAGGAUCUGAUACCAUGUCAUGAAUAUCGAGACCUAACUCAUCCAUACAAAACCGGCUUGUACGGUGAGGAGUGCCUCCUCUUUAUAAACUCUUCUCAAGAAUCCUAUAUAUCCGAUGUGGGACUAAAUCCCACCCGAGUGUUGGCCACUAACAUAGAAUAGCGGUCAUCCCUCACCAUACUAUCCCGCUAUCUGGGAUUGACAACAUAAAUCCAUUCUUGUCCUAUUAAGGGCUUCCAACAUAAGUCAACUUAUUAUGACACCUAGGUAUGACAUUAUCUGUGUGCAAGGUUUUAAACUUUCACGAUUUUCCUUUUUAAUCUAAUCUUUACAUUUAAUGCUGAAAUGGAAGUCUCAUUCCUGUUGUAUGCAUUGAUUAUAUUUCUGGUAUAUACUUUCUAGCUACCUUGAAUUCCUUCAAACUCUUGAAAAGAGAAUUGAUCAAGAUUGGGCUGAUAUCUCAUCAUCUCUUGAGGAAAUUCGCAAAACUGUAUUUUCCAAGCAAGGGUGCUUGAUAAAUAUCACCGCUGAUGGGAAAAACCUUGCGAAUACGGACAAAUUUGUGAGCAAAUUUGUUGAUAUGCUCCCUACUAGCUCUCCCAUUGCUACACCAAAUAUUUGGAAUGUUAGACUUCCGUUGACAAAUGAAGCUAUUGUGAUUCCUACUCAGGUAAGGAUUAUUUCAGUUGUCAUUCUUGUGAACAUAAUUUUAAAGGAAAUAUCCAAAUUGGUUGUACAUAAUUUUGAAUUAAAUAUCCAAAUUGUCUGGAAAAAACUAAAGAGACCUAUUGGUCUACAAGAAAUGAAAAUUAAUUAUUUGGUACAUAAGAAUGUCAAAUGUAAAAUGGCUUGGGAUCUGGGAGUGUGCUCCUCCUCAAGGUCUCAAGUUCGAUUCUCCCCGGUGCCAUUAUGGGUGGGCUAAUUUAGCUUCUUCAAAAAAAAAAAAAAAAAGAAUGUCAAAUGUAGGUUAAAUUAGUUAUUUUUUGGGGACAUAUUAGUCCUUGAGAAUAAUUCGAUCCUCAUUAGACAUUCUUAAGUAUCAAAUUGGUAUUUUUCAUUUCUCAGAAACAUAUAGGUCUCCAUGCAAUUUGAGUAUUUACCUACAAUUUAGUUUAUGUUAUGCACAUUGUACAGGCAGUGUAGUUACCUAAAGCCCAAAUUUUAUUUUAUUUGCUGCAUUUAAUUUUUUUUCCCUAUCUAUAACUCAUGUUUCUUUCUACAGGUUAAUUAUGUUGGGAAAGCAACCAACGUUUAUGAUGCUGGUUAUAAGCUUAAUGGUAGUGCAUAUGUUAUUUCCAAAUACAUUAGCAAUACAUGGUUGUGGGAUCGUGUACGUGUUAGUGGUGGAGCUUAUGGAGGUUUCUGUGAUUUUGAUACACAUUCAGGUAACUUGUAUUAUACUUGGGUGUAAUUAUUGAGUAGCAUGCUUGCAAUCUUACCUCUUCGCUUCUUUUUCUAGGAGUGUUCUCCUUUUUGUCUUAUCGUGAUCCCAACUUGCUGAAAACACUUGAGGUAUAUGAUGGAACUGGUGACUUCUUAAGAGAAUUGGAAAUAGAUGAUGAUACUCUUACAAAAGCCAUAAUUGGGACCAUUGGGGAUGUAGACUCCUAUCAACUUCCUGACGCCAAAGGUUAUAGUAGGUAUAAAUGAGCUAAUUGAUGCUUUUGUAGUUUGUUUACUAUAGAUUUUUUAGUUCUUCGUUAUUGGUGAUUCCUUUUAAAUUUCCAAAUCAUGCUGCUUUUUUAUUAUAGUUGCAAAUUAUGCUUGCUUUUCAUUUCAUUUUCAGCAUGUUGCGGUAUAUACUGGGUAUCACAGAGGAAGAAAGGCAAAAGAGACGUGGAGAGAUAUUAUCUACGAGGUAAAGAUUCUGAUUGAAUGAUAAUCCAUGCAUGAUACAUGACCUUUUGAUCUACUGCUAUUGAUAAAGCAAAAUAAUGCAGUCUGCUUUCGAUGCCAGUGUUUAUUGCAUGGUAUUGCGCUAUUAACUAUUCUGAAAUGACUUUCUGAUUACAGAAUAAAUUUAAAUUUUCAGUUGAUUUUGUGUAAAGAUUGUAUCAUUUUACAUUUAGUGUUGCUGCUCCUAAAGAUAAUAUGCUUUGCACUGCAGUGAUCUUGAUCUCUGAAACCAUUAGUUGUUCUUAUUCAGUUUAAUUAUUUUAUUCCCUCAGCUUGAAGGACUUCAAACAAUUCAUUGAUGCAAUGGAAGCAGUUAAGGAUAAAGGGGUUGUGGUUGCAGUGGCAUCUCCAGAUGACGUAGAUGCGGCAAACAAGGAGCUUUCCAACUUCUUUCAAAUAAAGAGAGCCCUUUAAAUUUAGGAUAUACUUUGCAAGGAUUGAUAAUUGCAUCUUUUCUUGUUAUAGAUUUUUCCUAUUUUGAGAUAAUUAUUUUGUUCACAAUAAACUGUUAUAGCUGUAGAUUUUUUUAAAUUUUUUAAAGGCGUAGAUUGCAAAAUAGUUUAUUAUCUAGAAAAUUUCUUGUAUAAAUACUCAUUGAAUUUACGUCAAUAAUUAAAAAAUAUUUGAUAUAAGAUUGGCGGCUUCUUUUAUUUUUUUGACGGUUAUAAAAUGUUGGUGGCUUCUUCUAUGCUCUUUCCGUCCUGAAUUGUACGAUGUUUCGACCAUUUUACAUAUUAAGAAAUGUAAUUAAUUUUGUGUGGGAAAGAGAUAUUAUGAGUUGUUUUACAAAAUUCUCCUCGAUAAAUGAUAUGGGAAAGUAAUGAAUACAUCUAGAAAUUUAUAGAUGAUCUUAAAUUUUUAGGGACUAAGGGAGUAUUUUUUUCUCUCUUCAUCGGAGAAAUUUGACAUGGCCAAGUGGGUAGCAUAUAAAAAUAGUGCUCCUCCGUCCCAUGAUACGUAAGUCAUUUGUAAAAAAAUAUUGUCCCGAAAAAAUUGAUCAAUUUCACUUCAAUAUAAUAUUAAUUACUUCCUUAAAAAAAAGCAAUAUUAAUUACUUUUUUUCUUCCAAUUAUUAAUUCUAAUUAAUACUACUUUCAUCACUCCAAAUUUAAUAUAGGGUUAAAUAUGUUUUUAGUCUUUAUAUUUUGCGUUCAUCUGAAGAAUAACCCCUACAUUUCAUUAAAUGUUUUUAAAAUCUUCACAUUUAACCCUAAAAUAUAUUGUCUAUAUAUUGUUCAAAGUCAUGCAAAAUGUAGGGACCAAAAACAUAUUUAACCCUAAAAUAAUUGGGACUCACUAACUACCACAUCAACAUUAUGUUAGAGAAUUAACAACAAAGACUAAUUUUGAUAACGGAGAUAAAAUGUGAGGAUUUUAAAAACAUUUAAUGAAAUGUAGGGACUAUUCUUCAAAGGGACACAAAAUAUAAGGACUAAAAACAUAUUUAACUCUUUAAUAUAUUAUACUUUGCAUUCAUUUUUUUUAUGAAGCUAAAUUAGCCCACUCAAAUUGACACUGGAGGAAUCAAACCUGAGACCUUGAGGAGGAGCACACUCCCAGAUUCCAAGGCAAUACCACUAGGCCAACCGAAGUGGGUUUAUACUUUACAUUCAUGACAAAAAAUAAUGCACUAAUUCGACAAAAAAAAUAAAUAAUGCACUAAUAUUUGUCAAAGACACUCAACUAUUUUUCUAUCUUUCACUUUAUAUAUUUUUCUUAAUAGAUGUGAAAUGAGUAAAAGGCUCAUUUAAAAUGUGAUGGAGGGAGUAAAAGCAACUUAAAUAUGGUAAAAUAACAUCAUUAAUGUUUGCUUUCAAAGUGGUCAUCAUAUCAUCAUUAUUACAAGAUACCUUAACUUUUUUACUAAAGUAAUAUCAACAUUGUCCCCAUGAGCUCAACUCAUUUGGUAAGGGAUAAUGCACAAUAUAUGCAAGGGUCGGAGUUCGAACUCCAGACACCCCAACUAUUCAUUUUUAAGGUGAAUUUCCCACUAGACUAUUUGACAAAAAAAAAUAUCAAACAUUAAUGUUUGCUUGCAAAGUGACCAUCAUAUCAUCUUAUUACAAGGUACCUUAACUUUUUACUAUUAGAGCAAAAUGUAUAUGAAUUACUUAAAUAUGACGUAACGCUGUAGAACCCACUUACUAGUAGCAUAUGAAACUCAAAUUAGAUUCCUUAAAACAAGACCAUUAAAGAUGCUCUAAUGUGUAAGCCAAAUUCAUUCUUUUACAUAGAGUAAAUUAACCACUUGGAACCAAACUCGUGGCUACAUUGUAUGAUUCCUGAAAGAACAAGAAUUGUUGGAUAGAACUUUGCUCCAAUUAUGACGUCAUCAAACUCGUGGCUACAUUGUAUGAUUUCUUAGGAACGAUCAAUUUUGCAGUAAAUGCUCUAUCUCCAGAACUAAAUGCUGAUUUGGAAAGUGAAAACAAGAAGCUGAAGAAAGAACUUCUAGAUCAGAAACUGCUAUUGCUUGAAUACAAAUCCUCCACAGAAGCAAAGUUAGAAGAAGCAAGAAUCAGAGAAGAGAAUUUGGUCAGAAGCAAUGAAGACUUCAAGAGAGAAAUGAAACAACAAGCAGAAGAGACAAACAGGAUGAUGAAACACAUGAUGGAGAUGUUCAAAAAACAAGCCCAACCUUAGUUUCACACCCUUAAGCUUGUUUAUUUAUGUUGUUUGUAUCUGUUUUUGAAUUUAUGUCUAUAUGCUUUCUGAAUUGCUACUUCUGAUCAAUGAUUAUGUGUUUCUUAACAAUGUUUAUGCUACUGAUCUAAUUUUGUUUGUUUCUGAAAUGUUUUCAAUUUAGAAUUUUCUCACUACGUUUUUCUCAUCUCUUUCUUUUUGUCUUUAGUUUUUAUACUUUUUGUGGAUGACAAAAGGGGGAGUAGAUGUAUAGUAUUUAUAGGCUCUGAGUCCCAUUAAUUUAAUUCUAAUCAAGUUAAAUUAAUAUGACUUUCUUAUCUCUUAGUCUAUUAAUGUGAGAUUAUUCUGAGUGUUAUUUCGUUUUUAAUGAUUAAUUUAAUUAACUUGGAUAGAACUAAGGGGGAGCUUACAAACCUCACCUUAAAGUACUAUUGGACUCAGGGGGAGCUUACAAACCUCAUACCCUUAUAGUCAAAUUGUUAAUUAGAUUAACAACAAUUGCACAUUUUAAAUACUAGUGUUUGUCAUCAUCAAAAAGGGGGAGAUUGUUGGAACAAAAUGUGUUUAACAUUACUCUUUGAGAGUUUUGAUGAUAACAAGGUAUUAAAAAUUGUCAAUUGGAUAUGCUAAUAUUUAUUCAAGUGCACAGGACCAUAGACAAAAAUUUGAUAUCUUUAUUAGGUUCUGGAAGAACAAAAGAGAGCUAAGGAAUCAACAAAAAGGAAGCUUGAAGUGUCUGAAGAGAAGUGCUUCUGAAGUCAAAGUGCUACUGAAGUGAUGACGUCAUCAGAAGCAAGAUCACCAGAAGUUGUAGUUCAUCAGGAGAUGCAAAACUUAAAGCUUCAAAAGUUGUUCAAUGGAUUUAAUCUCGUCUAAGAAUUGCAGAAGACCAGAAGAGUGAAGCAACGACUAUUUUGAAAGAAUUUGAAAGCAUUGCAUGCUUGUUCUUUGAAGAGCAUUGACAUAGUACAAUUGUACGAAGUGUACAACCACUAUCUCCACUACUCAGUUUGUGUCUCUGCUACAAGACAAGAAUAACAGCUCUGCCUGCAUCAAUGUUCCUUCAUACUUGGAAUGAAUUUGAAAUUGAUCCUUCAUAGGACAAUAACCAUAUCAGGCAAAAGAUCAUUGGUGAUUGAUCAAAGCUUCAAACGACUCUAUUUUGAUGUGCUGGCAAUUCACAACGUCUCUUUCACACCUCUAUAUAAAGGAGUGAAGACUUAGAGAAUGGAAAGACUCUACAACAAUUUGAAAGCGCCAAAACUCUGCUGAAAUUGUUCUGCAUCAAAAGUUCACUUAGAAUUUCUUAUCAAAGUUCAUAUCUUAGAAAUUCUAGAGUCUUAAGAGUCUGUAUCUGAUUUUUAUUGUGAACACCACUAAUUGUAUAUCAAGUGUUCAACCUUAAACAAUUUUCUUUGUAAUUCUGUUUGAAUUAAGAAGUCUCUUGCAGUUGUGCUUGAGCAUUAGAAGUCUCUUGCUUGUGUUCAGGAGCAUAGGAAAUCUCUUGCAGUUGUGCUUUAGUAAUUUGAAGUCUCUAGCUAAGUUUAGCAGUGAACAGUUGUAAUCAGAUAUUACAUUUUUAGUGAACUCUUCUUGGAAGUGCAAGGGGGACAUGACUACUUCCGGUUUGUGGAAGGAACCUGUAUAAUUGAUUUGUGUCCUUCUUCUCUCUCUCUCUCUCUCUCUGUGUGUUUUAUCCGCUGCAUUUAGUCAUGAACAUCACUUCGGAAGCAGAACUCUAUUUGCUUCUGAUCAGUGUUUUUCAGCUUAGGAGAAAACGAAGAAAAAGCUAACACAAUUCAACCUCAUUCUUGUGUUUUUCUCACCUUCAAACUUGUCUUUAGAAAUUAGGUCUAACAUAAGGUUCUAGGUUUAAUGGUUUGGUUUGUGAUGAAUUUGUCGCCAUGACAGACCAAUAAUCCCAAGGCUCUCUUUUAUUAUUAUUUUCAAUCAUUUAAAAACCCUAACUUUGCAACUUAAACCUUUUCUAAUCAUCAACUAAAGUUAAUUGAAUUAAACAACUCCAUGUUGGAACGAUACUCUCUUUUUACUACUUCGGUAGAACCGUGCACUUGCGGUUUUAUCUCAUCAGCGUGCGUGUGUGUUGAAAAUAAUAUUUAAUAUAGACAUUAUUUACCAAUUGUUAGAAAUUUUAAAAUAACAAAAUAAUAUGGAAAUAAUACAAAUAUAAAUUAAUUUUUUACUUUUACAACCUUUGAUUACACACUACUUGUCUUAAUAUAUUUAAAACAACCAACAUUGAAUUAGAGUGAUAUAAAUAUGAGGCCUAAAAAAAUCAGGGGCCUAAAGCCCUUGCUUUAAUGGCAUCCCCCUUAGGCCGGCCCUAACGAAAAAUAAAGAAGAAGUUUGGUCAACGAUCCACCGACUACCGCCUUGCAUUUAUGAUGAUUUCUUGGGUGUUUUCCUUCAGCAUUGGCAUCAUCUACCUUCUUGCUGCCAUUCAUCUCUACUUAUGUUGGUAUUGCUAGCGUGUCGUGUGUCUCUUUUUUUGAAUAAGUCACUACUACAAAAUACCCCCUUUAAUAGCAUCCAUUUUAGCGUUUAAUAGCGCUUUUGAAGCGCUAAGAAUGACUAUGUUGUAAAAGGUUGAAUGAUGAAGUAAUAACCAUGUUGUAUAAAUGUUGAAUAAUGACGAAUGACAUGCUUGUUUUAUAAUAGAGAAAUGAUAUUUACUUUGUGACAACUUUUGGACAACUUUCUCUCUCAUACUCACAUUAUAUUCUUACUCUCUCUCUUCCUUUUUCUCUCUUCAUUGUUUUUGACCAAUGAAAAGAGAGAAAAGAAAGGUUGUCAAAUAGGUUGUAUCAAAUGGUUGUUCAAAUAUCAUUGCUCUUUAUAAUAACAAGUAAAAUGACGAAAAUAACUAUGUUGUGAAGAUGAUGUUGCUGAUGUAUUUUCUAUGCGUUGUUAGUGAGUCUUCAUGCAUCAUAUCAUAUUGCAUAAAAAUGACGAAUGUUGUAUGUAUGUUCAGUAACAUAAAUCUGACAUAUAAAUGUUGAUUAGGUUGUAUGUAUGCUCAGUAACAAAACUCUGACAUACAAAUGUUGAUUAUAAACUAGUACCAAGAUGCAUAUAGGUUUAGGAACGAAGUGAUUUGCAUAUGUCUCAUGUUAGGUGUAUAUGAUGUGUUUGUGAUAUAUGUGGUAUGUGUUAAUAGUGAUGUAUUGCGAGUCUUACGUGUAUCCUUAAUAUUUUGAAACUGCUGAGUUAUGAUAAUGAUGAUGCGUGAAUGAUGUUGUAUAACCUGAUGAAGAAUUGUGAAUAUUUGUAAAUGAUGAUCAAAUGAUGGUAUGCCUAUUUAAAUAUUAUUCAUGUAUCCCAAUAUAUGUUAAGAUGAAUAUUCUCACCCCUUUGUUGUUGUUGUUAUGUAUUAUGGUGUCUGUACUCUUGGGGUACAUACACUUAGGACGAGGAGCUCUAGUGUGCGGGACGUUUAGAAGGUGGCGACGGAGAUAUACUUUCGUAGCUAUUACCUAAUUGUUUAUGUAGUCGAAUAACCAUGUGCUCUGAUCUGUAACACUAGGGUUGGGGUUAAACGUUGAAUGUAAUUUUAGGAAUCUUAAGUAUUUGAAAUCAAUAUGAUAUUUUCCAUAAUGACGAUGGAGAAUCAGACAUGUUUAUUUUAUGAAAUAUUUUAGAAGUAUUUUCCGCAUUCUGAAAUAUGACGUAUUAUUUAUUAUUCGAAUGAAUGAUUGAUGAGUAUGUGUAACAUCCUUUUUGUUUAAAUUUAUUCGCAUUAUUUAUUAAAUCAACGUUGGGAAUUAGGGUGUUCUCAAGUAAAUUUAUUCUGAAAUAUGACGCCAUUGAUGGAAAGUAAAUGCAGGAUUUUCUCAAUUAAAAGUUGAUUCAGAACAAGAAUUGUUUGUCCCCUUUCUGAAUUGCAAACGUUUUUGCUCAAAACACUUAGACAAAACACACUUCUCACUUCACAACCUACACUUUCUCUUUUCUCACUGAUUCUCUGCGAAGUUAAACGUAACUUCCUCAUUCAAAUCCCUAGAACCCUAAAUCUUCAUACUCAUCAAUGGCGUCUUCAAGUUCUGUUCCAGAAACGUCAACAAGCAUGCAAGAAGCUCGUGCGUAUGAAAUCAAAGGGAGGACCAUGUCCUUAGAGGAAUGGGAUCUUAAGAUUCAAACUGAGAAUCCAGUAGACUUCAUUUCAUUAGCACAUCAUGGUUGUGACAUCAAAAGCUACUACGAAGCACAAGGUCUCAUGGAUUACUUCGAAAUGUUGAAUGGUCCAACAUACAAGACUCUCAUCAUGCAUUUAUGGGUAAGAGCACAUGUCUACGACAGGAAGGCUGCUAAAUUGGAAGAAACAGAGAAAAUCCUGAUUGAUCCUACUAUGGAAGGGAAAUCAAGAGAAGAAAGGGUUUGAAACCAUUUACAUGCACAGAAAUCAGGUCAAGUAUCAUGGGCAUCCCUGUUUUCAUUUCAGAAGAUAUUAUUGUCUUUGUUCUCAGGAGACCUUCAGAAGGUAGUUUCAAAGGUGGUAUAGGUAACAGCAAGACCAGUCCCUGGAAUGGAAUAGUUCAUAAGUCCAUGUUCAACAACAAAAAGAAAGGUGCAUACUGUGAUUUGAGCAUGAAGAAGAAAAUGUUUCUGAAAAUUCAGAAUGAAAACCUCCUACCAAAAGGUGGUGGUAGUGAUCAACUCUCUUUGGAGCACAGAAUAUUUCUUCAUUACUUCAUCACGAAGGAAAAAGCAAAUGUGCCCAAGUACAUCUUCAAGCACAUGAUCAAAGAGCUAAGGGAAAGCCAAGAAAAAAAAGAAUAAUGCACCAAUACUUUACAUUCAUGACAAAGAAUAAUGCACUAAUUCGACAAAAUAAAAAGAGAAUAAUGUACCAAUAUUUGUCAAAGACACUCAAUUAUUUUUCUAUCUUUCACUUUAUAUUUUUUCUUAAUAGAUGUGAAAUGAGUAAAAGACUCAUUUAAAAUGUGAUGGAGGGAGUAAAAGCAACUUAAAUAUGGUAAAAUAUCAUCAUUAAUGUUUGCUUCCAAAGUGGUCAUCAUAUCAUCAUUAUUACAAGAUACCUUAACUUUUUUACUAAAGUAAUAUCAACAUUAAUGUUUGCUUGCAAAGUGACCAUCAUAUCAUCUUAUUACAAGGUACCUUAACUUUUUACUAUUAGAGCAAAAUGUAUAUGAAUUACUUAAAUAUGACGUAACGCUGUAGAACCCACUUACUAGUAGCAUAUGAAACUCAAAAUUAGAUUCCUUAAAACAAGACCAUUAAAGAUGCUCUAAUAUGUAAGCCAAAUUCAUUCUUUUAGAUAGAGCAAAUUAACCACUUGGAACCAAACUCGUGGCUACAUUGUAUGAUUCCUGAAAGAACAAGACAAAUAUUAGUUCUUGUGGGAACAAAAGUGUUUGUCCAUUAUUUGUUGAGGUAAAUUUGGCAUUCUAUAAGAAAAAAUAACAUUAAAUACAGUUAAAUCCCGUAAACAUAUGCUGCCAAUAUUACGUUAAUGUCCAAAAUAGAUGAGUGUGAAAUGUGAAUACAUCAAACCAAACCUGGGCAAAAACAUGAAGUAUAUUACUCAAAAUUUUCAUCAUUGUUAUCAACAUGACAUGCUUUUUUCGGUGAUAUUUGAUUUACAAAAGAGUGGCCAUCAUUGGAAUCAGCAGGGUAUGAUCUUUUCUGUCUUGGUAAUUCAUUUACAAGAGAGUGUUUGGUGUUUAAUGCUACACUCAUGGCGAUAUUUUGAGUAGUUCUUUCACAAUUUUUUGCCUUCUUCGUCCAAGCAAUUGAAGAUGAGCAUGACACAUUGGCAAUAUUGGAUGCAGAACGUAGUGGUACAAGCUUAUUGUGUAAAGCAAAAGGGGUGGAUUUUCGCUCGACGUUGCGGCUUGGCUUGUGUAAUUCCUUUUUCUGUAGCUUGGGACUUAUGGAGUCAACCGGUACCAGCUUUCCAUCAACUUGGUUUGUGAAGACAAAAGUCACCUAAAAAAUAUAGAAAAGCAGUCAAAUUCAAUUAUGCAUUAAAUGGAUUUUUUUUUUUUUUUUUUGUGGUGACAUUAAAUGGAAUAUGGUUAUUGAGUUAAAUUUCUUUUCUAUAAAUAAUUAAAAAAGGGAAGGGGAUGGGAAUGAAAAUGUGUAAAAAAGCUAUGGCACAUACCUCAUCACCGGCUGAAGCCUGAAGGACGCCAUCUGGUACAGAGGUUGGGAAUAAAUGAUGGCCCCAACUACUUAAAUCUUCUUCUAAUGGAUUCCCUACCUGCAAAAAGAAUAUUUACAAGAGUCAAAACCACAGUAAUUUGUUCCUUUUGUGUAUUGUAUAGUUGUAUUCCUUUAAAUCAAGAGGUGAGAUAGAGAGGAAAGCUAGUCGGUGGUAGAUGAAAUGAAGAGUUGAAAAGAAGGCCUCCCACUCAAAAGAGUAAAACAACUUUUAUCCAACAAAAUACAAAAGCAACCUGCUUUUCUGAUGUUUUCAAAUUCCCUAAGCAGCCUGCAAUCUCAGCAAAUCCACCUAUAUCAGCGGUUUCAUCAUCACCACAUUCGCUAUUAAUCAUUGUUGAUAAAACAUCAGUGUCUUGCGGCCCAUCAUUGUUUUGGCAACGACUGCAUCGCAUAUUUUCAUGAAUCUCUGACCUAAAGAAAUAUAAACAAGAAGACAUUAGACUGAGAAAGUGAGAAGUUAUGAUAGACAGUCGUGAAUAUUGGAGUGCCUUACCAGACGAUCAAUAUCAACAUUACUCUUAGAAUUCUUGGUUGGGCCUAACACAACCCCACAAAACCGGCUUGUGAGAUGAGGAUUGUCCCCACUUAUAAACACAUUGUCAGGUCAUCACCUAUCCGAUGUGUGACUCUUAACACACCCCCUCACGACCAGCACUAUUGGGCUUGGUUCGUGGACAUAAAUGGUGGGUGGCCCGAUGGCGGAAACCUGAUAGCAGGUGGCCCAAUGGAUCUUGGAGAGGCUCUGAUACCAUCUUAGAAAUCGUGGUUGGGCCUAACAUCACAAAAUGACCAACUUCUUUUAUGAUUAUCUUAUGUGUUUCCAAGUUGAUUCAAUCAACUACAUUUAUUAACUAAUUGAAUUGGUAGAGGAUACAGACGCAAAAACAGAUAUUCAGAUGUAUAAUCCCAUCUCAUGGAAAUAGUACAUCAGAAAACCAGAUCCCUAUCUGAUGUUAGUUUCAAUAGAAAAUCCUCAUUGUUGUAAAUAAUUAUAAUUAAUGUACUUAGUAGAAAUUAGUCUGUAUUAGUUGUCACAGGCCCGUUUGUCCAGCCCAUGUAAUUAGAAUUGGCUUAUGAACAUAGAUUAGUGUUUGUACUUUGAUUACAACAGCAAUUUUAAAUAACACUCAUAAAUAUUUUCUACAUGGUAUCAUGAGCUCCUGAUUUUGGGGGUCUUGCUUCCGAGUAAAAACCCUAGCCGCCUUCUUUGCAGCCCUUUGGGUUUAGUGCCCAUUUGUUUCCUGUUGGUCAUCUCCCACAGCAACAAGUUCCCAUUCGUUAUCGUUCUUUGCACACAACCAAUGUUCGCUGCCGUCAGUCGCCGCCUUCGCACCGACCACCUUACCCAGAUGUUUUCCGCCCAGAGAUUGGCCGGAACCAAGAAGCGUGUAACCAGGGCCAUCAGACGGGCCCGCAUGUGCCACUUGCCUUAACAUUUUGGGGUCAAAAUCACGAUUAGAGAUUAUUGAAGGAAUAGCUUAGCAUUAGAUAACUAGCAAUCAUUGUGAUCACCAUAGAGGUUCUGCACUAGAUUAUGUUCCCUGUAACUGAGUAACUGUUUAAACUGGCAACUGCCACUCAUCUAGAAAGUGUGACUGACAUGUGUUAGUCACUUAGAGGUCAUUAGUUUAGAAAUAGACUCUUCAUCCUCUUGUAACUGUAACCAAAAAUCAUUCUAACAGAAUUGAAUAGAAAAGUUAGUUACUACAGAGAAGCAAAAGCUCUCUGGAAUCUUCCAUUUACAGUUUUCUAUUAGAGAUACUUUUUUCGUGGGGGUUCUUGAAGCCCAUCAUUUGUUCUCCAUUGUGGUUGUUUCGCUGGUUUGUGGUGGUUACUACGUUGUAGAGCCUCUUCUUGAGAAUAAUAUGCCUAAAAAUCUUUGGAAGAUUAUGUAGAUUUAGAUUUUAGAGCCUCAUGUUGAGAAUAAUAUGGCUAAAAAUCUUAUUUCAACAUCACAAGAACUUUGAUAAUUUGACUGAAAAUUUCAGAUAUCAUAACACCAAUAGUAUAUAUAGAUCAAAAGGAAAAGAAUGCAUUACUUGACGUUCUCAUCAAAAGUAAACAAAUUGCGAAGAUCCUCUGUCGAGAGAAAGUUACUCUGAAACCAUAAACAAAUAUGACAUGAGUAGGAUUGUAAAACAUGGAAUAGGCAGCAUUAACUUGAACACAGGGUAGAAGCAACCUGUGCCGCGACGCUGUCGUUUUGCUCCCUCUGAAUGACCUUUUGCAGCCCUUCUUUUGCCAUCUGACGCUGGUAGACCUACAAAUAACUUAAUAGAUUCAGUGACAGAAAUAGCUCAACGAAGGAACUGAUUCCAAAUCAAUAAAAUGCACAAGAUACAUUUCUGUUCACUCAAUUAUCACAAUAAUGUAAACCUUUUCUUCUAUUGUUCCGGCACUCAAAAAUCUAUAAAUGUAAACUCUUUUCUUCUGUCCAUCCCUCCACACUCUUGCUGCGGCCUGUUAAUGAUUAGGAAUAGUAAACAAAUGAAGAUCAGUUAGAGAGGGGGAGAGAGGGAGGGGGAGAGAGAGAGAGAGAGAGAGAGAGAGAGAGAGAGAGGUGUGUGCAUGUAAAGAUUUCAGCUGUUAAAAUUGAAGCCAGUGUAUUUACUUGUUUAUCAUUUGCUGGAUUCCAAUCAGGAUCAAACAAGACGAGUCGAUUUGCCCCAAUCAAAUUGAGUCCACAACCACCAGCCUUGCUGCUUAAGAGAAAAACAAAUUCGUCCUGCAAAUAAGUCAAAAUGUUUUUAUCAAAGGAUAAUCGCAUGUAUUGGUGAAAUUUCAAGAAGAAACAACAUUAGAAUUUGGAAAUUUCAAGAUGACCCAUUUACCUUAGACGGGUCGUUCAAGCAGUUGACCAACUUUUGCCUUUUACUGAUUGAUGUAGCACCAUCAAGCCUCAAGUGAGGGUACUUUCGUUCCCGGCACAAUUGAGCAAAAAGAUCAAGAGUCUGUUACAUGGGAGAUAGUUUAGUGUAGUAACUAGUAACAGAGAAGUAGAACAGCAAUAAAGGUUAGCAUGAAAGAUUCAAUUGGUCAUGAGGAAGAUUGAGAAAUGUGAAUACACAUCUAAUUGUAAGGUUGUGAGCUUGAACCCAUAUAUACCGGGUAGAAAAAUAUGAUUGUCACUGUUGGGUUUCAAUAUUCUAGUUGCUAUUCCUUUACUUAAAUAUUCCUUUUAGAAGUAUUCAGUGCUAUAACUGAAAAAUAUUACCCAGCAAGCUUUUGUCUGAUAACACCAGAGAACAGUCAAGAGAAAAUAUCACAUAUUUCAUUUUCCCUCAUUGAGUUUAUUUACUUUCUUCUCAAAUAACAUGGUAGUCAAGCUUGGGCUCCAUUGUAGCUGUGAUCAAAUCUGAUUUUUCCUUCAUGAUUAAUUGCAUGUGGUGCCUUGAUUCAACUCAGAAUCUACUGACAGAAAACAUAAAGGAACCCCACAAACCAACUGAAUUUUUAUUGAGAUGAAAAGAGAUUGGGUAUCAUAAAAUUAAAAAGCAUAUGAAUUUGUAAAUCCCAAUAAUUGGAAGAAAAAAAAAGUGUUCUAUUUUGUUCGGCAAGCCAUGCUGACUAACUAAACGAUGAAACCAACGUGCUUUUCAUGUUCAUUAUCAUUAGAACUUAGAGAGCAGAAUUACCUCACCAGUAUAUGUUAAGAAGAAAUAAGGAUGGCUCAAAGAGCCAAGUGUGCCGCUUCUUUUCAAUUGUUAGUUAGACCUUGACGGUUAAAACUAUUAGUAGUAAAGUUGUUGGGUUCGGUUAGCACUCUGUCUGCUGUGGCAGAGGAUGGAAGGAGAAAAUUAGGAGAAAGCAAUUAGCAAAUUGGGUAGUUUUGGGUGGGAGGUCAGGUACUCAAAUCAAUGGAGGUACUGUUGUAAGCCAUUUGCUUCUCUACGCUUUGGACUUCCAUAAUGCAGAGUAAGAGGAGUCAGUUCAAUAAAAUUAUUUUCUUUUCUGUUAAUUCCUAUUGUCGAAAACAGUAUCGCUCACAUUACCAUUAACAGCUUUUCAAUUUGGGGGAGACACUAUCAACACUUAAUGCGAUCUAGAUUCACCCAGGUGGAAUGGAAUAAUAGAUGUGAUUUAUAUCUGUUAAGUUAGAUUAAAAAAAAUAAAAAAUAAAAAGGCAUAUGUGUUGUAUGAACAGUAAUCCUAGCAAUAUACAAUAAACUUGCUAAGGUAAGUUCUAACCAGCCUGAUAUGGAUACAGCACAUUGACAAAUAUAAGUGAUAUAAGGGUGUGAUUGCUGGUUCAUCAUCAAUUAAUAUCCAGAGGAUAACAGGAGAAGGGACUCAAGUGCCAUAAGAGGAUGAAUGAAGUUCUAGUAAAAUCAUAUUAUCAAGCAAUAUUGUAGGCAGAAACAAUGUAUGCACAACGCCACAUGAGUUAACCUCAAAACUACAUCCAAUUGUUUAUUUCACAAAUCAACAACAACCAAGUCUUCAUUAUUUCAUUAAAAGUGAUCGGCUAUAUGGAACAAACUUCUAUGGUAACUCAUAUUUCUAGCCAAACUAUUGACGUCUAAAUUUUUCUUAAUAGUUUCUCCUAUAAUUUUAAUUUUUUUAUCUCAAAAAAUAUAUGAAUCAUCUCACAUGAGUACAGAUCUCAAACCAUUCUAAACGUUUAAACGCAUAACCUUUCUUGUUACCAUAUACCUGAGUAUAGUUUGAGACAAGGACAAUGCGAUCAUUUGUUCUCUGGCGUAAUUGAUGAAGUAACCUUGCCAAGACUUGCAUUUUACCGGAAAGCUCAACCCAGCCUCCAUCCCCUCCUGUCCAUGAUCCAGACCUACAAAGAAUAUCCCCCUUAGAAUGACUAAAUUGUGGCACCAAAUGUAUAAGUCUAACUGAAACAAAAACUAAAUAUCUACCUUCCAGAUAACAUAUUUGGAGGGAAGAAUCGGAUGCAGUCCUCAAAACCUGAAGUUCCUGGGCUCCCACUUCGUAUGGUAUCAUAUAUGAGCUGCAAGACAUUAUUAUUGUGAGGAUGAAAGUGUGUUCACAACCAACCAGAAAUGAAAGGAGAAGAUGGUUUCCUUCACAAUUAUUUUUAUUUAACAAAGGAUCUUAAGUUGAGAGGAGGAAAUGAAUGAAAAUAAAUGGUUAUAAAUAGUCUACUUGCUAAUUUAAAUGACACCUAUAGAAGAGCUUCACAGACUAUUUUUAACAUAUAAGGGGAAAAUUAACCUAGUUUACAAAGUGAAUUUCAUCCAAGCGUAUAGACACAAAAGCAAUGGAAACCCCUCCUUCCAUCAUCCAAAAAACAAAAUAGUCUAAAUCAUACCUUUGGAUGAUUGCAUAACUUUUUUAGAGCCGUAAUGUAGGCCAAAAUCUUCGAAUGCUUCAGUUCUUCAGUAAUCGCCCGUUUAACCUGCGUUUGAGGAAACAGAUUUAUCUAUGCAGGCUCGACAACUUUGUUACUGUCGAUCUUAUGAAAAAUGUGUUUGCUCAAUCAAAACUAGACAUUACAUUUUUGGACUGUAUAAAAUGUUUAUAUAGAUCUGAUUGUAGCGGAGUCAACUUGCAGCAAACAACUUCAAUUAUCUGUACCACAAAAGUAAAAGGUCACGGUUACGAGAUUAAGAGGAGCAGAUAAUUAUCAAUUGCCAAUACAGUUUCUUUUCAUGUGCUUUACCAAUACAUGUUCUUUAUAUGUAACCAAAUGCGCUUUAACCAAUUCAAUACUAGACAUUGACCGAAACCUACCUUCUCAUGGAAUCAAAUGUCAUUACCAAAUCCUAAAGAUUUCACCGUGUGUAGAAACUAUUUUACUUAAUCUAGCUACUGGGAACCAACACCAAUUCAAUACUAGACAUUGGCUGAAACCUACUCAUGGAAUCAGAUGUCAUUACCAAAUCCUAAAGAUUUCUCCAUGUGUAAAAACUAUUUUACUUAAUCUAGCUACUGGUAAUCAACACCAAUUCAAUACUAGACAUUGGCUGAAACCUACUCAUGGAAUCAGAUGUCAUUACCAAAUCCUAAAGAUUUCUCCAUGUGUAAAAACUAUUUUACUUAAUCUAGCUACUGGGAAACAACAAAAGCCCAAAAUCAGCAUAAUUAUCUCUAAUGAGAUUUUAUAUUGGAUGAGAAACUUCUGCGGGAUAAGAAUAAGAUUAGGCUUUGGCUUCUACUUGUGUAUAAGUAUAGCACAUACAUGCUAUUUUUACUAGAUGGUCUCAUGCAGAUAUCUUGAGGGAUUGGACAGCUUGGAUUCGUCGAUUGUUGUUCACUUUUUUUUUUUUUUUUUUGUCUUAAUGAAAUUCUUUUUUGUCAUAUAAAAAAAAUGUGUAUAGUUUUGAAUCUUUCGAUUAUCUAAUGUAUGGCGUAUGGAAAGAGACUUCUGUUUUUUAAGGACACUGCAAUUGAAAAUGCAGAAGAUAAGAUUGGAUGUAUAUAAUUAUCAUAAUUUUUUAAAGAAAGGGUGAGUGAUAGAAUAAUGCAAUAUUUCAGACAGUAUGGCAGACAGAAAGAAAAAUACACUACCUUCGGUGGUAAGUGAUUUGAUAGCAAUGCAUUAGUCCUUCUUAAUAUGAACUGCAAAAGCAUAUUAGCAAGUCAACUUCAGGAGAGUAAAAGUAUAUUUUCUUGACAGACAGAAAACACGGUAGCACUGCAUUGUCAUUUAGCUACUAGUUCUGCAUAACACCCUUUCCAGUUUACCAGCAGGAUUACAACAUCAAGGACUAGUGAUGGAUAUUAAUACAGCUUUCUGAAAGUACACAGUGGAAUCUAAUUCACACGCACAGGCCAAGAAAAAAUAUUACCUGAUUAACUUUGGCACUUAAUUCUGCAGUGCGUUCAGCACCGAGUUUCUUCUCUUCUGCAGUAGCAGCAGGUUCUCUUCCGCAAAUUAUUGGCGCCUUUAUGAUGCGGAGCAAGUAGACCACAAUCAAAAUCAAAAACACAAGAGAAGGGUAACAUUGUUCUAGCAUCAUAUAUUCUGGAAGCUUUUUGAAGUUGGUUUGACUUGUUGUCGUAGUAAUAACAGUAAAAAUAUGUGGUACAUACUAUUGUUUGACAACUGAAUAACUCCUUAAUUUCUAGUAUAUUCGGACAUUAUAUGAAUUAUGAGCUUAAAGCUUUUGGAACAAUGUGCAAUUAAAAUCUAAAAUGUGAUGUAUAAAUGUACCUCAAAGUGACGUCGAAAAUGUGCAAUGCCGCCCAAUAUUCCAGGAUUGGUAAAAUUAACCAUUGCAAAGAAUUCUUCCAAGUCAUUCUGCAAGUGGCACAUGCCAUACACAUUUAAAAUAAAAUAAACAACGAUUUGGGAUUGUAACUCACAACACAGACAGGUAAUCGUGCAUAGAUCCUCACCUGCAAAGGAGUUCCUGACAGCAAAACUCUACGUUUACACGGGAGAGCAGCCAAUGCCUAAUCCAGGAAGUAUUUGUGAGUGACUCAGAAAUAUGCCUGUAAAGAGGAAGGAGAAAGGAGAUUUAAUAGUACCUUGUUUGUUAUUGUCUGAUCAUUUUUCAGUCUGUGAGCCUCAUCACAGAUGAGGAGAUCACAGGAGCCACUAGAGCUAAACUUCUCUGAAUGCAUUCGGAAUGUCUCGUAUGAAACAAUGAGCACCUGUAAAUCGGGAGUUGUUUUUAUUUUGCUAAGUACGUAAGUAGCUCGUAAUUAAGAAGAGUUGAGAAUUUAACCUGGAAUUUGCCUUGGGGACUUUUAAAACUGUUAAUCCCGGAGAUAACAUCUUGUCUUGUGGUUUCACAAAGAGCAACAAGGCGAACUCUAUCUCCAACCCACUUCUUAAUUUCUGCUUCCCAAUUGCUAACGAGACUGGUAGGAGUGACAAUGAUGGCCUUUCUAACCAUAGGCUUCCCAUCGAAACCUUGACAAAUAAGAGUAUAUAGUAAUGUGAUGGACUGCAGUGUCUUCCCCAAACUGUGCAGCGAGGAUCAAAGGCAGGCAGCCCUAGGUAAGUACGAAGAAAUUGAAAAGAAAACUAAAGAUUUCUUUGUAAAGAAUAAGAAGUUACCCACCCCAUAUCAUCUGCCAAAAUGCAUCCAUUGAUAUCGGGUGUCUCACAUAGUCCGGCGACACAAUCAAACAUGAAUUGAACCCCUUCUCUGCAUCAAAGAAGUAGACAGGAAUAAAUGAGUGAAUUAGGUUUUAUAGUGUAACAAGACAUAUGUAUAAUACUACAGUCUAGAUUACAAAUAUACACCAUACAUCCUCAAUAAAAAAAGGAAUUGAUUGAGAAGGAUUGGUACCUCUGAUGUGGACGAAGGAAACGAACAAGCAAAGGAUCAACGGCUAUUGUUGUGAAAUUAGAAUUAGAAGGGUCGUUGUCGUGAAGAGGUUGCCAGAGUAUUAGAGGAUCAAUUUCAGGGGGCAAAGGCGGCGAGGGUUUGACAGCCUCCUCUUUGUGAUCAGAGAUAUUCAAAUCCAACUCCGUCAAAGGUGUGGUGGAGGUGGGAAUAGGAAUAGGAGUGGUAGAACCCCAUGGGACAAAUCUUUUGCGAGCAGAGAGCCUACGAGCAAGAUCUUGAUUAUUGUUAUUGUUGUAAGCAUCGGACGGUGGUUUAAACGGUUUUCUGCAAAUAGCGGCAGCUCCAUUGGUGGAAUAUACUCUCGGCAGCAACGACUGUCUCUUCACAAUAAGGUUACCUUUGAUUAGGGCUUCUACAUUCUGAGAUUUCCGUUGUGAAACUUGUUCAAUUUCGGAAUCAGAAGAAGAAGAAGAAGAAGAAGACGAUGACACUUCAACUUCUUCAUCGGAAUCAGAAGAAAAAGACGACGAUGACAACAAAACUACGUCUUCGUCUUCCUCCAACAUUCUCUCUUCCCCGCACCGCCACUUUUCAAUUUAAUUUUCCUUUACCGCCAAACCAAUCAAUGUACUCCUUCUCUCCCUCAAAAAUCAAUCGAACUUUUCAUACCAUUUAAUACAGGAUUAAAUAUGUUUAUGAUCCCUAUAAAUAUACCAACUUUUCGUUUUAGUCCCUUUAAAAUUUUCUUUCAACUUUUAGUCCCUAUAAAAUUUUGAGUCGCUACUUUUGGUCCCUAUUUCAAAGUAAAUUUUGGUAUUUUUUUAAUGAAAUUGUACAGAAAUGUGUAGAAUAUUGUAAAAAUAUUUCCAAAAAAAAAUUAGAAUUUUUUAAGUAAACAUAAAUUAUAUAUGAAUUUUUAACCAUAAAUAAUAUAAAAAUUCAUAUUAAAUUCAUGUUUUGUUAAAAAAUUCUAAUUUUUUUUUUGGAGAGAUUCUUAUAAUAUUAUGAAUUUUUCUGGAAAAUUUGAUUCAAAAAUAUGAAUUCUACAUAUGAGUUUACUUUAAAAGAGGGACCAAAAGUGAAGAUGGAAAAAUUUUUAGGGACUAAAAGUUGAAGGAAAAUUUUAGAGGUACUAAAACGAAAAGUUGGUAUAUUUAUAGGGACUAAUAACAUAUUUAACCCUUUAAUAUAUUGUUUUAUUUCCGUCCUAAAAUACUUCCUCCGACCCAAAUUAUAAGAAGAAGAAAAAAUCAUACUUAUUAAAAAAAAUCUAAAACAUAAAAAUUUGGAGUAUUAUAUUUUUUUUGAAAAAAGUUUUAUAGAAAGAUGUAAAAACAAUUUUCAUUAGCUAUUAGUUAUGAAAAAAAUGAAAGAGAGAGAGAGAGAGAAAAUUGAAUGUAAUAUGCAUUUAAUUUUAUGAGAAUAGACAAAAGUUUUUCUUGAAAAAAAGAUUUAAAAAAAACAAGAUUAAAUAGGAUAAAAGUUUGUCUUUUUUACUUAUAUUUUGGGACAGAGAAAAAUGAAUUUUUUUGUUUAUAUUAUGGGACGGAGGGAGUAACUUAGUUCCAUACUCUCUCAAAUAAUAAGAGGGAGAUAUUUAUUCAAAUAAUAAUAAUAAUAAGAGAGAUAUAAGACUUUUAUGAAGAUCUCUCUUAUCGCAUGAUAAUGAGUUAUUACUUUCUGGGUUACAAUUAUAUUAUGUGUGGUGUCUUAGUGACAGGUAAAUAUCAUAUUGCAUUUAUUUUCAUGAUCAUGUAUUAGCAUAUGCAUCUCUGUGGUGCCUUAAUGGCGGAUUGAUUAUACCCAGAUCAUAUAAUUUUAGGAGCAUGCAUACAGAUAUGUAUUCCAUUAAAGUUUAUCAAAAUAAAAGAGAUGGAUGUGAACUGAAAAGAAAGGAAAAAUGAAGAUAAGGGAGAUCGAAACUCAAUUGCAUUAUAAAAUAUAGGAGAAUGCUAACCAUUGCUCUUGGGGUAUUGGAUAAGGGAGUAAAAAUAGAAAUAUAAUAUUAGAAAAUGUUGUUGAAAUCAUUGCCCUUAGGGCAAUGGUUAGCAAGACCCUAAAAUAUAUUAUUAUAAUAUACUAUUAUACAUAGAUGUAUUAACCAACUAUAACUUUAGUGUAAUGAGUAAUGUUUUGACUAUAAUAAUAGUAUUAUUAUUGAUUUUGAUUUUGAUUUGUGAGUAGUUGUAUCUUCCAUUGAUUUUUUAUUUAAGGUUGUACAAAUUAAAAAAAAAAAGGUAAAACUAUUUGGUCUCCUUCAUGUUCCUUUAGUUAUUUCUAUGUAUUUUAAAAGGAAAUGGUUUAUCCAAUCUAAUUUUUGGUAGAAGGAUAGUAUAUUUUUUUAUUUUUAAUUUUUUGUUUUGUUUAGUUUUGAUGUGGUUGGAAGUUGACCCCUUGUACUAACAUUUUUAGGUAUCCAUGAAGAGAUGUGUUUGAUUUGGUGAUUUUGCUUGAAGCGUAUACGGGGACAAAAUUGAGUUUUUGAUUAAAUAGUAAUUUUAGAAGUAAUUUUAAAGGAUAUUUACUUUAAGAAUUUUAAUUGAAUUAUGUUAAAAAAUUUGUAUAGAUUUUACUAAGAAUUUAUUAUUGAUGAUAAAAAAAAUUAGUAGUGUUUUUCUAAACAUGAAAAUGAAUUAGAAAUAAUGUCUUGGAUCAAAAUAUGGAACGUUACAUUUUUAGGUUAAAUUUGUGUUGUCUCAUUAUGCUUUUCCUUUGUUAGCAUAGUACACGACUUCGGUUGGUCCUACAUAAGUUAACCUAGAAACUUAGAACGAGUAGUAUCGUCGUGGCACAUUAAAUCAAUGAUCAUGAAAUAAAUUGUUGGAACAAAAUGUGUUUCACAAUAAACCUUAAUGAGUUUUGAUGAUAACAAGGUAUUAAAAAUUGUCAAUUGGUUAUUGCUAAUAAUUGUUCAAGUGUACAGGACCAUAGGCAAAGUCAAUCAAUCUCAAUAGGUCUUGGAAGAACAAUGGAGAGCAAAGGAAUCCAAAGCAUCUGAAGAAAACUGCGUCUGAAGCUAAGAAGUGCUUCUGAAGUAACAAAUGCCUCUGAAGUAAUGACGUCAUCAGAAGCAGAAGAGCAUCAGAAGCAAGAUUUCAUCAGAAGCUAUAUCAUCACCAGAAGCUACAAGUGAUCAGUAAAUUUUAAACUGAAGAUUCAAAUGAGCUGUUUUUCGUUUCAACCUCGUCUAAGAGAAUGAAGAAUUGAAAGGGAGGUAUCAACGGUCAUUUGAAAAGCACUGGGUACUUGUCCUUCGUUAUCAGAGUUGACAAAGUACAAGUGUACAACCACUACCUCCACUACUCUGUUUUUUUCUACGCUACAAGACAAGACAACAGCUCUGCCUGUAGAAAUGUUCCUUCAAGAUGGGAAUGAAUUUGAAGUUGAUCCUUCAAAGGACUACACCCAAAUCAGGCAAAAGAUUACUGGUGGAUGAUCAAAGGAACUCAACGACUCUUUAGACGUGCUAAAAAAUCUCAACGUCUCUUUCACACCUCUAUAUAAAGGAGUGGAGACUUGAAGAUUGGUAAGAGACAUUAACACAAGUUGAAAGCGCCAAAACUCUGCCAAAUUUGAUUCUACAAAGCACUUUGAAUUUCUGCACUGAUUUGAUACAUCUUAGAAAUUCUUAAGUCUAGAGUCUUUAUUGCAUUGUAUUGUGAACACCACUGAUUGUAUAUCAAGUGUUCAAAGUCAAACACUUUCUGUGUAUUUCUGUUUGAUUAGAAGCCUCUCGCCUGCGUGCUUGAGCAUUAGAAGACUCUUGCUUUAGUGCUUGAGCAUUGGAAGUCUCUCGCCUGCGUGCUUGAGAAUUUGAGAAGUCUCAUACUAAGAGAGUAUUGAGCAUUUGUAAUCUUUGAGAUUAUUAGUGAAAAUCUCCUUGGAAGUGCAAGGGGGACUGGACUACUUCCGGAUUGUGGAAGGAACCAGGAUAAUUGCUUGUGUCUUUCUUUCUUUUCUCUGCUCUGUUUUAUUCCGCUGCAUAUCUGAUUCUGAACAUUACAUCAGAAGCACUCCCAACUAGCUUCUGAAGUAAUACCAGAAGAAGAUUUUUUAAGAGAAAAAGAAAACACAAUUCAACCCCCCCCCCCCCCCCCCCGGGGUGUUGAAGGGUUUUUCUCACCUUCAUAAAUUGUUUAUUUCUCGAAAGGUAAAUUUCAUUCAAAAACGAAGGAAGGAUUAUAGGAACCCCUAAUCUCCGUUAGUCAUCUGAAUCUCGAAAACCUAAUCUCGCAUUGGGCAAGGCAAUUAAACUCUCCAACUCUAAUCAUCUUUUAUUAUUUUUCGUUUUAAAAUAAAUUUUGCUAAUUCUUGAGUUGAGCGAUAGUCUCUGUGGAAAACGAUACAACUUACUAUUUAAAAAAUGUUAGAUAGAGAUGAAAUAUUAUCAUAAAUAACAAAGCAUGAAACACUAUUGACUUCAACAAUCGUUUAGAACAUCUUUGAUGGUUUAACUUGUUUAAGGUUCUUUAGGUGACCUCUACAAUAUCGUGUCACUACUAAGCAACUCUCUGGUUUUUUUUAUUUUCAUUAUAGAACUCUAAAAACUAAACUUGAUGAAAGAAGUUUUUUGGAUGAUCAAUAUUAGAAAAUGUCUAAAUGGACUACAAAAAAGUUGAUAAUUUUAGAGUAAAGAGACACAUGUUUAAUUUUUUUUUUUUACAGGAACGUGUUUAACUUUUAAUUAGUUAUGUAAUGUGAUGAUAGAUCAUCUUACGUUGUUCUUAGCAUGUUUUUCACACAUUUUUAAUAGAGUUUUUAUCCACAAUAGAGGAGUAUUAGAACAAUUGCUUACGAUUUUGGAGCAUUUGUAAUGUUUUUUAUAUUCGAGUCAUGUAGUUGUAUUUUCCUGAAACAUAGAAACUUUAGGGUGUUUUGAUGUGAUUCACAAAGAAAUCGUACAAAUUGCAAAGCAAGACAUCUAAAGACUUGUAAAGACUUUGGGAAGAUCAUGAAUGAAGAUUCAAGAGGCAUCAGAAAACAUUACAAAUGGAGGAAUUAUGUUCUCAAGUCCCAUGACAUCUUACAUGGAACCAAUCACCCAAUAAGACGAAGAAACAUGCAUCUAGGCACGAGAGUGAACUCUCAUGUGCCCCGAGCAUGGGCUAGGCUCCCUGAGCAUGAAAAGCCUGACACUCAUGCGCCCCAGGUAUGAAGAAAAUCGGACGGAACUGUUUUUUGCUACUUUAGUGAAAAAAACUUAGUUUUUAAGCCUAACUUCAGGUGGAAACUCUCCCUAUAAAUACUGUAACAGCCCGAUUUUUAGCUAGAUUUAUUUUAUUUAUUUUAUUAUGUGUUUGUGUGUGUGAUUAAUCAUCAUGGGUGCAUUUUCAUGGAUUUUCGUAUUAGAAUGGUAUUUUGGUAAUUUUGUGAGAACGGGUAAAAUUAUAGUUUUGGGUGAGAAUUACUUUUAGUGUUUAGUGAGAGUGGUUAUUUCAUUAAGUUACUAGAGAAAGUCGAGAUUUUACCGUUAGUGACAUUUUACCGUUAUUAAUUAAAAUAUCGUUUGAAGUGUAGAAAUAUUUUGGUUUGGAUAGAAAUGGGUUAAGCCCACUAGAAACUAAGUUGAGCCCAUUAGUGGAGAUAACACUAGGGUUGUCUUAGAGAAAUUCAUUCAUUCACUUUCACAAGAUAUUUCUAGAGAGAGGUAGAGAGAGAAUGGGGUGAAGAGAAGAAAAAAGGGGUUUUGGAGAGAAGAGCUCGAGGAAUCAAGAUUUGGUGAGCUUAGGAGGUAAAGUGAAGCCUAAGUUGGGAUUAAUCUUUAUCUAAGGUAAGGGGGUUAGUCUUCAUCAUAAUCAUAAUUGUUUGUUUGCAAUUUUUCUUGGUUUGUAUGAAAAAGUGCUUAAUUGAGUGAGAAUUCAUAUGAACCCAAUCCCUAAUUUUCGUGCUCUUGUUUUGGUGAUAAGUUUGAGUAUGUUAAUUGAAUGAUAAAUGAAUUGUUGGUGAUGAAUUAACAUGUUCAUAAUGUAUGAAAAUGGAUUGUUGUGAAAUUAUGCUUAAUUGAUGACUUAUGACAUGUUGUUGUUGAAUUGGGGUGUGAAUCAAGUUUCAAUUGAUGUUGUUGUUGCUGAGAUAUGUUGUUGAUUAUGAAUUAUGGCUUGGGUGUUCAUAUAUCAUGAUUGUUGUUGAGAAAAUGAGUUGUUGUUGGUGGUUUUGUAAAAUGGGUUGAUAGAGAAGAAGUUUGAUUUUGAUGAUGUUGAAUGAGAUAAGGAAGUUGUUAGAAUGAGUUAGGAUGGUAUGAUUUUCUGUUUUAAUCACUUGGUUUUGGAGAGAAAUCGUUUUGGGAAGAAAACGGGUUUUUAAGUAAAAGUGGUUUUUAAGUGCUUUUGCAAAAUAAGUCAUUUUGGAAUGAGUUUGAUUAAGUUGUUUUAAUGUUUAAAUGUCAAGUUUUCAAGUGUGGUUUGUAUGGUCUAAGUGUUAGGAAUACAUUGGCGAAAACGGAACUGAAAUCGGAUUCGAAAACAAGAUUUUAUGCGCAAAAACGUAAAAAUGCAUUUUGCUGUACUGGUGAGGUGACACGACCGUGCGUCUAGAUGACACGACCGUGUCAGUUUCUCCUGUAAAGGGAGCACGACCGUGCUUCCUGAUGGCACGACCGUGUCAGUUAUGCAGAAUUCUGAAACCUCGUUUUUUCGUGUUUUUGUGUACUUUUAAGCAUGCCAAUGGAUUCCAAACUCGUAACCUUAUUCAAUCAAUUUAUAAUUAAGCUUCUAAGAGUAUCAUAGCUUGAUCCUAACUUGGUUUUUGUUUUGAAAAUGAAUUGGUUUUGCAAUAUGGAAGAAAUGAUAUGGAACUUGUAAUUUUGGGAAAUGUCGGAUUUUGUCAAAAUGAACUUUUGUGAACUAAAUAGGAUUACAAGUUAAACCUACAACUCUUAUAGACUUAGGUAAGACUUGUAUGGUUGGUCAAACAUCUUAAUCAUGUCAAAAAUGAUAUUUCGGGUGGGAAUGUGAAAGAUUGUGAAAUUGGGUUUUCUCAUACGAACUUAAGCUAUUCUUUGAACUGAUGUCUAAUAGUUUGUAAGUGGCUUAAGCUCAUGACUACAUGAUUGAUUAAGAUUGUUUGAGAGCUUUCAAUUUGUCUAAGUUGCUUUGUCUUGGGAAUUAUCAAUGUUGGCCAUUUGCCACUUGAUACGGCUUUUGUCGGAAAUGUUUCAUUUGAACCAAUUUUCUUAUAAUCUAUCGUGACUAUCCUUAUAUGACUAAGUGAAGAUGUGUGAAUGAAUGAUCGUAUUGGAUAUGAUGUUUACCAUGAGAUGUGUAUGCUAUCUUACUUAGAAUGUAAGGAAUGCUUGAAUGGUGAAACUGUAUGUGAUAGUUGAUGUUGAAUGAUUAUAUGUUGGAUAUGAUAUUUGUCAUGAGAUGUUGUAUGUUCUCUUCCUUGGAAUAUGAGAAUUGUUUGAAAUGGUGAAACUAUAUGUGAUAGUUGAUGUUGGAUGACAUUGUUGAUUAUUAAUAAUCAUGUUGAGGUGUGAUGGUGAAUACUAUGAUUUGAUUGUGUAUGGGCAUGUUUUCUUGAUAAUGCAAUGUUGUGGAGAUAAUCAAUAUAAUUGGGUGUUGUCCUGUAUAUUGAGGUUGAGAUUGUGAAUUGUUGUCGCAUUAUCGAGUCCUUAUACAUGUCCAUGCAUCAUAGUCGAUGUUGCUGUAAAAGGGUUGAGCUCUUUUACUUCGAGAUUAUUGUAAGGCAGGUGUGAGCCUUACAUACGAUGUGCAAGUGGCAUCGAAAGGUGACGACCUUGUUGAGAUUUGGUACCACAUGCAUUUAUGUGUCAAUAAGUGCAUAUCAUGACAUGAGUCUUAAAUGAUGUAUGUGAUUGAUGAUUGUCCUUGAUACUUGUGUUGAUGAUUGUACGUGAUACAUGUGAAUGAUGUUUGCUCAUGAAAUGUAAUUGGUGAAUGUUCAUGGCUUAUGAUUGGUGAUUGUUCAUGAUGUAUAUGAUUGGUGAUUGUGUAUGAAUAACUGUUAAUUGAUAUUGUUCAUGAUACAUGUAAUUGGUAUUGUUCAUGAAAUGUGAUUAAUGAUUAUUCAUGAUAAAUGUGAUUGGUGAUUGUGAAUGAAUAUUUGUAAAUUGAUAAUUGUUCAUAUGAUUGAUGAAUAUUGAUGUGAGAUAUCGGGGUGUGAUGUAAGUAUUAAUGUGUGAUUAUUAUUGAUCAAUUGCAUGAUGUUUAAAUUGAAAUAUCCAUGUUAACUGUUAUUUGAAUUAUGAUAAUGUAAUACUUACCCCCAGUGGAUCUGUUAUGGACCGCCUGCCUAUCUGUAUGGAUGGGUAGACGUUGUGCAGGUUUAGAUGCUUGGUGCAUAUCGCGAGCUUUCUCCGAUAUCGGUGUUUAGAUGUUUAGUCGGAUCUGAUCUAGGCUUAGUGGUGUCGGUCUAGAUUAUCUUUUACUUUGGUUUUUGUUAUGUUUGGAGAUGACCCGUUUGUUGGGAUUUUUGAUGCAUCUAUGUUGAUGUAAUUUAUUGAUUCAUAACAUGUAUACUUGGAUUUACUCUGGUUUAUAUUCCGCUGCGACUGUUGAGGUUUAUAUACAUGUUUAUUGGUUUUUGAAUUUUGAAUGUGACGUAGCCUCUAUUUCUUGAAUAAAUGUAUUAUUCGCAUGUUUAAUUGCUUUAAUAGAAGUAGGGUGUUACAAAUACUACUACUACUCUCGUUCGUAGUUUAUCGUUCAGAACAAAGUGGUUCAAGAGGAAGUCAAGCACUUGGAGCUCUUAGGGAGGAGUUUCUCUCCUCACUUCGAGUCUCUAGUGUAUGUUUUAUUUCUUUUGUAAUUUGUGUUUAAUUACCAUAAGUAACCAAGUCUUUUUAGGCUAGGGUUAUAAGUUGAAUCCAUAAUCUGUUUGUUGGAUGUUUUAUUUAACUUAAAGUCUUUAUUCAGUUAUUUUCCGAAUCCUAUUUAAUUUUACUGUCAUGCGUAAGGUUUGUCUCCCCUAGAGCGAACCACCAUGAGAUAUAGCUACUUAGGGAGGUGACAUAACUAAUAUUGGUGAAUACUUGCCUAAAUCAAGAAGUAACUAAGAUAACAAAUACAAUAGUUAGCGAAACACAAUGACUUCAUGACUUAAAUUAGCCCAAUAACUUCACUCUUCUUUCUUCCUUGAUAAGGUAGACGAAAUAUGGCUACCCGUUUGAAGAACUAUCCAGAGGGAGAAUAUGCUGAUGUCCUUCUAAGAUUCAAUAGACGAUGGCACCUUUAGGACACUGGGAAUUUAGGAACGAUAAUAUCUCUUAUUGAUUCAAAUACCUUUGAGAAAGUAAGAACAUGCACGUACCUCUACUCGCGUAAGUGUAUCUCCCUAUAGGACUGACAACCUUAAACACUGAAACCUGUAGAAACUCUGGUGGAAGGUUGCAACCGACAGCUGGAGGGAAAUGAACCCAUACCACCGAGAGGGUAAGACCCCACAUGUACGUACCCGUGUGAUCAGCAGGUGUAACUUGACAGCUGGUAGGUAGUAAAACCUCACGAACUCAUUGGUUUUAUUUUUUUUAAGGAAACUGUUAACGAGUGCCCCGGGGACACUCUUUAAGCACUUUAAAUAACAAAUUUUUAAUGAAAAAUUGUGUAUUAAAUACAUUGAAAAUUGUAUCAGUUGACUUUUCAAAAGAAUAAUUACUAAUUUUAUGAUGCUUAAAGAGUGCCCCGAUGACACUCGUUAACAAGACUUCAUCUUAUAAUUAUGGGUUAUGCUGACAAGUGCUCAUAGGGCACUAGUUAAAGAUUCAAUAAAAAAAACAAUUGUUAAAUUUUAUAUAAAAAAAUUACUUUUUGUAUUUCAAUAAGUCAAAUACACAAUUCCCUAUAAUUAUUAAUGCUUUUUUUUUCCCUACAAUUUACUACUACUCACAAUAUGUAAUGUUAUUGAUGCAUAAAGUAAUUUUGGUUUAUUUUUAUCGUAUCAAGAUUUUGUUUAUGGAUAUUCAUGUCAAUUUUGUUAUAAUCUAUUUAUGUCACUUUAUAAAUACAUAUAUUUCUUUUUAAUAGUUAUCUUUUUUUAUUAUAUCAUCAUGAAAUAAAAAUUUAUUUACAUUUGUCUUUAGGGAUCUUUCUUUAUCAAUCAAACAAAGUAUAAACAGGGUAUAGACUAAUUUGUCUUGAUUUACUUUUCUCUAAGAUGAAAAGUUAUUUUUAUUUUUUUAGGGACUAAAUUGGACGUGAAUUUUCUCAUAACUAAAAUGAGUUUUCACAAUAUAUAUUAAAAUAUAUAUUUAUUCCUACAAAAUAUUUAUGAUAUGGAGUGAUCAUAUAGGUUGGCCUCGACGUGAGCAAUUCGUCAAGAUGGAAAGUGAGGGUAACUACAAACACUCGGAUGAUUAAAUCACUACGAGAGCAAAAGUGGGAGGUAUUGAAAGAAUAAAAGUUAUGUAUCUUAUGUAGUGGUCUAAGAUCUAUUUACACAAUCGAGGAAAUAACCAUUGAGGGUCGGUUACAAACGACGAAUGGUUAGACUGUAUUUUCAACACACAUGAUUCGACAAGGAAAAGAUAUGUCGAGUUGGGGUUAGUGAGUGCACGUUCCAAAAAGUGUUAGAAUCGAUAGAUCACGUAAGUACUUAGCAUAUUGGAAAUUGCCAAGUCAUUUAGCUUCGACAGAAGAAAUUCAUAUUGCUUAUGAAGAGGCAAGAUCAAAAGGUCGAGGACACAUGGGAGCGUAUCAAGACAUGUAUCGAAAGCAUUUAGUUUGUGACCGUCAUUUUCAGUUAUUUUCUUACUUAGUAUAUAUAGUAAUUUUGUGCAGGAAAUAGGUGUCACAAAAUCAUUUAUGCAAUUAUGAAAUUCUAAAACUAUCCAUAAUCCAUGUUAAAACGAGUGUAUCCAGAGAAAUGUAUGAUUAUGUGCACCAACUUUCUACAUUUAUCUAAUCAAAUGUUGUUUAUUUAAAGAUUACUUGCAUUUGUCUUUAAAUUUUCUCUUGCUUUUAAACUUAUUUCGAUCUAGUUGAAUUAAACGGUUAUCUUCAUUUUUUUUAAACUUACAAACAACGAUGAACAUUCAAACUUUUUUGAGAAACUAUUGCACAAAUAUGUCUUAUGAUUUUUAAUUUGAUCAUGCAAGCAAUUAAUCUAAAACUAGUGAUUGUUUACCAAAAACACAGGUAAAAACACAAACAUCAACGAGUGAAACCGUUGUAGCAAAUUCAUGUUCAAAGGCACAGAUGUGCAGGGAUCUAUGCCUUCUAAUCGGGUAUUAGGCCAAAGCGGUGGAACAUGGUGGUGUCUUCAUAUGAUUGGACCUUGGUGUUUGGGUUUUGAAGAGAACCAAAUAAGAAGAUUUCAUGCGGUUACAGUAGGAUGUUGUAAUUAAAUAUUAGCCGUUUGAUCAAAAUUAUAUGAUAAAAAUUGUUUUAAUUAAAAAGACACAAUUUUCAUUCUUAACCGUUUGAUUUAAGAUGAACGACCAAAAUCGAAAAUUGUGUACAUUUAUUACAACAGCAAAUUUGUAUCUAAACCCAAAUCCUUCCGAGCUCUUCAAAAUUCAACUUGCAAUUGUUGUUAUCCUAUAGUUGAAUUGAAUGCAGUUGGUGGGCACCGGGGGAUAGGGACAGGGAUCGAGAAGAGAGGAGAAGAUGAAGCAUGGACGAAGACAAGUACAAACCCAUCCAUUUCUCGACCGUAUCAAGCUAAUGGAGACAACAAAUAGCAUGGAAUAUUGGUGGCCACACACCACACACACAUACUGGUAAGUGUUUAGUUUUGAGUUAUCCCCACUCCUCAUCUUCUGUCGCUAUCUUAUUCAAAUUUUAUGUCGCUAUGUACGCCAUUUGUCAAUUUCCCAACAUUUUUACAAGGGACAUAGGCAGAUGACUAUAGCAGCUUCCUUCCUUCCUUCUACACGUGACCAUUAUGAUGAAUCAGUAAAUAGCAGCAGGAGCUAUACACCUAAUAAUAGUACAAACAAAAAAAGUAAUGGAAAAGAAAAUGUGCCCUUUUUUUUUUUUCUCAUUAAAACAAAGGAGUAAUUAAUUUGUUUGGCUUGUAACGAGUUUUUGGUAAGGGAGAAGGAAAGUCCUACCAAAUCCAAAUGAUACUAUUCAAUAUAUAUCAAACAAAAUGAAAGCACUGUUCUGUUGUGCUGCGGUGACUUUUAUUAAUUACCGAACAAGGUGACAUGAUAAUGAUUUAUAAAGAAAAGUCCUAGCGGAAACGGAAGGAUAUCCUAAGAAUAGUAAUAUACUUUAUUUUUUAUUAUUAAAAAAAAAAAAAAGGUUUAUUUUGAUUUACUAGUACUAUUUGUAUAUCUAUAACUAUAAGGUGGGCAUAAGAGGAGAGUGAAAGUGAAAGUGAAAGAUGCAGGGUGAGGAUGAUGAACCUCUGACCCCAGCGGGGAGGUUGUUCCUACAACCAGAGAUGAACCAAAUAAUCCACUGUGUCAUAGGGUUGAAGAAACCAAUCGAUGUUGAUUCAGUAAAAACCCAAAUCCAAAACUCAGUUAUGCUCCAACAUCCAAGGUUCACUAGCCUCAUGGUUCGUGACCAUCGAGGUGUUGAACACUGGCGUCCAAUCAAAAUUGACCUCGACCGCCACAUCUUUAUCAUCAACAACGAAUCAGUCUCCGAGGAUAAGGAUGAUGAAUCAGCAAUCAGUGAGUAUAUGUCUGAUUUAUGCACAGAAUCAAAACUGAGCAUGGAUAAGCCACUUUGGGAGAUGCAUAUUCUGAGAGCACACAAGUGUAUUAUAUUUAGAAUUCAUCAUUCACUUGGAGAUGGAAUAUCACUCAUGUCGAUGCUCCUUGCUGGUUGUAGGAAGUUGCAAGAUCCAAACUCUCUUCCAACCAUAUCUCUUCCAAAAUAACAACAACACAAUCUCAAAGAAGAAAUUUAUGGAGUAUCCUGAUUGCUCUGUAUUUUUCAUUUAUAUAUGUCAUCCAAUUCAUUCUGAGGGUUCUAUGGAUUCGUGACCGUAAAACCGCUAUAACAGGCGGAGAAGGGGUUGACCUUUGGCCCAGGAAGAUAGCAACUGCUACUUUUUCAUUGGAACACAUGAAGACUGUCAAGAACGCUGUUCCUAACGCGGUACAGUAACUAAUUCAUUCCUCUUUCAAUUCAUAAAUCACUUUCCACUUCAAAAUUAUUACUUAUAUUACUAGUCUUUUCUCGCGUCAAUUUUAGAAAUGACUAUACACAUGUCCAAAUCAAACUAGUUCACUUGAUACAAAAUCUUAGUUUCGAUUCUUCCCGUUCCCAAUAUCAAUUUCUAUGGUUAGUUUGGUUUUUUCAAAUUUUAAGUCCGAUCUCUAUGACAUAAAUGUUACUAUAUUCCAAUGGCGUGAAAAAAAAGAAAAAAAAAACCUCUUCAUGAACAUAUUUAUCAUAUACAUAUUUAAGUCAACAUAAAUAUUAAACUAUGCGUGUGUUGUGGCCCACAUUUAGGUGAUACACAUUGGUCUAUGUUUUUAGACUAUUAAUAAUAAUUGAUUAGUUAAACUAACAAGCUCGUGGGUAGGUAGGUGUCUUUCAUGAUUGAAUUAGGUUAGUUUAUUCCAAAAAAAGAAAAACAUCCUAUCCAAUUUCUUUUAGUUUUGUUGUUCGGCUAUUGCAUUGCCAUUGGUUUGAUUGAAAAUAAACAUAGUGCAUAUUUGAUUUUGCUCAAAUAAAUAUUGAUUUUACUCAAAUGUGACAUAGGUUCAACAAUAAAUUUCACUGCAAGAAUCACAUUUAGACUUGAAAACUACAAAUACCAAUUUAAAGGUAAAAUAAAUUCCGAAGACAAAAUCAAAUUUAUUUGAAAAUAACCCAACAUAUCAAAAUCGAUUUUACACACAGACUCGAUUAUUUGGCUGCUCGCAAGAGUGGAACCAAACAUAGCCAUAGUGUGUCCAGACUUCCAAUCCAAUUUAAUUUGAUUAUGUACAUCCAUUUGUUUUAUUUAUUUAUUUAUUUACGACACCCUUUUUUUGUUUAUUUCUUUCACUCUAAAUAUACACGGAGGAAUUAUGGAAUCAAAUUGGGUUCAGUUUCUGUUUUUUUCGAUUCAAAUAGUUGUCAACUUAUCAUUCAAUAAAUUAUGUAGUAAUUGGUAGGUCUUGCUAAAUUACUAACAUGCCUUUGGUUUGUUGGGUUGCACUUAAUCUGGAUGAAAACAACGUGUUAAUGGAAGACAAGAUACAACCUUGUAUUUGCAGUAUUAAUGUGUUGUUCACCACUCAAAGUACUAAUGUGACAGGAAAAGUGAAUGAUAAACUUAAAAUUUAUGAACAUUAAUUACAGGCCACAUUGACGUGUGAACAUACUGAUAAAAUAAUUUUUGAAAACUUAUUUUCCUGUGAUUAUUAAUUUUUGUUUUUGAUCUGCAGACCAUAAACGACGUUCUAUUUGCAGUUAUAUCAUCUGGAAUAUCAAGAUACCUGGACUUCAGAGAACCUAAUGGUAAACACAUUUGAAUAAACAUAAUUCCCACACAUAUACGAAAACCAAUUACGACUGAUUAAGUGUAUGUUUGGUUCUGUGUUGACAAAAAUUGAUUGAGUGAAUUGAUUAUGUAAUAUUGAUUCUGACUAGAAGUGAGUUGAAGGUAAAAUGAUUCAUGUUUGGAUACAUCUAUGUAAAAGUGAGUUAAACAAUACAUUUGAGUAGAAUCAAAAUAUUCAAUUUCAAGCUUGAAGUAGAAUAAAUUUUGGAGGCAAAAUCACUUUUAUUCCAGAGCAACCAAACACGCAAGAAUUGAAAUCAAACAUACACUAAAUGUUUCUUUGUUGUGCUUUAAGGGCUGCAAGAUGGUGUUCAGCUAACAGGAUUAGCUAUGGUCAACUUGAGGAAGCAGCCAGGAUUGCAGGUAGUCCACUCUCCCCAAAAUUUAGUUCUACAUUGGGUAACAGGAGGAGUAUUAUAUUGAUUUAUGUUUGAUAAGAAUGAGCAUUACUUGCAUCAGGAACUGUCCAAUUUGAUGAAAAGCAAUUCAGGGGCAAAAUGGGGCAACAAAUUUGGUUUGUUCCUACUGCCUAUAUAUUAUCAUAGAAGCAACAGUUCAGAUCCUUUAGAAUAUUUGAAGAGAGCUAAAGUAAUGAUUGACAGAAAGAAACGAUCUUUGGAAGCCCAUUUGUCAUACAAAAUUGGAGAUUUAGUAAUGUCAACUCUUGGUCCAAAGGUGCUUUAAUUUCUUUCUUUCUCCCCUUAUUAUUUCUGUAUAAGCUUAUGGUGUGUGUGAAGUAUUUAUAAAUAUUAUAUAAUUAUUUAAAAAUUGCAGUUUGCUAGCUUGCUAAAUUAUCGAAUACUCUGCAACACUACCUUUACAAUCUCAAAUGUGGUUGGCCCUCAAGAGGAGAUUAUGAUUGGAGGCAAUCCUAUAACGUUCUUAAGGGCAAAUAAUUCUGCCUUGCCUCAUGUACAACCCCUUAACUCACUCUUUUGUUUCUUUACAGCAUAGAGAAUUUUAUUAUUUCUACCUUUUCGUUGAGUAUAAAUAUAAUGGAAGGUUCAUGGCCGGUGGUUGUUAUUGUUAUUCCAGGCACUUGUUUUGAAUAUGGUGAGUUAUGCUGGAAAGGCCGACAUGCAAGUGCAGGUGGCUAAAGACAUCAUUCCUGAUCCUGAAUUUCUUGCCAAGUGCUUUGAAGAUGCAUUACUUGAAAUGAAGGAGCAGGUUACAACCAAAAUCUGACAUUAAUUUGGAAAAUUGUAUUCAUUGGAUGUGGGGCAACAAAUUUAACAUUGCAAUGACUAUUAAUUGAUGAAUUAGUGGUGGUAAUAAAUUUGUCAAAAAGUUGAAUUAGUUUUUCCAAAGGUAUUUUAAAUAGGAGUACAUCUUGUAAAUCAUUAAUGUAUGUUGAAUUUUGAAAAAUGUCGAGUAUUAAAGGAUAAAGGAAAAUAUAAUCAAGUGAUGCACUCAAAUGGUUAACGAGCUCCACCAAAGAACAUAUCGUUUGGGAGAAUCUGAAUUCAAUUUAUAGGUGGAACAAUUCUUGACCGUACUAUAUUCUUAUCUCAUAAUCAAACUCCGAAUUACUAUAAUCCCUUAUAAUUAAGGAUGAAGGGAGUACGUCGGGAUAAUAUUUUCUAUUUUAAAUGUUAUAAAUGGACUAAUUUGUGAUCAAUCCAUUACCACCUUUCAUAGUUUUUAGGGUUAAAUAUGUUUUUGGUCCCUACAUUUUGCCCUCCUUUAAUAAAUAGUCCUUACAUUUCAAUAAAUGUUUUUAAAAUCCCUACAUUUUUCCUCCGAUAGCACAAAUAGUCUCUGCUGUCAAAUAAUUAACGAGAAGCUGACGUGGCAGCUAGUGGAUCCCAUUUUUUUUAAGGGUUAAAUAUGUUUUUGGUCCUUAGAUUUUGCGUGACUUUAAAGAAUAGUCCUUACAUUUCAAUAAAUGUUUUUAAAAUCCCUACAUUUCUCCACCGCUAACAAAAUUGGUCCAUGUCGUCCAUUUUCCUUGAUCGGACAAAUGGAACAUGCCACAUAGAUGCCACCAAGGACAUUUUAGUAAUUUCCAAUAAAGUGCAGGGACAUAAUUGAUUUUUUAGCUGAACCUUCUCUCUCAUCUUCAUCCUCUCUCCGUGUUCUCUCUAUUUCUCCCCAACCACCAUCAGCCUCACACACCCAUCCUCAACCACCACUGUCCUCUCCACCAUCAAUUUGCUCAGAUAUGUUCUCUCUCUUGUCACUGCCAGCUGCAUCCUCUUCUCCCUCACGUUGUCAGGGAACCAUUCAAAUUGCAAGUGACAAUGACGGACCAGAUCGGAGUUAAAGUUGGAAUUUUUGUGAGUAAAGACUUGCUAAAGGUGAAUUAGGCCCCUUCACUUUAUUGAAAAUUACUAAAAUGUCCUUGAUGGCAUCUAUGUGGCAUUUUCCGUUUGUCCGGUCAAUGAAAAUAGACGACGGGGACCAAUUUUGUUAACGGUGGAGAAAUGUAGGGAUUUUAAAAACAUUUAUUGAAAUGCAAGGACUAUUCUUCAAAGUCACGCAAAAUAUAAGGACCAAAAACAUAUAACCCUUAAAAAAAAAAUGGGAUCCACUAGCUUCCAUGUCAGCUUCUCGUUAAUUAUUUGACAGCAGAGACUAUUUGUGCUAACGGAGGAAAAAUGUAAGGAUUUUAAAAACAUUUAUUGAAAUGUAAGGACUAUUUGUCAAAGAAGGGCAAAAUGUAGGGACCAAAAACAUAUUUAACCCUAGUUUUUAAUCAUUUAUAAUAAGAGUUCAUCUUUGCUCCAUUUAGCUUUCCUCAAUUUACCCCAUUUCAAGUUAUAGAUGCGUGACAUAUGGAAAAAAUAAAAUAAAUGGUUGAGAUUAAAACUUUAGAAAAAACAAACUUGUUCCUCUCUUGUAUCUGAAACAACACAUCAGACUUCUUUCUUUUUUUUCUCUCCACUUAUUUUACUUUAAUUAAAGUCAUAAAUAAGGUAAUUAAUUAAAAUAAAAUAAAAAUUGUAUUUAAUAGCCCGUCAAAUUUCCUUCUCCAUUUCAUAUUUACAUUUCUAUAUCUUUUUCAUUUCUUAACAAAUCUUUUUCUUCUUGUAGUUUUUACUCAAACCAAUUUUUCUUUCCGUAAAUUUUUUGUGAAUCAUAUUUUUUUUUUCAAACCAAUUCACGGAAGCCUAUGCAUAAUUAGCAACAUUUUCAAUUAAAAUAAAAUCUAAAAUAAAUUAGCAAUUCCAAAGAUAAAACAUAAUCAAUUAAAAUAUCAAAUACAACCUCUGAAAAAAAAAUAUCAAAUUCAAAAUCAUCAAAUGUGUAAAAAGUGACAAAAUAUUCUUUAAAACAAAAUAGGAUUUCAUGCUUGUAUCACAAAAUAGGAAAUUUUAUAGAGUAUUGAAUACACAUUUUUCUUCUUUUAAUUAAUUGUUUUAUUUAUCAUUUUAAUCAAAGUAAAAUAAAUGAAAUUUGUUCAUUUAAUGCUCUUUAACCAGUGGUGGCACUGUAUAGCAUUACCCUUAUUCUUUUUAUGAUUUACCUAAAAGAAGGUAAUGCUUACCACAAUAAUGACUUUUUAAUUCUAGAUCUGACUUUUUUUUUUUUUUUUGUCUUUUUGUAGAUCUGAAAAAUUGAUAUAAUAGUAAUAAUGCUCACUUCAAUAACAAAUUAAAAAGUAUCUUUAUCUUGUAUAUUUUUUUGGCAGUAAAUAUUUUUUUUGUCAAGAGUAACAAUGCUACUAUAUCCCAGAAUAUUUUUUAUAAGCUUUUUAUAAAGAGGAUAUGUUUUAUCUAUUUGUUUUUUACUUCUUAUUUUACUCAAGAAAGUAUAUGUACAUGAAUGUUACGUUGAAUUUGUUUGUUUAAUGAUCUAGUCUUUUUUGUAGACAUAAGUAAUUUUUUUGAAACAAAAAAUAUUAACUUAUACUGUUUUAUGAUUUGGUCUUUUCUCUGAUUUAUUUGUCCAUCUUUUUCUUUAUUUUGUUCUCUUGUUUUCUAGCAUCAAUGAUACUUUUAUACAAAUAGGAAUCAUAGAUAUAUAUUAUAGUAUUUUUUUUUAGGCUAAACUACAGUUUUGACACUCUAAAUUUGCCAAUGUUGCAAUUUUGACCCCCUAAUAAAAAAAAUGAAUAUUUUGCCCCCUAUAUUUUAGCCCCUUUGCAAAAGUGACAUUUUGGUCAAUUUUGACCAAGUCAACGCCUAAGUGGCAUGCCACCUGUGUAAUUACUAAAUUAAAAAAAAUAAAAAAUCCACAUAAUCAUUUUCUAAAUUAAAUAAAUUGAAAAAUUAAAAAAAUAGAAAAGAUAAAAAAAAACCAAUAGUUCAUCCUCAACUCUUCAACACUCACAAAAUUGAUCCAAAUCCAGAUAAAUCAUCAACAAUAAAUUUUUUGAAACUAUGCUAUAACAACUACUGCUACUGUUACAAAGAAGAGAGAAGAUGAAGCAACAGUGGCUAUGGCGGAAAGUCAAACAAGAAAGGCUCAGCAGAAUACAUCUACGACGAUUUCAUGGCUCAUCAAAUUUUUUUGGAAGGAAUGUUUCAUCUCCCUUCUUUCACUAUUUCGUGGAUCUCUCAAAAUUCAUUCUCCAUUUCAAAGAUUCCCUCUUUCACAUGGAACCGAUUCAAUCCAACGAAUUUCACAAUGACCGACAAACCCUAAUCUCAAAGCAACAAGAAGAUUCAGUAAUGGAAGAUUCAAUCGAUUCUUUGUUCGAUUCCACACAUUUAAAUUUACACAGGUCCAUUUUUUCUUAGAGUUUACAUAUCUUCUUCAUCUAUAUCGUGUUCUUCAGCAAAACCAUGGAUAAAGGGUUUGUGAAUCUAAGGGUUUGAAUCUAGAGAUUUUCUGGGUUUUUUUCUUAAUCUUCAUGAUUUGAAAGUUGUGAAUCGAUAGAGAAGAUGAUAAGAAGCUGAAAAGAAAAACUGGAAUUUACAAGAAUUUGAAGCUUUGAUGAAAGUGAUAAAUGUAACGCCUACUUUCGUUUAAUUAAUUAUUUAAUCGAGUUAGAUUUGAAAAUAAAAUAAAAUAUUUAGUUGAGGGCUGUUUUGAGAUUUUAGAGAGUUUUGGGGGAGAAAGUGAGAUAAGAUAAGAUAUUAGGAAGAGAUAUAAAAAGAGAAAACCUAGUCUUAGAAAAAUUAGUACGUACGAUCAAACUUUGGAAAAAGGAGGAAAAAGCCAUAGAAGGGAGAAGACCAAGAGGAGAACUGCGAUUUUCAUCUAACAAGGUAAGGGUGAGACUAAUGAUUCAAUAAUGUUGAUUAGUAUAAUUCUGAUGAUUAAUUAUCAAGAAUUAGGAUUGAAUUGGAGGAAUCGAAAACAAGGUCAAAUCCCUAAAAUUGAUGAUCAAACGGUAGAAAUUGAUUAUGAUUAGAUUGUUGUAGAAACUGUCCUUUGACCUUAGAAUAUGUUUAGGAUGAAUUCUGGAAUCGAAAUUAGGCUUUAAAACAUGAGUUUAGAUGAAUUUUUGAAGAAAACUGCAUUCUGCCCGAGCCAACAUUCAUCGCUCGCCCUGACGAACGAUGAUCCUCGCCUCGCGAGUGAUAAAGUUCAUCGCUCGCCACGCGAGCCAAUACCCCUCGCCUCGCACAUGUCGUAGCUCGCCACAACGAGCAACCUUACUCGCCAUAGCGAGCAUGACCAAAGAGCUUGUCGAAUUUUGUGAUUUUGACUUUUGAGUUGAACCUUAGAUAGAUGCCUUUGAGUACCCUUAGAUGUUUAAUAAAGAUUAGAGGAUGUUUUAGAACAAGAUUGAACCUGGAACAACCGUAGUUGGAAACCUGGCCUGUACUCGCCAUGGCGAGCAGAUGCUCUCGCCUCGCGAGCACUUCCAGAAUUGAGUGCUUUUGUUAAUGUCGUAACCUGAGUUGUUUGGAUUGGUUAGGAAUGGAACCUUAGGUAGUAAUAUGACCUAUGUGAGAUGUUAACUGAGAUCUGUGAGGCUGUUAUGAAUUGUUAAGCUGUUGUAAUGUGAUUUAAAGAUUAAAUGCAUUACUUGAAUUAUUCUUGAAUAACUUUGAUGUUGUUGAAAAUGAAUUGUUGUGAUGAAAUUAUAAUGUUGUUGUGAUCUGAUUAUGCUGCUGCUGUUAUUUAACUAAGUUGCAUGAGUCAUUAUAAGAUAAAUAAGACGUUGAGCUCCAAAUUAUUGGAUGCAUAUUGAGAUGUUGAUUAAGAUUGUUUUAGAUUGAUUGAGUCCAUGCAUUAGCAAUGAUAUGUUGGGGGCUCAUGCCCUGGAGCUUAGUCCUCACCACGAUGGAGCAUUUGCUCAAAUAAAUGUUGGGGGCUUAUGCCCUGAAAGUAUAUUAAUACUAAACUAUUGGGGGCUCAUGCCCUGAUUGGUACCACAUGCAUAUAAGAGGUUUAGAUUUGCAUUGUCGCAUUUGUCGAGUCAAAAGAUGUUAUGUUAUUGAUGAUGAUUGAAAUGAUGUGAUUACUUGAUAAUUGUUUAUUGAAGAUGCAAUGAUGCUUAAGAUUGUUUAUGUUGUUAAUUAUGAUUUGAAAUUAUAUUGAUUUAUAUUAUUGUGUUAUGAAAUCUCACCCCUUCUGCUUGAAAAUGUUGCUCUUCGUAUGAGUAACUUGCAGGUGAUCGAGCUUAGUGUGCAGAUUGCUGUCGUGGGUGGCCUUGCCUCAUUGUGUCGUCUAGGUCGCUCUGAUACGUAACAGGAUGGGGUUAUAUGAUAUGCAUGCUUCAUUCUGUUACGUGAAUAAUUAUGUUAUUUUAUGAUAUUGAUUAACUCAUUUGAGAAAUUUUGAUGGGGCCUACGUGCCAAAAUGAUUUAUGGAUUUCGAAUUAAUUUUCCGCUGCAAUGUUUAAGAUAUUUGGUUGAAAGUUAAAUUGUUAUUUAACUGAUUUUGGAUUAUGUUUGAAUGUGAUAUCCCGUUUACGAUGUUUACUCUGAUUAAUGUUUAAAAAUUUUAAUAUUGGGAAUACGGGGUGUUACAAUAAAAGUGGAACGAAUCUGAGGGUUUUUUUUUUUUUUUGGUUACGAGGGUUUGGUUUUUCAAUGUAGAUGAACCACAUUUUUUUUCUUCUUUUUUUCCUUUUCUAUUUUUUUUUUAAUUUUUCAAUUUCUUUUUUAAUUAUUUAAUUUAGAAAAUGAUUAUGUAGAUUUUUAAUUUUUUUUUAAUUCAGUAUUUACACAUGUGGCAUGCCACAUAAGCGUUGACUGGGUUAAAAUUGACCAAAAUGUCACUUUUGCAAAGGGGCUAAAAUAUAGGGGGCAAAAUAUUCAUUUUUUUAUUAGGGGGCCAAAAUCGCAACAUUGGCAAACUUAAGAGGUCAAAACUGUAGUUUAGCCUUUUUUUUUAAAAGAAAGCCAAAAUUUAUGAAUCUACGUAAAAUAAAAUCAUUGAGUUUAUAUAAAAAAUAAAGUAAAUCUAUUUGUAGAGUGGAGUUGUAGUGGUGAGUGUCUCCAUGUUAUUUCCUGUUACUUUCUCGAAUAAGAUUGGUGUUUUCAUUUUUUUUUCUUCAUCAAUAUUACAUAAACAUGUUAAAAAUGAAAUGAGGAAAAAAAAAGAAAAAAUAUGUUGAUAUUGAUUAGCUAUUAGCUAGUUGUAGAAUAUAAUAUAUGUAUAUUAUUUCUUAUGCAUUCAUGUAGAAUCUUGCAUAAAAAGGAGUUUCAUUUUUCAUGUUAUAGUUUGUAAGAGAUUUGAUAUGAAAGGAAAAAUAAAAUAAAGACAAUGCACAAUCAAAAAAUGAGUUCAUUAUCAUCUUCUUAUACCUUUGUGAAGAUAAGAGGAGUUUCAUUUUCUUUCAUGUGUUGUUCAAGAUUUUUUUUGUGAAACAAUGAUGAAAAAUAAAAGAGAAAUGAUAUUUGUACAACUACUUUGUGACAACUUUUUGAUAACUUUCUUUCUAAUACUCACAUUAUUCUCUUAUUCUCUCUCUUCCUUUUUUUCUCUCUAUUGUUUUUGACCAAUGAAAAGAGAGAAAAAAGAAGUUGUCGCAAAAGUUGUAUCAAAUGGUUGUUCAAAUAUCACUACUAAAAAAAAUGGAGGUUAGAAAAAAUUGAGAAGAAAAAAGUAUACAUAAAAAACCAGUGAAAGAGAAGAAAAAGUGAGAAUGGUAUGAUAGUGAAGGAUUAUUGAAUGAUAUAUAAAAGAGUAUUUGAAAUUUAAAUUUUGAAUUUUUGCCCCCAAGAGUACAACUUGGAGCAUUGGUCUUGACAUAAAUGGUGACAUUGUACCAGCAAAAGUGAUUUAUAUAGUCUAGUUGCAAUGUAAGGAAAAAGGUGUUUUUUUAAAAGCAAAUCAUAGUUAAUUAUGGUCAUUUAGUUCAAUAAAGAAGUUUCAUUUUUAGCAACCAGCUUGGGAUAAUAGUAGAUUUUCCACAACAUCUUCUCUUCUUAUAUUAAGAGAGAUUGCAGGUGCGAUUUCACUUUGCCAUGCCGGCUGUCGGAAGCUAUGGAAGAUUCUGGCAUAGAUCUCUAAAACUGGAUUCUUACUUUCUGUGAAUUGCAUUUUGCACAUAAAAUUGCCAUGAAUUAUGGAAGGAGAAUUUUGGACAGUUUAAUUUGAAAAUUAAAUUCGAAAAAAAAACUAAAACUAAAAUGAACUUAUUAUACAAUUUUGGAUUCAAUUUGUGGUUUACAACGUGAUUGAUUGAAAUUGUGUAAAUUCAAAUCAACAAGUGGUGGAUCAAGUUGCGUUUGUUCAUUGUAUUAUGCUUGCCGUCAUUCUACCAUUAUCAUUGUCAUCUCCGUCAUCUUCAGUGCUGUGUCUAAAUAAAAAUGCGGUAAAGAGUGACGGAGAUGACGGCGAAGACGGAGACGAAUUUGACGGAGGAAGCUGACCCAAUUUGUGUGGUAUAGGCGGAGAGUAGCUCUGUCGGCCACGACGGCGAUUAUAAUGGGAGGAAGAUGGAAAAGCUAUCUGAGAAAGACAGAAUACGGGAUUGUUUUUCUAUUUUUUAUCACGUAAAUCCUUAGUAUUCUUGAUCUUUUAAUCAUAACCGUUAGAUUUAGUUUUGCCAUAUAUCACACAUCUAUAACUUAAAAUGGGUAAAUUGAGAAAACCUAAAUGGAGCAAAAAUGGUACCUAAAAGAGUAUAUACCUUUUAGCUAUGGCAAUUGCAGUGUGGGAGGUGGCCUAUCCACUACAGAGUUGCAAACUAAACUUUAGUUAUCAUAAUAACAGUCAGUACUAUAUAUUUAUAGUUAUAGACUGCUGGAGCGGCAUCUUGCUGUGAAGUUGGUUGGUCCAUCAACGGGGUUUUGAAAGCAAUGCUUUGUUGGUCAGUGGAUGGCUGGAUAGCAGAACUUCAUUCAUGAUUUGAGGAGAGGGUUAGGUAUUGUUUCAUAAGCUAUAGACAUAAAGAGAAGGAAUAGCGGGCAAAGCGAUCUCAAUGCUUAAAGAAUGGACCAAUCCAAAAUUCGGGAAUGCUAUCGACAACUCCGCUUACCUUAGAAAAAUGCUCUUCUCACAACAAGUUUUGCUCACUCCCUACUGCACUUUCGAAAAUAUUCCCAACGUGAGUUAGGUCAUGCCUGAGUUAAACACUGCAUGAGUUAACUCAAACUGUGUGAGUUAAGUCACGCAUGUGUUAAACACUUGCGUGAUAUAACUCACGCUGGAAUUAACACCUGCGUGAGUUAAGUCACGCUAUGUCGGUGCAAAAUACCAGAACAGCGGAAACUCAAUUUUCCCUAGUUUUUGUCACUCCUUCACUCAUUCACACAUCCAUUCACUCAAUUGCAUCCAUUUUUUCAUCAUUCAUUCACUCAUAAUUAAAAUACGCAUAAUAAAACAAAAAAUUACGCAAAAUAUCAUAAAAACGCAAAGGCGCAAGUGUAAAUAUAUUACAUCCAUAUCCGACAAAAUGUCAUAAAAAACUACAAAUAUACAAAAGUCAUAAGAUAAGACCCUACUCAUGUGGACUACGACUCCUACUCAUUCUCCGCGGAUCCGACACCUCCUCCAGCACGCUAUACUCGGCCAGGAUACCCUCCAUAAUGCCGAGAACGAUUGGAUUUGAAAACACAUCAGGAAACCCCAUUGCACUCUCCACUCUGCCUCUAAUGUUGCCGACACUGCUGCUCAACAAUAACAUCCUCGUAGGGAGGGACAAGAGUUGUGUAGUCAGGAAUGGCUGCAGGGGCGAUCAUUAUAGGCUGGAAUACUUUGUAGAACCAUUUCAUGUACCCUUUUGAAUGCUUCUACACCUCGUCUUCCGGGACCGGAUCACCCCUCUCCUGCUGGUUAAGGACAUGGACAAUAAACUCCAUGAAAGCCAUAACCACCUCUGCUGACUCAAAAUCCGCAAUCGUAAUAGAAGAUCUGGGAGGGUGUAUACAUUUUAUGUUGCUUGUCUAGAACAAAGAUCUUAUCAUUGGAAAGUCUAGAACAAAGAUUUUAUCAUGAAGUAGAGAAGCAAAAUAGCAAUUAGCGCAAUUUAUUAAGGAAAACACUAAAAUGCACGACAAAUAAUUCGUUAAAAUUGCACGAACGCUUUUAUUGUUGUCAAGUAUUUGUUUUUCUUUUCUCAAAAUGACCAGUUUCGUUUCUAAUGGAUUUUCCAUCACAAUCACCUUUUCACUUUGUGAAUAUUAUUAUGCACCACAAGCCAAGUAUUACCAUUGUCAAAUCAACCAUUGGCUGGAUAUGUUUGAUAGAUAUUUAUUAUAAAAAAUGUUUUUUUUUUUUAUUUAUAAAAUACUAUAAUACUAGUAUACAAAUAUCAUUAGUAAACGAGCAAGAAAUCCAUAAUUAACAAGUAUACAAAUAUCAUUAGUAAACAAGCAUGAAAUCCAUAAUUAUCAAAAGUGAAUUACAUAGGAAUGAACAAUCACAAAGUCUUUCGUUCAUUUAACAACACUCAUUUAUCAGAGAAAAUAUGACUCUUUUUUAAGUCAAGAUCCUCUCCAUUUACAAUUGUCUCCAUUUCCUCCAUUUAGAGAGAUAAAAACACAAAAAAAUCUUGAAAAAAUAUAAAGUAAAUUAAUGAUGGUGGGACACAUUUAAUUAAAGGCUUAAUAGCAGUUUUGACCCCCUAUGUUUCAAGAAGUUGCAAUUUUGGUCCUUUUACAAAAUAAAUUACAAAACCACUCCUUAUGUAUUGUCCCUUUUGCAGUUUUGACCCUCCAGGCCAAUUUUGACUAAAUCAAAGCUGACGUAGAUGCCACGUGUGUCAUUUUUUUUAAUAAAAAUAAAAUUUACAUACGUGUGUAUUGACUUGGUCAAAAUUGGUCCGGGGAACCAAAACUGCAAAAGGGGAAAUACUUAAGGGGAGAUUUUGUAUUUUAUUUUGUUAGGGGGCCAAAACAGCUAUUAAGCCUUAAUUAAAAUAUCCACUAUUUUUUUUUUGUGUCCGUCUCUCUCCAAAUUGUAUUCUCCAUUUAUUUUAACAAAUGAAGAAGAUCUUAACUCCCCUUUCAUGUCCAUCUUUGCUCCAUUUAGGCUUGCACCAUUUAUUCCAUUUACCUUCAUAGAUGUGCGACACGUGUCAAAAGAAUAUCGAAUGGUUGAAAUUUAAAAGGGACAAAUAAGUAAUAAAACAAAAUCCCUAGCAAUCAGGUUCUGAAAAAAGUGACAUCGACGACCUUCACAAUUGAUUUUUUAGAUUUUCAAAAUGGGCCAAAACCACCGCAUCCGGCGGAGCCACCGUCCUCCGACGAAGCAAAACCUUCACUCUUCCCUGUAUUCCCCGUAACAAACUUUUCUCUUCAAAUCAGAUGUUGUUCCACCUUCUUUGUGUGAUAUAAGUUUCGAUUAAAUAAAAUAAGGGAAGACACCGAUUGAAUUGAAUUAGCACUAAAAACUAGCAAGAAAGUUUGGAUUUCACAAUGUUUUAGUUGUUACCAUUGCUAGUUGUGAACUCAAGUAAAUUGGCAUAAUGGAUUUCACGCAGUCAUUCAAAAUUGGGUUUUCUUCUAAACUCAAUUUGGAUGAAAGUUUGCCAAUUUGGGUGGAAAUGAAAUUGAUGGAAUUGGGUUGGUUUCAAGCUUCUUCUGUUUUGAAACAGGCAACGGGUUAUGGAAAAAGAUAUGGAAAUUGUGUUUCUAAAAGCAAUCACAUGUGUGUUUGUUUAUUGUUGUCUUUUUUAUUUCAACCGUUGGAUAUUAGUAUAUCACGUGUCACACAUCCAUGAUGAUAAAUGAGGUAAAUGGUGCAAAGACAAAUGGAGCAAAUAUGGACUCUCCCCUUUCCCAUCCAAGGUCCCACACACACUCCAUCCGUCCAAUUCCCAAAAGGACCAACAAAACCAAUUACUAAGAGGACCAACAAAAUCAUGCUUUUGCAUAGUCCUUGGAACAAAUCACUAAAUGAGGAAGAACCCAACCAAAUACUCCCUCCGUGCCCCGUAUGUAAUUUUGCAUUUUUCAUAUUCAUUAAAAAAAAAAGUUAUCAGUGUAAUUAAUGUGUCUAUUUUGUGUAUUAAUAUUACCAAAUUGUUCUUUAGGGGUAUUAAUUAAAUUUGAUUUUUCAUAUUUUAAGACAAGUUAAUAGUAUUAAUUAGGGGGUAUGUAUAGGAAAUAAUAAAUGCAUCUAGUAAUUUAAAAAAUGGUUUAUAUGUAGAGACAAAAAUAAAGUCAAAUGAAUGCUUAAAUAUAAGAAUAGAGAGAGUAUAAUACUAAGAACCAAUUCAAGGAUGAGUCACAAGAUACACCCAAAAGACAUAAAUCAUCACCAUACACUAGAUCCACUUCUGGUAGAGUUCGCUUACACCAUAACAAAAAAUGCUUCUUUGAUCACAACCCAAAUAAAAAUAUUAGAGCGCACACACAAAUUAUAAAGAUUAAAAGAGUUAAUUAUAGAGUGGUGAUAGGUCGAUAUUCUUAGGUGGCAUAUCACCCUUGUACACACUUCCACAACACAAAGUUUUCUUAUAAUUAAAGGUUUAAAAGGCGAUUAAAGAAAAAAGAGGACACUUGUCACAAAUGUGUGUGGAGGUUAAAAAGUAUUCACAAUUAAAGAGUGUCAAUCUAUCAUUUUUCUUAAUUAACUCAUGUUAAUUGAUAAGAAUACAGAGAAAUUCUUGUGUAGGAACGAACCUAACCUGUCAACCUUACAAACAACAAAUUAAAACAUGACACGUCGUUGUUUUUCCACCAUAAAUGGUGUUGGUGGUGAAUGGUGAUGGAAGAUCACGAGUGGAGAGAGAGAGAGAAAGGACUAGUUGAUUUAUUUUUUUAUAAUUAUUUUAAAAGAAAACAACGACGUGUUAUGUUUUAAUUUGUUGUUUGUAAGGAUGAUAGGUUAGGUUCGUUACUACAAAAGAAUUUCUCAAGAAUACAUUAUUUUUGUUUAAAUUUUUUUAUUUUAUGUGGGUGUGCCUAAGUAUUUUUCAUAUGAAAUUGUUCCCAUUGAAGACUUGCUCCUCCAUACCAUGGACGAGUAAAUAUUUGUGGUUAUUUUUUCACCCAACACUGUUAUUUCAUAUGAAAUUGUUCCCAUUGAAGACUUGCUCCUCCAUACCAUGACUUUCGAAAGCAAUUAACAAUUGAUAUGGUGGCACAUUGUCACUAUUUCACAUCUUAGUUUUAAUAGAAUGAUAGAUAGAUAAAUAGAAAGACAGAAAGUCAUGCCAACAAAUUAAAAAUGGUUUUUUAUGCAUUACAAAAUAAAAACUUAGACAAAUGCUCUAAGGCAGAAAUCUGGGCAAAGCUUGUAAAAACUAAUCAUCACCGAAAGCAUGAUGGUUCUGAGAAAGUAGCAUAAUGUCACAGUACUCAGUAUGGCGGAGGAUAGAAUCCUGAAAGAAAGAAAAAAUGUGAUAGAAAUUAAGCAAGAGAUGAAAAUUGAAAUGGUUGGCAGAGAGACAAGAAUUACUUACCAGCGUUUGGAGGAUAACCUGUAGGUGGAGGGUAUGAAGGCGGUGGAUAGGCUGAAGAUGGAGGAUAAGAGUGGGGAGGAGGGUAUGGCGAUGGUGGUGGUGGUGGAUAGGGUGAUGGAUUGUGUGAAGCAGCAGGGUAAGAUGGUGGUGGUGGAUAAGCAGAAGCAGCAGCAGCAGGUAUUGCUGGAUUGUGAUAAUUAGAGUGUGGUUGUUGCUGUGGGUAGUAGGAAGGAACCUGAUUAUAUAACGGGACUGCCGGCGGUGUUGCCAUGUAAGGAAUAUGGCUUGAGGAGCCUGCAGGUUUCUGCAAUAUAUUACCAUCACAAACACACUUAUUAAUCAUCAAUUCCAAUCCUUAUAUGUAUGUAAAUAAAUAUAAAUACUGAUGAAAAUAGGUUACCUGGUGAUUCACUUUGGCAUUAGCAUAAUGCAUUAUGAGUUUCACUUCACCUGCGUGUCUGCCAACCAGACAGACAAAGAUAUAGGAAUAAUGCACUAUCAAAACUUGAACAAUAGUAUCGGAGAAUCUAUCUAUUAUGAAAGCCGGAAAUUCACAAUAUAUAUAUGUGAAAAUUAGGAUAUAGUAAUAUGAUCUAGACACAAAUAUGAAUGUAUAUAAUACUUGUAAAGAAAAGAUGCAUUGAUAUACUUCAUUAAUAUAUAAUUGCAAUGAAGCUAUGAAGCACGGAUAUGGACACCGAACACAGCUAAUAAUUUGAAAAAAUCACAUAUAAUUAAGUGUAAUUACAAGCGUCGUAUCAGUGACACCGAAACAUGCCUAAUCUAAGGAGUGUCCAUACUUCAUAGCGAUGAAUUUGAAACAGCCUCGCUUAUAUAAUAUCUUCUUUCUUAUUACUCUCUUACAUAAAAAAAAAAAAAAAACACAUAACAUAUAAGUCUAGUUCAUCAAAAACAAUUCUAUCGACUAUCUUAAUUACAUAUGUGAGGUCUCAAUAAAAAUAUAUUUUAACAAAAUAAAUUAAAGGUAAAAUUACACAAUUAAUCCCUUAAUUUAAUUUUAGGUAACAUUUUCGUCCUUUAUCUUUUUUUUUUUUUAACGAUUUAGUCCUUUAUGUUAUAAAAUAACAACAUAGUUAUCCUUUUUAUGAAAAAAAUAAUCAAAAAUUCCAAAAAAAAAAUUCAUCAAACUCAUAGACAAACACAAAUCUUCAUCAUACUAGCCUAGAAAAUCAAAUUUCAUUGAAAAAAUCUCAUACAAAAAUGAUAAAAUAGUGUCAUUUUAUAACAUAAAGGACUAAAUCGUUACAGAAAAAAGAUAAAGGACGAAAGUGUUACCUAAAAAAGUUAAGUAACUAAUUGUGCAAUUUUGCCUAAAUUAAAAUAUAAUUUUGAUGCGUGUGCGGGACUGAUACAUAGUUGGGCUUCAUACUAAAUAAAUGAAUGGGUAAAUUAAAUGAAGGUAGCAAUAGCAACAGAAAUAGGCAUAACAUAUAUACCUGCCAUUUUUAGUUUGAAGUGGCCAUGCAGAGUCAUCAAAACCUUGAGAGAGAACCUUGUGCAAUUGAACCUUUCCGGUGCCGAUAAAGUCAUCAGAGGUGACAGUAUUGUAGUUCCAAACAGCGACAUUGAUCUCACGAAGGCCUUCAAUGAGGGAAAACACAAACUUCUCUUGAAAAACAGGGUUUUUUCCACCAUCUGAAAUCAAAAUUGAAGGAGUAAACAAAAAGUCAAGAUAAGGGUCAAACUAAUUAACCUACCUACCUACCUACCUACGUACCUGUGCAUGUUUUGGUUCGGAACUUGUUGGUCGCGUAUUCAAGGCAAACAUAAGGAUCUUGUCUUGAAAUCCAUUCUGUGUCUUUCAAUUUCGAGCAACACACCACUGCAAAUCAAACCAAACGAACCAUUCAUCAUGUCUUAAUAAUAGUCAAAUCAAAUAACACUGUUGUUGUGUUAUGUUUGCUUACCAGUAACCUCGAGAGGUUGCCCUUGGAUCCCUGCUAUCGUUCCGCUAGACAUCAUCGUUUUCUUUUAAUUCGUUUCUAAGGAAUCGAUUCAGAUUCAAUAUGCAGAUUUUUGAUCCACAACAACAUGUCUUACUUAUAAACAAAAAAGUUGAUACUAUUCUAUUAAUUACCAAAAUCUUCUCCAUUUAUUAUUAUGCCAAUUCCAUUCUUUUUUCACACGUUUUCAUAAUUACAACGCGUAUAUCCCAUUUGUUUUUUCUUUUCAAAAUACUUACUGCUUUACCUUCUUUUUUUUUAGGAAUACUUUACAUUUUAAAUGAGGAACAAAAAUAUAAUUUACCAUAGGAAAAAAAAAAAAGAAAAAGAGAGAGAGAGAUUCUCAUAGUUUUUUUUCUUUUUACUAACACGAACAGCAAAUAAAAAAAAAUAAAAAGGCUCGUUUUUAGUUUAGGAAGAUAAAUUAUUAUAAUUAUCGACUAUAUUUUAUAAUAAACAGUCAAAAGUGAAAAAGUAAUUUUUAAGUUAAUAUUUUUUUUUGGUAGAAAAUUUUUAAGUUUUUUUGUUUGGUAGUGGCCGGGGUUUGAAACCCAAACCUUACAUAUUUUAUGCAUCGUCCAACCAACUGAGCUAAGCUCACGAGAACAAAUUUUUUUUAAUUUAAUAUAAUAACAAAAACUUUACCUUAUUUUUUAAAGCUCGUUUUUAUGAACUUUAUUUCAAAAGUAGUUUAAAGGUCAUAAAAAUGCAGGGCCAAAAAAGAAAAAAAAAUUAUUAAAACUUUCAAAUGUAAUAUAUUAUUACUAGCAUUUAGACGACAUGUAUGUCCGUUCUUCUUAUUGCGCUAACUAAUACAUAAUUAUGAACGGUAAUUUUUAUAAAAUUUUGAUUAAAAUUAUAGAUAUAGAUAUAACAUAUAUUUUGUAUUUUAUAUUGUAGGAAAUUAUAUUUGUCAUUUCAAAUGAUACCACCAAUAUAAUAACUAUAAUAUUUCUCAAAAAAAUAAACAAAUAUAAUAUAAAUAUUAUCUUUUUGAAUGAGACCAACAAAUAUUAUAAUAAUCAAAUUUGUUUAAAGUUAUAAUCGAAAAAGAUAGGCUAAUUUUUUUUUUUUUUUGUGGUGGUCGAAGUUCGUACCCCGGACCUUGGGGAGUGCAAGAAGCUCUACAGAACCGGACCUCUAAAAACUAUGGGUCUAAAAAAAAUUAUAAUACCCACCCCCACUUAAAUUAAAAAACACUACAAGAAAAUCAGCAUUUUGCGACACCGCAAUUGCGACCCUUAUUUGCAACAGUUGUUGCGACAGUUAUAGUGAACAGUCGCAGUUUUUUUUUUUUUAAAUUAGAAGGCGCGUAGUUAAUUGCCCAUUCCCUGGCCAAAUUUUUCAUUCACUCCAAUACUUAGUUUCACCUCCCGGUCUAUCUCACUUUCCCAAAAUUUUCUCUAAACCCUAAGACCCAAUUAUGUCUACGUCACUCUCAAAUGUCAAAAAAUUUCUCAAUUUCAUCCCCAAAGUCUUUGUUCCCUAAAUCUUCUCACUCUCAAUAGCUCACCCCCAAAACCUAACCUUUCAAUCGGAGCUCAAUCAUGGUCAACUCACUCAAUCGGUGCUCAACUCACUCACCCAAUUGGUGUUAUGUCUGAAUCGGUGCUCAACUCAAAACCUCUUCAACAACAUAGCCUCUUCAACAACACAACUAUCCUCUCUCUUUCUCUGGUAACCCUCAAAACCUUAUUAAUCUUUUCUUGUUUUACGCUGUUGUUGUGAGUAUUUUUAAAGUAAUGUUAUCCAGUAACCCAUUGUUUCAUUAAAAUCUGUAACCCUGUUUUGAAAUUUUGAGUGAAAUAUUAAAAUGAGAUUUUACUACUUUUUUGAGUGAAAUGUUGAAAUUUGAUGACCCAGUAACCCUGUUUUGUUGUUCUUGAAGUAAUAAUUUAUCUUUUAUCUAUGCUGAUUGUGAAGUUUAGGAUUUGGAAGUGUUUGUGAUUUGGAAGUUUAGGAUUUAGUUUCCUAUGUAUAAUUUUGUAGUAAUUUUAAAAAUCUUACUGUGAAAAUGAAUUUCAGCAGAGUAACUGGUUUGUAUUUUUCUUGUUAUAGAUUUUUUUUUUUUUUUUUACUGUUUAUGUCCAGGGGAAUUGAUGACGUCUUCUAACAUUGGCCUAGUACUAGAGUGAACAUGUGCUGUGAAAAAGCUUUCAUAAUACGUGUGUUCUUAUGCUGAUUCUUUGGUUUCUUUGUGAUGAAAUUCUGUAUUUUUCGCAUUUUUGGGUUUCUCUAAACCAUUGCCGACAAAUUGAAAAAGGUUAAUUUGUUUUGUUUAGGAUUAGUUGAUCUGUGAUAUGGUUUGAUUUUGUUGCUAUGGUGAAUGAUUUGAAAUGUAUUUUUCAUUGCUAUAUGUAUUUAUAAUUUUAGUGUGUGAAAAAAAAAGAUACUUUAAUCCUUUAAUUGGUUGUUCAAAAUUUCAUCAGUUGUAGGAUGCAACUACAAUGAUUGUGGCUGUUGUUUAUGAUUUUUGACAACUGAUUUCUUUUUUCUGAAUGUGUUGUGUGAGCAUUAGUGUGGUGAGAUUGUUCAAAGGAAAGUGAUUUCCAUGACGCUUGUUGGGUGUGAUGGCUUGUUCAACUGAAUUCACUCGGUUAUUCACUGUUGCAGGAGCAUUUAAUGUACUUUUCUUGCUCAGUUAUUGUCUUUGAGAUUCUUACCAACGAGUUUUGAAGCUGCUUCGGAAUAUUCAGUUCCUAUCUUUUUGGUAAUAUUCAGUUCCUAUUUAUCUCAGUUUACAUGCAUAUUGCAUUUGAUUUAGACUUUUCUCACAUGCAUAUGCCUGAAAUAAAUUUUUAUGCAAAAUUAAUUUAAGAAAGUGUGGUAUGAAAUAUAGAAUAAUAAGGAGUGUUCUCAAAGUGUGCUGAUAUGUAAUUUUAAAGAGUGGCGUUGUGUUAGUGGUGCAAUGGUUUUUACUUGUGGCAUGAGAUGUGACAUUUUAUGUUAAGUUUUAUUUUGGUUUUUAAUUGGGGGCUGAUAUUUCAAGUCUAUUCCUGAAGAUAGAAAAAGUAGUAAUGUACCCAAUUUGACAAGGCUGUGAAAUCUACGUGGAUAUGUUAGAAAAAUAUAAUAUUAUAGAUAUACCACGAAAGAUAAAAGAAAAGUUGAUUAUCAUCUAGAAAAGCUUUAAAUUAGACCUUGAAUUUUGAUCAGUUCGAAUAAUGUUUGGCUUUAGCUCUUGGUUGAGCAGUUACUGAUAGGUCCAGGCAGAAGGGUGGGGCGUGUUUUUGUCAUUAGAUGUAGCAGGUGCAGUUUUGUAUUGGGGGAUAAAUAGCUGCGUUUUUUGGUGCAGGUUUUUUAGUUUUGUGUCCCUUGGUCAAUCCUCUAUUGUUUUCUAGAUUGGCUACUUUAGUCUUUGGUGAGCCGAGAUCCAAGAAAUCAGGUUUUAACUUUAACUGUAGUAGAUUAAGUUUUUUUUACAAUUAGUGUUGGAAUCUUUUAAAAAAUGUAGUGAAGUUGCAAGCUGCUGUUCGUGAGCACUAGGUUAGGAGGCAUGUCACAUUCAGAUGGCACUAGGUUAGGUUCGCGAGUGAGUGUGUGGCUGCUAUCUAAUGCUAUUGUUUACUUUAUUUGAGGUGUGGGUGUCACCAGAUUCAAAGUCAUUGGUAAUUGUAUGUCAGACUAUUUAAUGACAUUGAAAACAUCUUUAACGUGGUUGAUUUAUUUGAGGCUAUAGAUUAUAUGAGAUAUGUCUGCUAUUUUCUGUUUUAUUGGUGUUAUUUAUCAACAUGUUAACUCUACUAACAAAAUGCUUACAACAGAUUCACAACAAGUCUGAUUUGUUACGUGCAUAUUGUGUCGCUUUGCCAUCUGCUCUGUUUGUGCAUACUUCCUUUUGUGUCGCUCUCUGUUCUGCGCGCUAUUGGUUUUUUUAACUCUGGUGCUGUUUAUGUAAGUCUUUUUUCCCUCAUGUUUUUUUAUCUUCGACUGUUAAGUUUGCACAUUUUUUCGAUAUGUUAUUGUUGGAAUUGCACAUAUUUGCUGAUGCUAUAUUCUGUUAGUAUAGAUUAUUUCAUGCUUGCUUUCAUGUAUAGAUAAUUCUGAUUAUAGACCAAAACAUUGGACAAGAUUUGUCUUCUUCUUCUUAUGUGAAAGAACAGUUGAAAUUGAUAUGGAAUAUGAUACAAAUUUUGGAUAUAAAAUCAUAUGAAACUAUCAUUACUGAAUGUUGUGUUUUUACUUUUAUCUUGACAACUCUGGUGCUUUUUUUUAGCAAUACAAGUACUCGAAUAUUGUGCCAUUUAUCGAUAUAUUUGACAACUCUAGUGUUUUUUUUCAGUUUCAAUAUUGUGUUUCAAUUUACUAAUCAUUGUCUUCUUUAUUUUUCUUCUUCAUUCAACCAACAAAUUUAGAAACAAGAGAUGGUAGACAUUCAUCGAAGUCUAGCUACCGCCUCGAGGAUCAUUGAAGCAACAUCAUUAGGGAAUAUUUAGAUAUUUUAUGGCUUAUAAUUUUGCUACAGUUGUUUUGAAUGUUCAGUCAUUAGUGUUUCGAUUUUUUGAAUGUUUAAAUUUGGUGCUAUAUCUUUUGUUUUAGUUAAGUUGAUGUAUGGAUCAAACUUCUUACUCUUGAAUUAUGUAUAUUUUUGCAUUUCAAGUCUUUAGUAAUAUAUUUAUUUGUGAUUGUCUUCAAAUUCUAUAGAUAAAAAAAAUGAAAUCAGGCCAUAUCAAACAGUCGCAACAUAUUAAAUAUAUAUAUAUAUAUAUAUAUAUAAACACUUGCGACUGUUCAACCAAUCGUAGAAAAUUAAAUUUUAAAUUUGACUUUUGCAACAGUUAGAAACUGUCGCAACUUCCUUGAAAACCAUGUGAAAGAUGUACAUUUGCGACUGUUGGGAACUGUCGCAACACCUUUUGCGGCUGUUGGUGCGACUAUUCUACGAAGGGUCGCAAAAGACAGUUGCGACCCCAACAUCCGUGACUGUUAGGGAACAGUCGCAAAUGUACAUUUGCGACCCUUCUAACAGUCGCAAUCAACGUUUUUAAAAGUCGCAAAAUGCAGUUUUUCUUGUAGUGAAAUUACAUGUUACUUUUUUUUCUUCUUCUGGACACGUAUGAGUUUUUUCUAGACUCUAGUUCUACUUUUCGGACAUAAAUUUGAUGCUAUCAAACCACCAUCAAUUUGUAUAAUCACUUAAUCAGUCAAUUUGAAAAGCUAUUUCAUUGAAAUAAUCACAACAAUUAUUUUUUUUCCGCAUAAACCAUUCGUUUUCCCCUUUCUACGAAGUAGUAGUGACAUUCCAAGUGAAAACCGUUAAGUAAAUUUCACCUCUCUUUCACUUAAUUUUAUUUUGUUUUGUUUCCUGUUUAAAAGUUCUUUUGAUUUUGAUUUCUUAAUGAAACUUAGCUACACAAAAAAAAAUCGUUUUUAUUUUACUGAAGCCUAUUCUAAAAAUAGAACCAAGCCUCUUAUUUCAUAGGAAUGACCCUGCUUACAUAUAAUAUGCAUUGUUCAUACCAAUUGAGUUAAGGCUCACGAAGAUAAAGAUAGUCUAGUUAUAAAGGUAGACUAAGUAUUUUUAAAAGAAAAAACUCCGGUCAAAAUAAAGAAAAGAGACUAAGUAUUUAUUUUUAAAAGAAAAACUCCAGUCAAAAUAAAGAAAAGAAAAAGCAAAUGGAAUACGCGUGAAGAGAUAACUUCUGAAAAUAGGAUAAUAUAUGGAGUUAUUUUUUAUUUUUUUUUGAAAGAAGGAUAAUAUGGAGUUGGUAUGACAAUAAAUGCCCCUGAUUUCCAGUCAAAAAAUAAGUGCUUUGAUUUUGUUAAUUAACACUUUCUUCAUCCUAAUUAUCUAAUAUAUUUUUUCCAAAAAGAGUAAGCCAUUUUGCAAAGAUAUUCCGUCUCAAAUUAGAUGUUCCGUUUAAAUCUUACAUGUUUAUCAAAAAAAUACUUAAUAAUAUUAAUUUUAAUGGAAAAAUGUGUUUCGGUUAUUAAAAUACUCGUAUUAAUUAUAUUCGGUAGAAUAGUUAAAUGAUUGUUAUACGAAAAAUAAAAGUAUGAUAGUAAAAAAGAAUAAUAAACAUUAUAAAAGAGACAACAAAUAUUAGACUGAAAAAUAACGAAGAUGAUACGUUAUUUGCGAAAGAGAAAGUAUAGUAUGAUAAUUAACAUUUUCAAUUUUUAAUACAGGAUCAACGCCUUUUUCCUUAAAAAAAUUAAAAGACUUUUUUAAAAGACUUUUUUAUAAUGAAAAAGUCUUUUAGUAUUCAAUCAAGACUCUUUUCAAUUUAAAAAAAGUUUUGUGUUAUUCAAUCAAGAUUCUUUGUCAUUUAAAAAAAGUCAUGUGGUAUUCAAUCAAGACUUUUAAUCACUUAAAAAAAGUCUAGUGGUAUUCAAAAUCAUUCAAAUUUCGAAGGAUUGUUUAAUAAACCAGAUUUUGAUGGAUUUUGUUGGAUUUUCCAGUGAAAUUUUAAUAUGAAAAAGUCUUUCAUAAAAACAUGAGAUUUCUUAAAAUUAUUUUUUUUCUUUUAAGAUUUUACUCUCUCCCUUCUCUCUUUUCCUCUCUCUCUCUCUCUCUCUCUCUCUCUCUCUCUCUCUCUCUCUCUCUAAUUCCCUCUCUCUCUCUCUCUCUCUCUCCAGUUCUAGCUCUAGCUCUCCCGUAAAAAAUAAAAUAAAUAAAAGAGUCUUUAUUGAGAUUUUGUGAAAGAGAGUGUGUUAUGAUAUUUUUUUCAAUUAUUUCUUAAAAUUCAUAAAAUCUGUUGAAAUCUCUUGAAAUCUAUAAAAUCAUUUCAAAUUUUAUGAAUUAAAUCUAUUGAAAUCCUUAAUAGUCUUUUAAAAUUAUCAAAGUCAUCAAAAUCCUGCAAAGUCUUUUAAAAUCUUCAAAGACUUUUUUAAACAAAAAUUAUCCUUUAAAAUCAUAAUCCAAUACACCCCCUAAUAUUGCUCGCAUAAUUUUCAGUUCAUGAACUUUUACUUUACCUUGCUCGUUUUUCCGUUUUCACUAUUUUUAAUUGUAUGUUUAUUUCAUCGUAUUAUUUGGUUAUAAAAGAUCUAACUUCUUCUUUGAGAAACAUCUAACUUAUGUUAUAUUGUUCAUAUUAUCGUUUGUAAAAUUAUUCCUAUUCUAGAAUUCAACUAAUCUUUAAUUAAAAAUUUAAAUAUAAUACUAUACUAAAAUAAAAUUGCAAUUAUAGUCUUCCUAAACAAAUUGUAAUUCUAACAGUUUCAACAAGUAUUAUAAUUGAAAGAUGAAAAAACCCGUUCAAAAUCAUGUAUCUAUUUUUAUUUUGUUACAUGAUGGUAUGAAAUUUUCUUCAUCGCUUAACAAUGAUUAAUCUCUGCUCAUAGACAUACAAGAUGUCUUGUUCCCAUUAACCAUAUUUUUUGAUAUACAUGAGACAAAAACCAAACCUCGGGGCUUGAUCGCAUCACAUGUUUAAGAAGCUCAAGUCCCUUACCACUUGAACCAAUCUAUUGUUGAUAAACUAUGUACCUCUAUAGAUUAUGACCGUUCGAUUUCAAAUCAAUGAUUAAUAUUCAUUGCAACGUAAAAGUGAGUGAGUUAUUUACAACAAGGAAUCCCUUCUUUUGUUGCUUAAACCUUAUAUCCUCCGCACGCAACUGCGAAAAUUAAUUAAAUUAGAAGAGACUCGUGUCAUCUCAUAUAUACGUUUCAGGUGGAAUCCUGUUUUUUUUUUAAUUUUUUUUAAGUAGUUUCAAUAAAUAAAUUAUAGGAAAUGUUAACGAGUGUUCCCAAGAUACUUUUUAAGUUUUUAUGGAAAUUCAUGUAAUCACUGCAUUUAAAAUUGUAAUAGUUAACUUUUAAAAAAAACACUCAUCUCCACUCUCAUGAUAAAAUAUAAACAUUCCUCCCCUUUUAUUAAAAACAUAUUAGAAAAUAUUUCGCUCACCUCCUUCGAGAGAAGCUUGAAUUACACUUCCCAUUCAUCUUAUGUUAAAAUAUACGCUUUACUCUUUCAAUAAUAUUUUUUAUUUCUAAUAAUCUAGUAAAAAAAAAAAUCUAACAAACUUCAAAGAAAAACAGUACUGCAAGUCCAUUUUAAUAUAGUCAAAAUUUGAAUGCAUAUUUUUCGCUAUUUUUUAUUCACAAUUUCAUUAACAUGUAGUUUUAAACCAUAUUAUAAAAUACGAAACAACCCAAAAUAAAACUAAAAUAUGUGAAAAAAUUACUAAAAUCAAUUACAUAUGUUUACUUAAAAGUGAAUUUUAUACUCCAAAUCAUAAAAUUAAUAACAAAAUAUUUAAGUUUGAUUAUCAUUGACAUUUAAAUUAAAAAGAAAUAAAUUUGUUUAUUUUAAUUGGUGAUUUUAAAUGGGAAAUGUUAUCUUGUGCGACACAAGUUAAUGAGCUAAAAGUGGAAAUAAAUUGUUGUAAUUAAUGCAUUUGAAUUUAAUUCUUUAACUUUUGAUUAAUUGAAUGCACAAAAUUCAAGAGAAUAUUUCUACUUUGGGAUUGCUUAACAUGCGUCCUUAGAGCACAAGUUAACAUGACCCAUUUUAAAUUAGUAUAUAUUGUAAAAAUAUUUAUUUAUGUUAAAAUAGAUUAAAGUGUACUGUAUAGUUAAUUAUCAAGGGAGGAGGUAGUAAUUCAAGCAUCUCAUAGGGGAGGGGAGUAUAAAUUUUACUUUUCAAAGGAGGGGAUUGUAUAUUUUAACAUAAGAGUGGAAGAAAAUAUAAUUCAAGUUUCUCUUGGAGGGAGGAGUUGAGUGUUAUUUACUCUUAAAAUAAUAAUUUCUAAAUUUAAGAUCCUUAAAAAGUGUCUUAGGACCUUCGUUAACAAGAUCUAUACAUUAUUCUUUUAUUGUUUUUGUUUGAGGUAGUAAAUGAAUUAUUCUAUCUAUCUCUUGAUUUCCUUUCUGGGUUUUGUUAACGAGUGCCCCAGACACUCUUUAAGCAUACCAAAAUAAACAAUUAUUCUUUUAAAAAGUCAAUAUUUCAAUUUGAUUAGAUACAUUUUCAUAAAUACUUAUUACUUAUGGUCCUUAAAGAGUGCUAUAUGGGCACUCAUUAACAUUCUCCUUUCUUUAAUAAGCAUGUAGAAGGGUUCUCCUAAAAAAAACAAACACGCAAGUAAGGGAGAAAAUCGGCUAGGCCAUAUCAGGUUUUGUAAGGUAUAAGUCUGGUGUAUUUAAAAAAUUAUAUGCAUGAACCUGACCUAUUUCUCGUCACACUAAUAUAUCUGCUACUAAAUAACCAAAUCACAUGAAGUCUUGAGUUUAUGAAGAAAAAACUACAACAAUAUCUAUAAUGGAAGAUAUAUUAUAUAUUAAAUAUUUAAUAGACCAACAUGAAAGGUUUAAUAAUUUUUUUUUGUAUGGUUUAGCUUGAUUUGUUUAAAGGGAAAUGUUAACCAAUGCCCCAGACAUUAGUUAAGCCCUUUAAAAUGUAACUUAUCAUAAAAUUAUGUGUAAUCAAUGUAUCAGAAAUUGAAAUAUUUGAUUUUUUUAUAAAAUGCUUCUUCUUUUGGAAUCCCUAAAGAGUGUCGGGAGCACUCGUUAACAAGAUCUUUAGUAAAAAAAAAAAAAAAAAAAAAAGUAGGUGGGUUAAUUUGGGGAUGACGUGACGAAUAAUAAUAUUUAAAGAAGACACACACGAUACGGGUGAUGUGAUCUGUGUGCAUAUAUUCAACUAGUAAAAUACCCGUGCAUCCGCACGGGUACUGGUUGGUCGGGGAUGAUUUUUGGUAGUUUAGAUUUGACAAAAUGUAUUUGUAAACAGUUUAACUUUAGAACAUUCAAAAGAAAAUUAUUUUGAAAAUUAAAUUAUAUAUGUAUUUGAAUUUUAGUAAUGAAAAUGUUUAGAUUGUAUUAAUGUAUGAUAAAGGAAAAUAUUAAUAUUAAAUUAUUUUGAAAAUUAGAUUGUUUGAUUGUGAUAGUAGUACAAAGGAAAAUAUUAAUAUAAACGUAUUUUGAUUUAGAAAUAAAAUUUCGUAACACAGUUAUAUUAAAACGUUAAAUAUUUGUGGUCGCAAACAAUGUUUAUAGAUAAACUUAUAUUGUUGAUUGAACUUAAUAUUUAUAGAUGAUAGGACAAAUUAAUUGGUGGAUAUAAUAUUAAAAUAAGUAAGGAGAACCUGAAUAUUAAAGAAAUGUUAUAGAGGCACAGUGGAAGUCGUAGAAAAAGGACAAAAUCUAAGGCAUAUAGUUUCUAUAACAAUAAAUUAUGAAAUGCGUAGUAAAUGUUAAAAGUAAUAUUACAAUAAUAAUUUAGUUUGUAGUAGUAGUUAAUAACGUCUAUAAACUUUUUGAACAAAAAUAAUGUUUUUGGCCAUAAUUGAGUCGCAUUUAAAUUGGAGUAGACUUUUGGGAGAAAUGUCAUUGUGAAAGCAGAAAGAUCUCCAACCACGUGUAAUAAUCACAGUUCUUGUAUUGCUUUUGACAUCCUUUUUGAAAACUAAUUUACAAAUAGUUAUAGUAUUUGAUCCUCCACAUACUCGUAGAUACUCAUGGUUUAUGGUUUGGAAAAAAAUUCCAAAUGCAGGUGGUAGAAUCUGAAAUGUAUCACAUGGAGUAAUAAAUAAAAUAAGAUAAUUAAUCAAAAGUAACCGUUAUUGUGUAUAGAUAAUUAAAGAUGGAAUGUUUACCAAUUUAGAAGUUAUUGGCGAAGUAUCUGGCAUAUCAACUUCGAAUGUAAGAUCUUUAAGACAUGAAGUAGUUAAUGUAUGAUAUCGUGGAUAUUCAUUGUUUGGUGUAGAACCGUUGAAGAGUUUGAUCAGGAAUAUACUAUUUCCUACAUAUGUAAAAGACAUUAGUGGAUUUGAUGUUAUAUUAUAAUAAUUUCUGAACUUGUCCCAACCCCUUAUAAUUAUUGGCAUGAGCAUAGAUUUGUUAAAUUCAACUUCAUGAACAUUUGCUAAACCAUCAAUUAAUGUCCAUUGGUCAUCAAGUUCAUCAAAAAGUUCAGCAAUAGUAAGGGGGUCUAAUUCACAGAUAACCUGUUAUAUAAAUAAAAUGAUUUUAGUGCAAUGUAAUCAUAAUUUAGUAGAAAAAUAAAUUAAUAAUAAAUAAUAGAUAUACCUCUGUGCAAACUGCAAUGAAGAAAGGUCUAUUACUUUCAGAAGUCAUCAUUGGAGCUAUGCUGCAAUUAACUGAUCUUUGAUUUUGUGGUAGUUCACUAAUUAAUGAAGAACUUGAUUCCAUUGUAAGUGUGUAUUGGUCUGCUGUGAGCUAUUGAAGUUGUAUUUAUAGUGUCCAUGUCCAAUUCAAAAUUUUACUAUACUUAUAUGAAUAAUACAAUAUAUUAUUAUACGAUGUGUAUUAGAGUAGUUGGGAAAAUAAAUAAAAGUAUGUUUGGCUUUAAAAAAAGUUAUAAUGAAGUUUCCUGAUAAAAUUACUUGUUUUGACAGCUAAGAGAGUUGGUCAAUAAAAUGUUUUGUGGGAAAGAGUUAUAUUAAAGCUGAGCAUGAUAUAUAGAUGUGCAGUACACCAUGAAUAGAGAUAUUGAAUGGUCAUUCAUGAAUAAAAGAUUUUGAAUGGUCAUGUCACAAUUGUAAAUGUUUUUUAUUUUGUUGUUUUGUGAAAUCAGGAAUCUUUGCAGGGUAUGCAAUAGUUGAUGUGAAUUGAUGUUUUGUUCUUAAUGAUGUAUUAUUUAAAUUGAAAGAAGUAGUAGUUUUUUUUUUUUUGAAGAAAUGAAAAAAGUAGAAGUUAGAUAUUGGUCUUCUACAUUAGUCAUACAAAUUGAAUAAUAAAAUCAAAAUGGUCAUUAUAUUUAAAAAAAUAACAAAAUUAAAGGAAAAUAAUUACAUCAGAGGCUAAAAUAAAUAAAUUAAGUGAAUAGAUUUGUAAAAUAACUAAAUUAAAACCUAUAAAGCAAAGUAAACUAUUAAGAAAGAAAUUGGACGCGGUGAAAAAAUUAGGAGACAUAAAUAGUCUGAAGAGGUAGAUAUUGAUGAACUUAUAGUAGCAUUUAUUGUAAAGAAGAAUAUCUAAAGUAUUGUCUUGAGUACUCCAUCAGUUUAAAAAUAUAAGCAAAAUUUAUUUUAUAGGUUUAUUUAUUUAUUGAUGUAUGUGGUUUAUAAUGGAAAAGUGAAUUUGGUUAUAGUAGCGUUAAAUGAAUGAACCUAAAAAGUGAAUUUUACUUAUAUUUUAAAACGGAGAGAAUAAUUUGUUUUGAUUAACAAUAAGCUUAGAAAUAUAGAUUUGUAUUUAUACUUUUUGUCUGUUGUGUUUGAUUGAAAAGUCAUAUAAUAAUUUAUGCUUUCUGUACGUUUUUUUGGAAGAAAUAUGGGCAAAGUUUGUACGGCAUAUGUUUACUAUAAUAAUUUUUUUUUUUUUGUGAGAGAAUGUGUACUAUAAUAAUAUAUUGUUGUAUAUUAUAAUAAUAUAUAGUAGGGAUAUUAUUUGACCCUUUUUGAUGCUUUAAAUAGUAACAUUACUGAUAAAUUUUCUUAUACUUUGUGUUCCCAGUAUAGUAAAUUUUGUUGUGGAAUUUGAAAAUGUCUUCCUCCAGAAAGUUAGAUUUUGAUGCAUCAAGCAGCAGUGUUGAUACAAAAAAGAUUGAUGUAGCCGAAGAUGUUGUAGCAGAGAAAUCUGAAAUUGUAAUUGUUGACAAUUACCGUGAGCCAGUGGAAGUGCCUCCAUUUUUGAAUGUUAAAAGAAAUUCAUGGGAGAUUAUUGUGAAUGAAUAUCAUGUACAUCCAAAUCACAAGCUUGUAAGUAUUAUUUAUAUAAGUUUCUUUACAAUUUUAAAUUGGAUUAAUUCUAAAAUAAUUUAUUUUGAAUAUGUAGCGUCUCCCUCAUCACCUUACAUAUGAAGGUGUUUUGAGUUCUGAUAAGAACAUCAUGCUCACUCAACUUGAUAGAGAUCAAGAUGCAGUUGAUGCAUUUGGUUGUGAGGUUGUUGCUGAUGAAGUAGAUCCUCAUAAGAGAUACAUAGCUAGUGGUUGGCAUGCAUUUGUUAAGGCAAGUCAAGUUGAAGUUGGUGAUAGGUUGUUGUUUCUCCAUUGAGAAUUAUGAUAAGAAUAUCUACGUUCGUUUUGUCUAUGAAAGUGACAUUGACAGUGAAUAUGAUAAUUGGAGUGAUUAAGAUCUUUAAUGUAGUUUGUUUUAAUUAUUAUUAUGUUAAAAUUAAGGCUUGAAGUUAAGUUGGUGUUUAAUUAGUUAUAUGUAUGACGUUUUGUUUUUUUUUUUUUAAGGAUAGUUAUAUGUAUGACGUUAUCAUGUUGUAAUGUAUUUUUAUUUAAUAUAAUAUGUGUUGUUGUAAUGCAUUAUUAAUGUUGAGUAGUCAUUAAUGUAUGAAUAAUAAUUAAAUUGGCAACCAAUGAGAAAAUUUAUAAUUAAUAGUUAAAAUAAUAAAAGUAACGACGACUGAUCCUACCGUGAAAAUAGUAUGAAUAGAUGUUAAAUUGGCCCAUUAGUAUUUUGAUAUAUUAACUUUCAACAAAUUGAAAUAAUUUCAAGAAGGGAAUAGUUAAAAAAGUAGUGAAGACGUGAAUGAAGUAGAUAAUGAAUGAAGUAUAGUGGAGAAAAAUGAAAAUGAAAAUGAAAUGAGAAUGUUUUAAAACUAAGAAAAAUGAUCAAAUUGUGUAACAGAGAUAACUUAAGCGUUCAAAAUGAAUCGAAUUUUAUUUAACAGACGAAAACGAUAAUACCUAAAUAGUUAAGAGACCAAAGAUUGAAUGUAGCAUAAAUGUAAACAUGCAUAAAUUUUUGAACAACAUUGUUAGUGGUCUAUACACAUCAUAUAAAUGUAUAAAUGUAUAUAUGAAUGAUAGAGAAAAAUGGUUUUAAGUGUUUUUGUUAGUAUUGGUCUAUUAUACAAUGUGCUAAAUGCAAAGUAGAAUAUAUUGAAUUGAGAGUGAUAAAAGUAGUAUUAAGUAGUGUUUUAUAUCUUAGUGAAUACAAUAUUUUUUUUUUUUUGGUAGAAGUGAAUACAAUAUUAUUGUGGAAAGUAUAAUAUAUUUUGUUGUUUUGUGAAAUCAGGAAUCUUCACUGAUACAUGCAGGGUAUGCAAUAGUUGCGGUGAAAUGAUGUUUUGUUCGUAAGGAUGUAUUAUUUUAAUUGCAAAAAGUAGAAGUUAGAUAUUGGUGUAACAGUUAGAUAUUGUUCGUAAGGAUGCAUUACUCAUACAAAUUGAAGAAUAAAAUCAAAUUGGUUAUAAUAUUAAAAUAAAUAACCAAAUUGUGAAGUGUAAAAAAUUUAUACAAAAUAUUAAUUUGAAGACUAUUAUAAGACAAAAUAAAAUCAGUGGCGUAAAUAAAAUAAAAUUAAGUGAAUAGAUUUGUAAAAUAAUUAAAUUAAAACCUAUAAAGCAAAGAAAACUAUUAAGUCUGAAUAGGUAGAUAUUGAUGAACUUAUAGCAGCAUUUAUUGUAAAGAAAAUAUGGUGACUAUUAUAAGACAAAUAUUUUAUCCUAUUAAGUUUUAGGCUUCCAAUCUGCCCAUGAAAUUACUAAUUAGGAUAAAAAUCAAAUGAUUAAUAUUUUUAUGGGUAGAUUGGAAUGAUUAGUAAUUUCAGGGACAAAAAUUUAAAUGAUCUAUAUUUGCAGGAACGAAAGAGCUAUUUAAGCCUAAGUUUUAUAAAAGGUAAAUGUGUGUUGUUGUUUGGUUGAUAUAUGUCGAACAUUAACUAAAUAAUAUGUCGAUCAUAAAAAUGAUAUACCGUGUCUGCAUGUUCUGUGAUUUGCAUUAAAGUAAGAUUCGUUUGUUAAUUUGUUAAAAGCAAACAGUAGCAGUCAACGUUACAAUCAAUAAAAGUAAUUUUCUCAACUGCAAACGUUACAAUUGUUAUCUACCAUCAUAACUGAUAGUACCCAUUGAAAAAAUAAUAAAAGUAAAUAAGUUACAGUAAAAUGUUAAUGCCAUAUAUUUAUAUAAAUAAGUGGUAUCACCAAAGGAGUAACGUUAUGCUUGAAGAAGAAAGUGCAGCCAGCCAAAAUGUCAUCUUGUUCCAGGUUUGUUCCAGUUGGCUAUUGUAUAUAUAAUGUUUUAGGACAUACAUGAUUAGCCAAUGAUAUAAAUGAUAAAUUAGUUGCAAAAGAUAAUGUCUAUUAUCUGGAUUAAUAACCAAAUUAUUUAACAUGCAGUGUUGAUAUAGAUCCUGAUUAUGCACAAUUUCUUGCGACAUACAGUCCAGCUGAAUUUGGCGAAGAAUUUUGUCAAUUUCAUGCAGACUGUACCCUAGAGACUCUAUCAUGGCAGUUGAUUUUUAGUGAAUCCAAUCUGAACUCUCCAAGUGUGGUGGUAAGGGUAAUUAGACAAUAUUAGUAUAUAAUGUUUGAAAAUAUUAAUUAUGAUUUAUAUAUGGUCGUAAGGAGGUUAAUAAUUUUGUUGUAGAUUAUUCGAAAGGACAUUAACAUGCUUACCAAUAUAUUAAUUAUUGAUGAAGCUAUUGGAUUUUCAUGCAUGUGUGAGCUAGAAAAUUUAUCAGUGAGAAAUACAUAGGCUAUGGACGGCAGAAUUAUGUUGAAGUAAAAGAUCUGGCUGUUGGUGAAAAGAUGGAAUUAAUGGUCUCGGAUAAUGGAAGAUUUCUGAAAGUUAAGAAAAUUUGCCAAAGUUAGUAUUGAUGGUGUUUAGGAAGUGAAAAUGUUAUGUGUUAAAAUAAUAAAAUGGUUGUUUGUAUUGUAGUAUUUUAUUUGGUGUGGUGCUUAUGUUGUUUAAAAACAUCUUGAAUCUUAUUAUAAGCAUGUUAAGUUGACUAUGUUAUAUAGUAUUUUGAUCAUAGAAGGCACUUAUCAUAUAUUUUAGAGUAAUUGUGUGUAACAGACAUACCACAAUAAAAUUCCAGUCAGUUGAAUGAAUGCAUUAAACAAACAUAUAUAAAUUUAGAACAGAUUAACAAAGCUCCGAUCUCAAUACAUAUUAUUUAUAAGUUAAUAUAUGAUAACUUCGUUGUUUGAUUGUUCCAGGUUAGACUUCAAUACUUGGCGUUACUGGUAGGGAUGGUUGCUUUCCAAAACCUGUGUAAGUACACAUAUAUUUUACGAACUGUAAGUGGCUGAAUAUUGAUAUUGAGUUAAGUAACUUGAAAAACAAAAAGGAAGAUAGAUAUUUGAGUACUUACAUGCUAAACAUAUUGAAAUACUUCCUUAUAAACCACAUUUGUAGUAGUUUCCUUUGGAUUUUUGUUUUCAUCAUGUAUCAAAAUUUUGAUACCUUUUUUGCUUGUUACCCUUGAUAUGGCAACAUAAAUUUGACCAUGACUAAAUACAUCUCUUGGUAAAUAUAGACCAACCCAAUCAAGAGACUGCCCUUGAGAUUUGUUAAUUGUCAUUGCAUAUGACACAAUUAUUGGGAACUGUCUCCUAGAUAAUUUGAAUGGCCAUGGAGAUUGUGAUGGUGACAUGUCCAUCCUUGGAAUGUAUGUAACAUUACCAUGAUGUUUACCCCCCAUAAUCUUUGCUUCUAUUACAUGAGUUGCCAGCUUUGUAACAAUCAUUCUAGUACCAUUACACAACCCUUCAGUUUGAUCCAAAUUCCUCAAAAGCAUUAUUGGAGCUCCAACUUUUAAUUUGAUUUGAUGAUUUGGAAGUCCUGAAGUGCGUAAUGAGCUUAGAAAUUCUGGAGUUAACACUUCAAUAAUGUUGUUGUCAUUAAUUUCGGAUCUAUCAAUUGAAUUGGCACUAUAGUAAACUCUUUCAUCACCUAAAAAUUGUGCAUAAAACAAAGUAAUUGGCUUUUACUUCUGUUUAUAUAUUAAUAUUGUGCAUAAAAUAAAUAAAUUGAAUUUUAACCUGGCAUUAAAUCAAGAACGUAAUCAUUGAUUUGAUCAACUACUUCAAUAGUUGAUGCCAAUAUUGCUCUAUUCUUCAAAUAUUCAUAAGAUCUGUAAUUAUCCAAGAAAUUUGGAUAUGUACUUGUCACAAUUGCUAGAAUUGGAUCUUGAAAAUCCAAGAUUAACAUGUCCUUAGGAAUUGUUAUCUCAGCAUAACCGUCAUUAGGUUCUGCAAUUUUCCCUUCACCUACCAUUAAUAGCCAAUUUGAAAAUUCUGAAAUCUGCAAAUUUUCUUCAGGAUUAGAACCUUGUUUUAAUCUCAUGUUCUGUGUCAAAGUGAGAACUUGACAAUGAUCCCAUAUAUAUGAGGCACUGAUGGAAGCAUGCACAAUAUCUGAUCUAUUUCCUCUUGGAACAACCGGAAGAAUUUGUCUAAAAUCUCCUCCAAAGACAAUGACCUUUCCGCCAAAAAUUGUGUCACACUUAGUUAUGCCAUCACCCAUUAUAUCUCUAAGUGUUCUAUCCAAACACUCAAAGGUAUAUUUAUGUGCCAUUGGUGCUUCAUCCCAAAUAAUCAAUUUGGUUUGCCUAAGUAGUUGUGCCAGAUCACUAUCAUGAUCAAUUUUGCAUGUUGAAUUUUCAAAUGUUGGGACUGGUAUCUUAAACUUAGAGUGUGCAGUUCUCCCACCAGGAAGUAGAAGGGAUGCAAUUCCGCUGCUAGCUACUGUGAGAACAAUCUCAUGUUUUGAUCUGAGUGCACUUGCAAGUGUUCGCCACAUAAAGGUUUUACCUGUUCCACCAUGACCAUGCAAGAAAAAAACCCCUCCUCUUUGAUUUUGAACAGCCAACAUGAUUUUGUCAUAUAUUUGACUUUGUUCAUUCUUGAUAUAGUAUAAGAAAGAGAAAUCAAAUGUUAGGUGAGGGAUUCACUUAAUACAACACUUGAUUAAUGGAUGAAAAUAUAUUAAAUUUUACCUGUGAGUGAUGCAUGCAGUUGAGCAAAUUCCUGUUUUAAGGCAUCUGUGUUAUAGUUGCGCUCAUCAUAUAUAAGUCUAUUGCCAAGCUGCUCUAAAACAUAUCCUUUAGGGUAAGGAAUUGAAGGGAAUUCCUUCAAACUACGUCUGCUUGAUUGUAACAGUUUUUCAAUCUCAAGCAAGGUUAAAUUAUGCAGAUCUUCAUUAGAAAGGUAUAACUCUGUGUAUUGAAUAAUAAAAAUUGAUCCCAUUAGUUAAUUUAUGAAGUACUGAUAUGUAGUAUAUCCGAUAUGGAGUUGAAACAAAUACAUGCAUGUAAUAGAAAUUUAUACCUUGAUUGUUAGCUAAAAUUCUCUGAGCAUAUAAUACUCCAUCUGACAACCAAUGGACGGUGCUACGCCAUACAUGAUUUGGUCUAUUCAUUGCUCCAGAUAAUAGCAAAAUAACAAACAAUCUUCUAAGGAAAUAGCCUGAACCCCAUUGAUAUGCUUCUCUUAUGGCUCCUAUAAAUUCCCUAUCAUCAUCCAAAAAACCCAUGGCGAAACAUGCAUCUCUAAAACAAUGAUACUGAAUUUCCCCAACUUUGCGAAUUUCUUCAUAAGUAGUUGGUCCUUUGACAACAGUUAACAUUAAUCUCAAAUAGAACAACUCUCCGGUAGUUGGAGGUACCCAUAUUAGUCUACCGAUAGUAAAUCCUCUCUUCCUUGGGGUCCAGGCUCUGUUUUUUUUGUUGUAAACAAAUUUGGUUACAAACUGACCAUAAGUGAGUUCUCUGGCUGCCACAUAUUGUUGAUUUGCAAUUAGCCAGGCUGUGAACAUGGAUUCUGUAACACUUGCUUUUUCAAGUACAUUUUCCAUUCGAGAGUGAUCAGUAAAGUAUAUUGCUUUCUCUCCGACCAUAUGAAAGAACAUCCGUUCAACUGCAGGUUUACGGCCGUGAAUUGGGAAAGAGUAAAUUCUCCAACACGCUUCACUUGGAGAAAUAUACCUACAAUCAAGGUAUUGUUUGAUUUCAUCUAUGGGUUGUUUUUCAAUUCUUGAUUGUUGAUUAGAUGGCACAAUUUGUGCUGUAAUACGAUCAUAACCUUUGUGAAUGUACUUGAAUAAGUACUUAAUUGAAGUGCUCUGGUUACACCAUUCCAUGUUAAUAUGAGCUUGAUAUUUCAACAGUAAAGUAACAUUAUAUGGAACAACAUGUCGAUUAUCCAAGCUCACACCAUUUUUGACAAUUGUGUGUGUAGUAGCACUCCUCUUGUAGACUGGAUAACCAUUAUGAUCCACAAUGGUUGUUUCAUUAAACUUUUUAGGAAAGAACUUGGAACAUUUCUUAUCUUUCAUGCAUGGUGACUGCCACCGAGCCUUACCACAUGGACCAUGAAUCAUAUGACUCCUGACCAAAUUGUAUAGUUCAUUGUGUAUCUUAGGAUCUGGUAUUUCUGCUGAAAUAAUCUUGUCUAUAUCUGCAGGUGUUGGAUAUUUGCUUGUUGGAUGUAAGAACACCAAGAUAUGAGCAUGUGGUAACCCUCUUUUCUGAAACUCAAUUGUGUACAUGUCUGUCAAGUCCAAUAACUUGUGUUAAUACCAUUAACAAAUAAAGAUUAUUUAGAAAUUUGAAGAAAUGAAAUUAUGGUUGACAACAAAAUACUUACAUGCUAAUACUUUACCAAGUAUAUGUCUUUUGGUCAAGUCUUUCAUAAGUUCAUCAAACUUGAUCUUGAAUACUCUAGCAACAAUAUCUGGACGAUCCUGUGGUUUCAAAUUAUAUUGUGCAAGUUCUCUUUUGAUUUCAGGCCAUGCUGGAUUGCAUGUAAAUGUAAUAAAGAUGUCAGGAAACCCAACAGCAUUUGAAAUAGCCAUACCAUCAAAAUACAAUUGAUCCAUGUAUCUUUUACUACCAACAAAUGUUGAUGGUAACACUACCCUUUUUCCUUUCAAUGUUGGUCCACUUUGGUUAUUUGUGGUAGGAGUUUCUGCUAUCUGUCUGUAUUUUCCUACCCUCAACUUCGAUUGAUUUCUCCUUAACCAAUUAAGCCUCUCGGCUUCCAUCAUUGUAUAACCAUCACAACUAAAUUGCUGCAAUAAUUUCCUUGAGCACAACAAAGUAAGUGCCUCACCUUUUCUUCGUUGCAGUCGAAAUGAUAGCCAAUGCAUAAUUGUCAACUUUUUCUUUUUUGUAAUGUCUGUAUCAUCUACAAAGCGUAGCAGUAUUGAUGGCCGAUAUCCAUCCUCACCAUAUGGAAAAAUGAGAGGAUAUUGGAAACUCAAGUAACUUGCAUGAAAUUCAUCUAUUCUUUGCAGAUUUCCAGACUGUCCUUGCAUAAUUAUAUCUCUAUAUGAAGCAGAGUCAAUAUCACCCAAAACUAAUGCAGCAACUUCGGAAACAGUAGGUUUGUUGUAUAUUCUGCCAUCAGUUUUCCUGUCUGCAAUUAACUUUAAUUUCACAUCUUGAAAAUUAACAUCAUUUAGCAUAUCCCUUGCCAUUCGAAAAACCUUUGCAUGGACAUUGUUCUGAUCAAGCAUUAAUUUGAGCUUCUUGACAAUUUCUUCAUCUAUAUCUUUAUUAGUCCUAUAUAAGAUUGAUCAUAUGAAUGAGUAAAUUUUAUGUUAAGUAAAAGGGAAGAUAUAAUUACUACAUAAGUAAUUGCGUUAGUUAUUAAUUACCUGAAGCUAUUCAUUCGAUUUGAUAUUUCAUUAUCAGUGUCGAAAAUGUAUAGCUGAGCAUAUUUAGGACUAUCCCCUGGCAAAGGCAACAGACUUCCAACUCUGUGACAUGUUUGUCCUUGCAUUCUUAAAGUUGGUGGACCUUUUCCAUUGUUAAUUUUAGUAUCCAUUUUCAUGCCAGGUGAAGUAAAAGAAAACAUGGCAUUGUAUGUCCUUAUAUUUGUUUGGAAAUUUUUGGUAGCUGGUGAUUGGUUUCCAAAUAACAAAUCUUGCAAAAGUUGUGGAGGUUGUUCUAAAAGAGGAAGUUUUACUUUCCCACCUCCGCAACAUAACUGAAACUUAGGUACAGUUGAAUGCCUUGACUUAUCCUUUCUUUCUUGAUACCACAUCAAGGCUCCACACAUUUGACACUCCCAAAUAGGAUCACCUAUAUCAGAAUAAACUGUUUCAUUUUAACGAAAAAAAUAAUAUGUUAGUAUAACAAUGUGUUUAAGUAGUAAAAGUAACAAAAUGUACUAAGAAUAGUUAAAGUUCCUUGAGUACUUACCUUGUGCAACAUUGUCUACAACUUCAUCAACUUCUUCAAUGUCUUCUGAUGAAGUAUCAUCAGAAUGUACUGAUUGAUCAGUAUCAUCAGAAUCAUCUUCUGAUGAAGUAGUAUCUGAAGAUCGAGUUGGUGUUGAGGUCAUUGGUAGAUGAAUGAUGUUCGAUGAAUAGUACUGUCCAUCAGUAGUGGGUGCUUUUCUUUUGUUAGUAUGAUGUACUCCCACUCCAUUUGUUGUUGGUUGUUGUGCAGAAUGUUGCAGACUUACAUUUGAAGUAGAAGUAGAAGGUAUUUGAUGAAAUAUGGAAGCAUGUGGGUUUAUAAUCUGCGGAUCUGUAUUUUCUUGGUUGUUUGGUUUCUUUCUUUUACCAUUGCGGUGAACUGUCUCAGUUGAUAAGUCCGUCUGAAUUGACAUUGCAUGGUAGUUUUGUUGUUCAAAAGUAGAAGAUGCAUAAUUACUUUGUAUUGGCUCAACAGGUCUUGAGUUGAAGGUGUUUGGAUGAUAUGGUGUUCCAUGAAAUGUAGAAGUAACUGGGUUUGGAAUACUUUGAUCAAAACUAUUUUGUGUUCGUGGUUGUGUAUGAAGCUCAGUUACCUUGUUAGAGAUAGUGGGAGAUUGGAAAAAACUUCGGACAUUUGUUGAGGUUAAGUAACUUGUAACAAAAGGUAGUGGAUUGGUUAGAGUAGCCAAUGGAGUAGAAAAGGGUGGCUCGUGAAUUUCCUGUUGUUUUUUUUGUUUUCUCUUAGCAUUGUUUUGAUCUAGUCCAGUAGGUAAAGAUCUUGUUAUAGAUGGUAUUCCGUGGUAUUGAGGAGCAACUGGGUGUAGAAAAUCUGGUUUAGCAAUUUUCUUGGUUUUUGUAUGUUUUGUUAUGACAUUUUUGUUGUUUGAUUCAACAGAUGUUCGAAGACAAAUGUUGGUGGUAGGGGUUUUGUUCUUGGAAGUAGCAGCAGAUGCAGUUAAAGCAGGUCCAGGAAUACAUUUAUCUGUAUCUGCAAAUUUGGUAAGAAGAUUGAUUCCAGCUACAUGUUUCCUUUCAGGUAAAUUGGUAGGUAUUAUGAAAUUGGGUAAAUUUGGGGAGCUAUAGUUUUGAUGAAAGUAUGAUGUAGUAGGAAUGUUGAGUACAACUGAUGUUAUAUCAGUAAGUGGUGUUGAAUAUACAGAUUGUUGAUUUUGUUGGAGUUUGGCAUUGGCAUUGGCACCAGAACUUGGACCUGGGGAUUUUUUAGGCUUCUUAGUCUCGAGUAAAGUUCUUCUUCUUUGCCUUCUUUCUGCAGACCGUCUAUUAGAUGGUUCCAUACAUUGUUUGUCCAUGUUUUUGACAAUGGUCUACAUGAAAGUACAGAAACAUUAUGUGCAACAGACUACAUGAUGUGCAAUAUUUUAGGAUGCAUAUUUAAAUGAUUUAAGUAACAAACAAUGCUUCCAAUGAUCCAUGUAGCAUUGCUAUUAUUAAAUCAUAUAUAUAAUAUGAAUUUAAUAAGCUAUAAUUUAUAAGAGUAAAAUCAUGUAAACUUAAAUAACCUAAUUUGAUUGUGAAACCCAGUUAAAAUUGGAGCCUAAUGAUCAGUUUCUUGAUGACAAUAUGACAUAAUAAUGUGUUACUAUUUUGAGUUCCUAAAAAUGAACAGUUAUAUUGGUAUUUCUCUAAACUUGAACUAAAAUCUUAACAUAUAGGAAACAAUUUGUAUCAUACCUGGAUGUAUAAGCAGACCUGAAUGGCAAAGCAGGUUGAAUGGAAAGUUUCAGUCCUCCAAUGUUCUUCUUAUCCCUGGUAAGGAAAACAAUAUAUAUGUUGGCACCUUUAAUGAAUCAGUAGACAUGUAAAAGUAUUAUAAAAAUGUUUAGACUAUAUUAAAUUUUUUGAUAAAACUAUAUAUUUAGAGUCUUGUCAAUUAUUUUAUAUAGUGUAAAAGCAAAAAAGGGAUAAUGGAAAAUUGAAAUAGACAUGUCUUACAUAACACGGGUUGCAGAGUAGUAAAAAGAGGCAAAAGACUGUUCACCAUGGUACAUUCAUUAAAUGAGUAGCACGACUUGCUAUGCAAAUUUUCAAAAGGUCUUCUCCUAGAGAGAUAUAGGUUUGUAAUGAUAGUCUUUGAUGUGUAGCUGUAAUUAGGCAAGAGCACAUCAUUCAAAUUUAAUUAUAAUAUAAGAAAACUGAACCAAUUCAUUGUGAAAGUGUGAUCCAAUAUAAAUGAUAGGGUUAAACUUAAAAUUAAACAGGAACCAACACAUACUUUUAGUCGUUGUAAAAUUUGUAUUUGUUUAAUUGUGCUUAAACUUUUAAAUUUGUAACUAAUUUAAAGAGUGUCUUACGAUGUUAUGAACAUGUAUGUAAAAAAAUCUUUCAAAAAUUUAUAAGUUUAAGCAUAAUUAAACAAAUUUUAAUUUAACAGGGACUAAAAACAUUAACAGAAAAUUUUAUAGGAACUAAAAAAUGUGAUUUAUUUUUAUAGGGACGAAAAACAAAACUGCAGAUUUUUAUAGGGACCAAAAACUUAGUUAGAAUGGAAGCAAUAAUAUUUAACAAUUGCAUCAUUACUUGACAUUGUUUAUACGCAUCAGUUGAAUGUUUAUUUGUUAUUUAAUAAUAAAAGGAAAAUGAACCAAUAUAUAUGUAAACGUUCAAGAUGAAGUCAAUAUAACAUUGAGACUGUUGAAAUCAGCUAUAGGCAUGAUAAGAGGAUUGUGUACACUUGAAUUGAGUUUGGGAAAUUUUAUGAUCAUAUAUUGUUGUAUAGUAAUUAUUAUUAGAAAUAUUUAUGAAAUUAGUAAAUUAUCUGGAUUCUGCAAAUAUAAGUCCUUUAUUCUUGAUAGACAUGGUUGUUUGAAUAGAUUUGGAUUGAAGGGGGGUUUAAGAUUUGUGGAAAAAAUACAAUAUCUUAUAAGGGUUUUAUAACACAGAAAAGUUAAUUCCUUAACACAAAACUUAUGUGUGAAUUAAAUCUAUAAUAACGUAUAAUAUUUUACUAUAAGUUGAUGAGUUUUUGAAAGUAUUUGGAGGAUAUACAGGCUGUGAGCAUUUAAGAAGGUAAGCUGAUACUUGUGAUGUAUUGUUGUAUGAAUAAUGAAACAUAAGGUAUAUUUGUUAGGCGUAAUGUAACGAACAUAGACAUAUCAUAACUCUUACAUAAUCAUAGAUAGUAUUCAAUAGUGGAUAAGGAAGGUAGGUACAAUCACUUGUUUAAAAGUUUGUUUCCAAGUGAUUGUCAUGUACUAAUAAUAUUACAAAUCAGCAUAAAAGUAGUAAAUGGUUGGACAUUUUAAAAGUAGAAUAUAGUAUGGAAAUAAAGCAUAUGAGAAUGCAACAGCAAGCACGUUGUUGUUGCUAUGGUCAUAUUGUGAAGACAGCUUUCACUUCUUUUCAGUUUUGAUGACCUUAACCCUCUUGGAUGAAGAUUGUUUUGCCGGAAUGAUUUCUUCAAAUAGUGGAGGAUUAGGAAGCAUGACUGGUUGAACCAAUGUCAUAGGUGUAGGAAUAUCAAAGGAGGGAUCUUUGUUCAAUUUCAGCUGAAGCUUAUCACUAAUUGGUGUCAAUUGGCUCAAAGUAUCAGGGUCGUUUUCUGCGGUUCCAGACAACUCCUGCUGAAAGACAAACAGAAAUAACAUCGACGUUUAUAAGUAGGUUAAUUGCCAUUUAAUUGUUGAAAGAGAUUAUACAGAAUUAAUGACAAUUUGAGUCAGAUUAAACUUACAGCAGACAUGGUAACUUCUUCAGUCAAGGAGGUAUUAUCAUUAGGCUUAUCAACACCAACAGAUUCAUUUAGCAGAGGAAUAACCUGUUAAAACUCAAACAGUUAAGGUGCGCAUGGUCUCCUCUGAAGUAUGUAUAUAUGUUGACAUAGGGUAUUGAAGAUAAUUGAUUAUGUAAGAUAGACAAACUUGACAGUGGUGUAUAUUACAUUAUAAGUUGCAAUACCUUGGCAUUGGGGAAUUUAGCCUUGACCAAAUUAACUAAAGCAUCAGCGUCUCUGUAACAGACAACAGAAGUUGUCUUCCACUUUGGCUGCCACUUGACCUUGAAGACAUAUGUCUUUUCACCAAUGCCAUCCAAUAGCAUUGGAUACUCAAGUCGGUUUGUAAUCCCAGCCUAUGACAUAGACAUAUAUAUUAGGAGUUAGACGUAAAUAUCGUAAAUUGGUUUAAAGCAUACCAGUAUAUAAAAGGUAAUAUUUAAAACCUGAAUCAUGUUAGUGCGGAGCUGAGCGGCAGAAAUGCCCAAAAGCUGUGUGGCCUCACGAUCCCACAUAACAAAAGUUCCUUUGGUAUUCUCAUAGGAGACAUUCAGGUCAAGUUUAUACCUUUGUUAAACAAUGUAUGAAUCCAUCAAGUUAAAAACUGAGAAGAACUCUAAAAUCACAUUAUAGGGGUAAAGUAUUAGAUAUAUACCUAACAAUCUCUGUCUCAGUAUUAUGGCCAGACUCGCAUGUGUAUGGAGGAUUGUCACCCUUGGCAAUCUUCCCACAUUUGAAGCAUGCGAAAUAGUACCAACCAAACUUAGUUGAGUUAACUUUUUCCACUUCAGCCACAGUGACACAAUAUGAAAUCUGGAACGAAUAAAUCACAAGUCAUUAUAAAAGCUAUCUAAUGUGAAAUAGUGUGAUAUAUAUUUAACCGCAAUUCAAACAUCUAAAAGUACCUCUUGUAGUUGAAGUAUAUCAGCUAGAGGCAUGAUAAGAGGAUUAGAGAGCAAGUCAUCAUCAGUAAUAAACUGAGAGCUAGAUUGGGAUUGUGUACACACUAAUUGAGUUUGGGACAUUAACUGGUCAUCUUUGGGCAAGCUAUAUAUAUAUAUAUAGUACUUGAAAUUAGUGUACAAUUAGUAAAUUGCAAUAAUUUUGAAAUAUAUUAUGAAAAGUCAGAAUGAAACUUGCCUUUCCCUAAACCUCUUGAUCUCAGCUAUGUCUUCAUUUAUAAGCAACUUCGUAGCACUAUAAGUAUUUGUGACACUAAGAGGGUAUUUGCCUGAAAGUUGUUCUUGUUAAAUUUAUUUUAUGGUGUAUAUCAUCUAAAAAAAUAAUGGGACCAAUAAUAAAACGCAACAACAAAUAUUAAACACCAACCUUCUUCCUUGAUCUUGCCAUACUUCAACAUAACAAUAAUGGGACCAGUUUCUUUGUUUUCAUUGUUAAACUUUAUGAACUUUGCAGCAUAAUCCUCCCAAAGAGUGCAGUUAAGAGAAAUAUCACUGGACUCAUAUUUGAUUGGUUAGAUAAGUCUUAAUAAGAUAAUACAUAAUAAAUGUAUCCAAAAAAACAUUAUUACAUGUAACUAACCUUAGGUCUUUCAUCAGAAAAUUAACCUGUAGCUUUUUACCAGUUCCAGCCAUAACUUGACAAUAUCCAAUUUCAUGAACAUACCCUAUGACAUCUAAAUAACAAAAACAUUCAAAUAAUCAUUAUAUUGUAUAUAUGAUAUGAAACGUUUAAUCCAAUGUUAAAAAAUUGUAAUGACAUACGAACUAAUAGAUCAGCACGCCAUUUCCCAGCAAUAAUCUCAGCCAAGGGCUUGAACUUCAUGUUAGGUAAGGGGAUAUCAUGGACAUUUGCGUCUACAGCUGUAGUUCCACCAGUCCAUUUCAACUUGUACUUGUUAUCAGAUGCUUUGAAUACCAGGUCAUUUGGAAAGACCUGAAAGUUGCUUAAAGUAUAAGUUGAGUUAACCUUAAUAAGUUUCUCAUAUUCAGCCCUGUAUGCCGUUGGAAUGAUAACUUGAAUGUCGGUUCCCUGUUCAACAGAUCAAAUAAAGGGUAACAGUAACCCAAUGGUUAAGUAAAAAUUAUAUAACUUUAUAAGUGAGGAAGAAAAGUUAAUAUUCUAAACUCUAACGACCAUAAUACCUUGGCAUCAACAAUAACCAUUUCCAUGUGCUCCAUCCCAUCCUUUACAACGCUCCAUUUGUCUGUAACCUUAACAGCAACUUUCCAAAAGUCUUUCUUUUCAUUGAUAUCUCUCAAGAAUGCAACUGGUCUCAACAUAUCAGCUGAUUAUUGGUAAAAGAUUACAGCAAAUAAGUUAGGCAGAUAAUGAAUUCAAUAAUGCAACCAUAAUGAAGAGCAUGCAUUAUGAGAUGCAAUAGAAACUGAGAAUUUAACCUUGAAAAUUCUGAAGCAGAUGUUUGAAAAAUCAAAUAUAGAUCUCGAAAUCUUGUAGUGGUAGUAGUUUGAAGUUUGAUGUUAUGAGUAGAAGAAAUAAAUAUUUGAUAUGUUACAUUAUAGUGUAUUAUGGAAAAGAGUGAGGGUGGUGAUUUGAUACGGUAGCAGGUGAACAGUAUAAAGUAAAAGUUGGUGAUUUGAUUCAAAUUGUGUUAUUGUUUUUUGUUGUUAACUGAACUGAAAAUAGAAACGUCAUUGAAGUAGUUAGAAUUGAAGGGAACACAAAGUUUGAAGAGGAAAAUAAACCAAACUAAAUAAAAGAUGACAUCAUUGUAGCAAACCAAUUUGUAAAUGUAGUCAAUUAGUUGGUAAAAGUAAUUUUUAGACAAAGAUUACCCCUAAAUUAAUGACGUGUCAUAAGGGUAGAUUGGGUGCAUAUAGGAUUUUCCACCACGUUUAGUUUUCAUAGGAUAGGAUAGGAUUGAUUCGCUCGCUCCUAACAAACUCAACUCAACUCACGAUGAUGAUGUCUGGGAUUCAAGGCCAACCUCUCGAGGUUACUGGUAAGAGCAAUUCAGUUGAUUUUACUCUUUGACUUUGUUUUGAUUUUAUUAUUAAGAGAUGAUGAAUUGUUCCUUCCUUGUUAUUGUAGUCGUUUCUUGCUCGAAAUUGAAAGACACUGAAUGGAUUUCAAGACAAGAUCCCUACGUUUGCAUCGAAUACGCUUCCACCAAGUUCCGAACAAGAACAUGCACUGGUAAUUUCAAUCCUUCUUCUUCUUCUUCUUCUUCUAUGACUGACUUUGUUGACCGUAUUUGAAUCGUUGACUCUUUCAUUCAAUUCCAGACGGCGGAAAAAACCCUGUAUUUCAAGAGAAGUUCAUACUUCCCCUAAUUGAAGGCCUUCGUGAGAUCAAUGUUGUCGUUUGGAACAGCAAUACCGUCUCCUUCGAUGAUUUUAUCGGCACCGGAAAGUAACUAUAUUCACUUCACUACUUCUUAUCAAUCAUUAUCUAUUACUCUAUCACACUAUUCAUUCUCUGUCUUAUUUUAUGUUAGGGUUCAAUUACACAAAGUUCUCUCUCAAGGUUUUGAUGACUCUUCCUGGCCACUUCAAACUAAAACUGGCAGGUAUAUAUGUUAUGCUUAUUUCUGUUGCUAUUGCUACCUUAUUUUGCCCCCCCCCCCCCCCCAAAUUAUAGAUGAGACAUGCUUCAUACACUUGUUUCUUAGAUACAACUCAUUCAUGCUUUUUAUCCAAAAUAAUCCUAGUGACAAAUUCACAACAGGCAACACUUGUUUUCACUUCAUUAUAAUUAUUAUACAUUAAUAAACAAUCAUCCAUACCAUCUUUCUUCAACAUUUUUAUCCUAUAACUUUUCUCAACUUAUCAUAUUCUUAAUUUCUAAAUUUUCAUUUAUCUUUAUCACACCCGUACUACAGAUCUUGGAUUCAUAGAUAGAUUCUCCAAUACUACUGUUUAAGUGUUGAUACUACAUUAUUAUGACUAUGUCUGAUGCAUCUUUGACAGACACGCAGGCGAAGUAAAACUCAUACUGCAUUAUACCAAUGCCAAUGCCAAUGCCAAAGUGAAUCACCAGGUAACCUACAUUUUCAUUACUAUAUAUAUAAUAUAAUAAUUGGAAUUGAUCUUAAUGAGUGUGUUUGGGAUGCUAAUAUAUUGCAGAAACCAGGCUCCUCAAGCCAUACUCCCUAUACAGCAAUGCCAACGCCGGCAGUCCCAUCAUAUAAUCACGUUCCUUCCUACUACCCACAACAACCACACUCUAAUUAUCACCAUCCAACAACACCUGCUGUCGCUUAUCCACAGCCACCACCUUACCCUGCUUCACAUAAUCCAUCUUCUUAUCCACCAUCCUCAACAUAUCCAUACCCUCAAUCAGUGUCAUCUCCCUAUCCACCACCCUCAUCAUCAUCACCAUACCCUUCAUCAGUGCCAUCUCCCUAUCCACCAACCUCAUCAUCAUCACCAUCACCGUACCCUCCUCCCCACUCUUAUCCGCCAUCUUCAGCUUAUCCACCACCAUCAUACCCUCCACCUGCAGGUUAUCCUCCAAACACUGGUAAGUAAUUCUUGUUUCUCUGCCAACCAUUUCAAUUUUCACAUCUACUGCUUUAAUAAUUUUUUCCUUUCUAUUCACAUCCUUUUUCAGGAUUCUACCCUCCACCACCAUAUUGACACAGAUAUGCUACUUUCGCUACCAAGGAACCACCGUGCUUUUGUACAUGAUUAGUUUGUACAAUCUUGCCCAGAUUUUGUUUCUUAUAUCUCUACAGUAGGAGCAUUUGUCGAAGUUUUUAUUUUCUAUGCGUCAUAAAGAUAGUUUUUAUUUUCUAGAUAUACUAUCUAUCAUUAUUUUUUUGGGUACAAAUCUAUCAUUCUAUUAUAACUAAGAUGUGGAUUAGUGGCAUCAUAUCAAUUGUUUAUUGCUUCUGAAAGUCAUUAUAUGCUCUCAGUUACAUUAUACAAGCGGACGGUUUAGUAUCCAAUUUGGUCAUACACAGAGAAUGACAAAUUUGGGUAUUCACCCAUCCAUGUUAUGGUGUGAGUAGGCUUAGUAUUCCCUAAAUUACACAUUUAUUUAUAUUUUACGGUUUUUGCACAAUCUCGCAAAACCCAUCAAAGGAAAUCUUGUAGAAAUUGCUCCUUAGUUGUACUUUUGUCGGGGGAUUAGUUAUAACUACGUUAUAGUUUUCAAUGUCUCUCGUGUUUUGUAGUUAUCCUUUAUAGGGAGUAUGUAAUUGGACCAAUCCCUUUGUUUUCGGUGUCGUGCCUCUAAUAUGAUUAGAGAGCCAGUGGGUCUACCAUCUGACCUUUUAUUAUUGGAAUCUCUAUAGGUGUCUGGUUUUGGCAGACAUGAUCUAAUCCCUUCUUUCCUCUGUGUCAGUGUGGUUGAAUGAUCUAUGUCCUCUAGGUGUAUUUUGUGACUCACCCUCAAACUAGUUCUUGGGGGAAAAGAUUGUAGAUGAGGCUACAAUUCACUUUUGGCAUGAUAUUAAGCCGGGCUCUUCAUCAUGGAUUGAGGUGUUCCAUAGGUUAUAUUAUGUAUCGGAGCAACGACAUGAUUUAGUUGGUCCUCGUGUGAGUUGGCCGGAUAGAUCUUAGGUAGAGGAGGAUCCUAUUUGUUCGGGAAGCUGCACUACUUGUGAAGUUAUUGUCUAUAUUGUCUUUAUAUAUAUAGACGGUGUUGAUAGUGUGUGAUAUGGAUGAGGUUUUCUCAGUGAAAUCCACCUAGUAUAUCUAGUAUCCUCAAAGCUUCUUGGUCAGUAAAGCUUUUUCAACCGUGCGAUCUUUGUUUAUGCUCCUUCCAGCGUAUGUGAUUUUUCUUCACAAUUGUGGGACAAACUCCCUGCAAAGGCCAAUUUGUUUUGGAGGAGAGUGAUUUUCGAGGUACCAAAUGCUGUUUGUGCCUUGUGUGAAGAACAAAUUGAAAUAAGUUGUCAUAUAUGUUUGAAAGGUGUAUUUCUCCUUUUAUAUAUUAUAUGGUAUUUCUAUCUAUCACUAGCUAUGACUUGUGUUAUUGAUACCCCUAAUCUCUCCCAUCCAUUCUCUAUAUAGUUCAUCAGGCAAGAUUCAAAAGGGAUUGUCAUUUAUAUGACAUUAAGUUUUGUUGUGAUAUGGGAUGUGAGGAAAGAGGAAUGAAUGCAUCUUCUCUAACAAAGCUUAUCAAUAAAACAACGAAGAAAUAUUCUAAUAUAAAUCUCCAAUAUGGGAGCAAACAUGUGAGGGUCACUUCAUAGAUCCGUUUUAAGGAAUCAAACAUUGAAGUACUAAUCAUGUUGCUAAAAUGUGAUAUAGCAAUGAGGAUGCUAAAAUGUGAUAUAACAAUGAGGACCACUUAAAAUACUAGCAUUGGAGAUGUUUUAAGUGAAUCAAAAGUUGAAAAAAAAAAAAUUAAAUCUAAAUAUCGUCCCACAUAGAUAGUUCUGUUGAUGAACUAAGAAACAUUAAAGAAGUUUUAAAGAUGAGAUCCCGGUUUCAAUCCUGGAAACUAACAUAAUCACUAAUUUAACGAACAUUUGCUUAUCAAAUUCAAUAUCGUAGUGUAUUACAAUAAAUAAUGUUUAAGAAGAAAAUAUUGAUAAGUUAUAAAAAUUGAUAUUUAAUGAAGGAUACAAUCUGUAUACACAAAUGGUGCAAUUUUUUUUUUUCUUACACAAAUUAAAUGAAAUCCAGAUAGAUAUUUGUAGAGAUAUUUUAAAAACUGACUCAUAAAAGUGGCACUAUAGGAUAUAAUUGGAUUCGAUGCAUGUGUAUAAAAACUUGGCUUAAUUACACUUUUGGUCCUCGUGUUUUGACCUACUCACGAAACUGGUCCUGCCCUUUUAUAACAAAACAAAACGGUCAUUCAAUUAUCAUUUUGUUGCAUUUUUCGUCCUACCUCCUAUUUUCAAACUCCAGAAACGCAGAGAAAUGACAAUUUUAUGCGGUUUUAGACCUACCCCUAUGCUCAACCAUGAAAUGAACAAGGAAUAAAACAUGUGGGCACAAGAAAUCUAUUAUAUUCAGCACACUAACCAAAAAAACUCUAAUUUGAAACAUAUCUUAGAAAUUAGGGUUUUUUUGGGUUAGUGUGUUGAAUAAAGUGGAUUCUUUGUACCCACAUGCUUUAUUCCUUGUUUAUUUCAUGGUUGAGCAUAGGGGGUAGGUCUAAAACUGUCAUUUCUCUACAUUUUUGGAGAAUAAAAUGGGGGGUAGGACAAAAAAUGCAACAAAAAUGAUAAUUGAAGGACCGUUUUGUUCUGUUUUAAAAGGGCAAGACCAGUUUAGUGAGUUGGCCAAAACAUGAGGAUCAAAAUUAUAAUUAAGCCUAAAAACUUACACUUUUACUGCAUAGAAAUUAAUCUCAUUAUUUAUUUAUUUUUGAAAGAAGAAAUUAAUCUCAUUAAUGAAACCAAAAUGCUACAAAUAAGCAAAAUAAUAUCUUUGUACUUUUUUCCAAGGAGAAUAAGGAGAGAAAAAAAGGAAAGUGUGCAUUUAAAACAAUAUUUUCCCAUAAUAACAUUGAUUGAUGGACCGCAAUCCAUAGUAUACGACUCUAGUCAGAAUUACAUGGUAAAGAUGUCCAAGGCAAAAUCAAGAUUGGAUACCAUGAACCGAGCAGAAUAUGCAUUUGAUACCAACAUUUUUUCUUUGUUCCUUUUCCUUUUACAAAGUAAAUUGUGACGUUAUCUUUGGGAAUACAACCCAGACAUUCUCCUAUCAUGUACAAAAUCUCAACUAGCGUUAGCAAAUCCAUGGAACAUACAUAAUGUCCCUGACAUGUCACAGAUGCAAUGCCUUUUAAUGUUUUUGCAUUUUUCUAUUAUCUUUGUGCAUGAAAGAUACAAUUUUUUCUAUCAAGUUAUUCCUAACAGUAACAUCCAUGACUUGGCAAACCGGCCAAGGGAAAAAACUUCAACACAUUCAACUGUACUUCUAAAACCCAAGGAUGUAAACACGGGAAUACCUUAUACACAGCCAGGUACAGCUCAAAAACUGUCUAGCGGGCUUCCUAAACAACAGCUGAUGCAAUAUGUCACUAUUCCUUGUCACAGCUGGCAAAAUUCAGACAGCACAGUACCUCAUCAUCCCAUUGUUGACAUUUGAAUAAUAUUCGUUAUAGUUGAGAUAUUCCCAGAAACGAGAAAGCCCAAAAUUCACAUGCCUAGGUUCCUUGACAUAGCAGACGUGCAAUUCAUUUAGACUUCUUUCAAACUUUUGCUUUAUGGAAAGCACCUGGAAAUAAUUAGAAACAGCUGGUGUUAGGAUCCAAUAUUUGGUUCCCAUCAACUGGUCAGCGUAUUGUUUACUUGGAUAGGAUCAAAAUAUUUGAUGACACAACUAACAUGUUCAAGAUAGGAUGUUCCAUUUUCUGUUAUGUUCUUAUCUAAUGCAUGUAUGUUUUUCAAAAAGGCCUUUUGGCAAAGAUAAGGUUGUUUCAGAGGGAAUCAGACCCUACAAAAAAUAAAGUGUGAACAUUGAGAAGUUUUGUAGAAUGAAGGGACGUAUACACAUUGCCAUACACAGCAACGACAGUUAGUAAUGACUCGCAAAGUCUAUAAUUGAGACGCCAAAAUGCUGGAAACAGUAUUUUAAUUAAAUUCUACUUUAUAAAGUAUAAAUGUAUCAGAUAUGUGAUGUAUAUGGUACAUGGUUUACCUGGGAUAUAUUGAUUGUAGAAAGUUCUCCUAAGUCUCCCCGGCAAGCUCCUAUUGUAAGACAAGACCGGAAAUCGAGUGCACAUUGCAAAAUGCUCUCAAUAAUGCUGCCCACUGCCUUUGUUUCAUCAGACAGAAAACAUCUGCAAUAAUACAUAUACAUAAACCUCUUAUUUACCCUGAGCUUAUGGAAAAUAUUUUUAGUCCUAUAGCGUGGUAUGUCUUCCAACUAAAAUUAUGAUAUGUGACACUAUAAUGUUCUUGUUUCCUCUUGCUGUAAAUUUCUUUAGCAGUUGUGAAAGAAAACUUCCAAAUCCAAAGGUUUUUUUUUUGUGGGUGGGUACAAGUUCAAAAACUUGCACUAAAUAGUUACCCUAUUUACACAUCAAACUUGCACAUAAGCUUUACACUAUUGAUCAGUAUGCAGAUAACCAGUUACUAAUAUUACAAUAUUAAUCGAUUGGAAAUUAAUCAGUAAGCAAAUACCUAGUUAACUACUCCCUCCGUUUCAAAAUGAGUGUCGCGUUAGCCAAUUGCACACAGAUUAAGGAAUGAAAUGAAAUAAUCAUUAGAAAUAACACUUUUACUAAACUGCCCUUGUAUUAUAUGAAAAAGACAAACUUAAAGUUGCAUUGAAAAUUGUGUGAGAAAAAAGUUGGAGUAUUUAUUGAGGGUAAAGUUGGAAGAAAAAAAUUAAAGUUGUAUUGGAAAUGUAAAGUGACAUUCAUUUUGAAACAAUUUUUUUUUGCUAAAGCGACACUCAUUUUGAAACGGAGGGAGUAGUAAUCAGUAUUACAAAGGAGGACCAAACCCCGUGGAUACCCACCAAAGCCCACCCCGACAUUAAUGGGAAAAAUCCACUUUGACUAGGGCUUAUGUUGGGGCAGAGAUGGGUGUCACAUGUUGAAAAAAGAAUUUAGAAAUCAUCCAUGUCAGUCAAUUUGUGAAGGAGUAACCGCACAGGAAAUAGAGCUGGGUCGAAGAUAAUGCAAUGAAGUUGUGGCAGUGGACGGAAGAACUCUUCCCUACCCCCCACAGCCACAAUUGCCAAGCCUAGCAAGAGCUUGCCUACAGGGUGGCAUGCAGAUAUUGGUGAAGAUCUUAACUAGGAAAACCAGAUUAGACAAAUUCAUAAUUCAAUUUGUUAGCUAAAGUAAUCAUAAUUACCAAAAUACUUUCUCAAAAUUGGCUUUCUAGUAACUGUCUCUAUAAAUAAAAGCAGCAAUUAAAUGUAAACUUACAUGCUUAACGAAUCAGCAAGAUAUUCCGUGUGCACUGACUCGAGAUCCAUCAUAUCUUUCACCUGCAUGAAUGGCGGGAAUAUCCAAAACAUUGAUAUAGUGAUUGAAUUUUGAAGUCAUACACAUCAUCAUAUCUAGCCGUGUAGAGUAUUUAAUUUUUACGAAAAGGUUUGGUGCUUUUUUUGUUCCCAAUUCUAAGAAAAAGCCACAAAUUUUAAGAUGUAUUGAUUGCUGAAACUACUUUAAAAUCCUUCACAUGUUUACAAGAAAUACAUCUUUCUCCAUGUAAGUGGGUGGGGGAACAUUUAAUGACGAGGUAAUAUUUGGAAUGAACUUUCAAAACUGUAGUGUUAAAUUAGUCCUGAAUUUUUCUUCUUGUAUAUGGGACCAGAGGUAGCAUUCAUUAAUAAUUAAUAAAAUAAAGAAACAAACAGGCAGGUACAGCUCAAAAACAUGUGGCAGAUUGGCGUCGUGACGUUGUCAAAGAAGAUAACCCUAAAAACAGAUAUUUUGCCCGUAACGCCCUUGGCCCUCUUUAAAGAAAGGGUAAUGAGAUACUCUUUAAAGAAAGCAAGCAUUCUUCUCAAACCAAAGGAUAAUAUAAAAUACACAGCCCAAAACCUGGUACUAAAACAUUUAAUUUUAACCAGCAGAAACUGUUCCAAAGCAGAGGAAGCUAAAAGCCUUGAUCCUUCAGGAUUAAAACUGGUUUCCUAAUAGUACUCGUAGAACUAGAUUAGAAAUGAGAUGCGAGUCAAAUGCAACCUAAAGAAUAAUGUGCAGGAUGUCUUUAUCUUUUUUCUCUUAUUUCCUGUCUUAUAUCAAGUUUCCCACAAUAAAAACAGAAAUACAGUCUCCUAAGAAGGGCACAGCCCGUGCAGUUGUAUGCAGUGAGCUUACCCAAAAGAUAGAAAGUAAAAGUCAGACCUUCAUUUUGACUAAGCGACCACAGUUAUUAAGACACAGAUCAGAAUACAUAAGCAGUUCAGAAAAAGUGAUUUUGCGCUGAAAAUAAAUACUUAUAAAGCCCCAUAAACACAUCAAUUUAUACAUUGAAGAAAAGGAUACAAAGAAAUGAAACUAAAUAAAUAGACGCAUUGGCUUCAAACCUUAUGCUGAAGGGAAUGAAGAAACCUGCACCAUGACACAUGUGAUAAUUGUGACUCCACAUACUGCUGCAAAGUAGAUACAAAAUGGCUGAUCUGGUGCCUGUCAAUGAAAGUGGAGCAAAGGAUGCUUAGAGGUACUAAUAUACAUAUAAAGAAGCUCAUGUUCAAUAUUCAAAAUUUAUUGGAGGAACUAUUUGAACCAAUGCCCGUUGAAUUUCCCUUUAUAAUUAAUGGAUUUUUUUUUACAAACUUCUGUACAUUUGUAUCUCUAAGAUUUCACGGGACUUCAUCAAGACAGUGUCCCCACCUAGACCACAUGGUCCAAACCUCCAAGGCAUACAUUAAAGACGAUAAUAUGACGACAGAAGAAGGCCUAUCAUAGAAAACAUAGUUCAUGGUCCCAGACUUCCCAAAAAAUAUCCAGUACAUAUACCUCAUCUUCAUCAAUAUAUUAAGAUGCCCUGCCCCAGGCUGGUAUGGUUCAGCAUUUAGACCCUUAUUCGUUGUAUGUGCCAUAUCCUGUUCACCAAAAUUGAAAGAAAAUAAGCACUGCAAUAAAAUCAAAAGCCCUUAUUCCCUUGAAAAAUCAGAAUAUAAAUGCAACUCAUAGCAAUAGAAACAAUUCGGGAUAUCAGAUUAUACACUUCAGAAUGAUGCUGCAGACUAAUAAAAUUGCAGGCUCUCAGACAUUGUUCCAAAGUUAUUCGUAAUGAAGUAUAGAGAAACAUGCAAAGCAUGUCCAAACUUUGAGAUGGUAUUAGAGUCGAUCCAACAUGUAGCAUGUCCAAAAUUGCAAAACUUCACUCCAAAUGUGAAAUAUCUAAUCCUAUGCAUGAGGGGGGUGUUGAAAAUUUGAAAAACCACAUCAACUAAAGAUAGACCAAAGUAAUCCAAUAAGACUUUGACAGUCCUCAUUCAAAAUUAGUGGAAAAAUUUAGUUUAGAAAACAUUAAGGCAAUAAAUAGUUACUCGUCGAUAACUCUUUGGACAUAUUUAACCAAGAAGUGUUCAAUUAUUUUUAAUUGGAAAUUUCCUGCCAAUAAAUUGCUAAACCGAAAACUUGUUGAGGAUAGAAAUAAAUGCAGUUACACAAUAAUAACAACACGAAAAGAAAAAGGGAACGGCUGCAAGAAACCAAACCUUUAAUGAGCACCACACAUCAGUCAAUGAAAAUAAGGCAAGCUUCACUUGUAUUAAAAAGCUGAAUAUAUCAGCAUAUAUUUUUAACGCAGCAGGUGUCAAAAUAAUACAGAGUGGCCAAUCCACAUGGUAACCCAGUCCUAAGAAAUCGAAAGAACGAAGCCCUGCCAUUAAUUACGAAUUUCCUUAUCAGAAGCAUAAUUUAACCUUCCACGGACAGGUGGGGUGAGCUUGUCAAACUUGAAAUGAAAAUGAAAAUAUUAAUGAAACCAAAUAAGACAAUAAUAAAAACAAAAUACUGGAUCUCUAGUAGUAGAAGUAUAGAUAUACCUAUAGCAGAUGCUGAAAGAGGCAAUUUUCCACGUCCUUUCAUGUACACAAACAACCUAUUCUUAUUAGUGUCUUGCUCACAAGAAGACUUCUGGAUUGACAGUUCAAGUAGGCCUUGAAUUUCUGGAAGUCUCUCAGUGGCUUCUGUAACAGACCACUUCUGUGAUUUUAAGUAAAACAAAGAAUGAAUAACCGUGCAGUAUUGUAGACUAUAGUCAGAAAUCAAAGCUAUGAAAUAUUAAGGAAGUCAUUGUCAAUCAGAAUUUAGGAAUACAUGUCGCCAGAGAGACAAUAUGAACAAAUCUGCCCAAUCUGCUAAUUCCAUAAAAUGAUACCGCCGCAGUGCUAAAAGAUGCUCUUGCAACUUAAAUGCCUCCUCAAGCACAUUGAUGAUUAGUUUGCUGACAUAAUUGUAUCUGGUAUCUUUAAGGACACGCAAAGCUAUUACAUAAUACUUUCCAAAAGAAAUAUCAUACCAACCCAUUUGAAUCUGAGCAGUUAUUGAUAAAAUUCAACGUAUUGUAUAAUACUUAUUCUACAUUGUUUCAUCUGUCAACUUUCACACAUAAAUUCUAAACAUGACCAAUAAAUUACCAUUGUCCGCCUCAACAUAUUACACGUUAUACAGGCUUACUGUAUAUUUUGCACCUUGUUUAGUACAAUAAUACUCUUAGAAAGGUUGGGCCUAACACAACCUCACAAAACCGGCUUGUGAGGUGAGGACUGCCCCCACUUAUAAACACAUGCUUAGACCAUCUUUUGUCCGAUGUGUGACUCUUUAACAAAUACUCAUAGCACAAAUUUACUAUGGAGCAUGAAUUCUAAAUGGCAUCAAUUAAUUCAUGUAGCUUGUCCUACCUGAUGGGGUAUGGUCUGCUUGUUUUUUUUUUUUUUGAAAAUAUAUUGAAGCACCACUAAAUCGUUCUAUCAUUUCAAAAUAUAAAAUAUAGUACUAGGAAUUAGUAAUAUUUGCAUUUCCAUUGUGAUUUUUUGCUUGUUGAUUGUAUAACUUUCUAACCCAUCAGUAAAGAAGCUAACUGAGGCUGCAUUAACUAAUUUAUAGAAGAUAAUACAACUGACAACAUUACAGAUGCAUGAACAGUAUUGAAAGGACCCAGAUAUUACUGGGCGCCUAAGUCCCACAUCGAGUAGUGGGGGAUGCUUUGUAUUUAAGUGGUUUGGUUCUUCUGCUUGAUAGCUAGCUUUUAAGGAAGGGUUCCCCAAGUGCUAGGAUACAUAUCAAUUAGUAUCAGAUUUGUCGUAGCUCGAAAAACUACCUAAGAAAGAACUGACUGAAAAGGCCGAGUAAAGCGUUGUAAAGUGUAGUUGUUGUGACAUCGCCUAUCAUUCUCAAGGGCAUAUUGUGAUAGAGACUUGGGCAUUAUGGAGUGGCUUGGUUGUUCCACCUUGAUUGUUAUCUUGUAAGGGAGGGUUCCCCAAGUUCUUGUAUAGUAUACCUAUUGAGUAUCAUGCUAAGAAAUAAUAGAAGCUAUAGAGCAAUGAAAUAUAAAACAGCAUACCUAAACCAUUCAAUUAGGUUACCAGAAUAAAUAUAAAAAUAAGGAUACUGAACCAUGAUUUCCUGUAUUAAGCACUUGUCAAUUAUAAUAUCAAGUGGCAUCUCAAAUGUUGACAACAAAGUUUGCCUUUGAGUAGCAUCACAAUCAACAGUUUUCCGAAAACUGCCCAGCAGUCUUCCCCAGCUGCUCCCACCAGAUGUAUCUGUUAAAACAUAUUGUUUAUGGUCCACCACAUCCAGUGAAGCAUCAAAACCAUAUUUGGGUUCAUCAACCAACCCCUCUUCAUUACCACGGUCAAUUUCUCCAUGAUCAUUAUUCUGAUUACCAUAAGUAGAUGCACAGCUAUCCGGUGGAAAUGAAUAUGUGUUUGUACAGAUUGAAUCGGUGAGUAACUUGUCCAUAUAAACCUUACAAGGGUCCUCUACAGUAGAAAAGUUGAAGUACGGAAAUGGCUGUGCACAAUCUGCUGUUUGUUGAGGCAAAACAUUUCUAGUCAACAUUGGGUUCAUACUAAAGGGAUUAAUGCUAGGUAGAUUACACUGAUGGUCAACUUUUAGUGGUUGAAAAUCACACAAGAAUGAAGCCGGCGUAUUAUUAACAGGUUGGUCCUCACUCAAGGUUUCCACACUCAAAGAAUCACUAACAGCAACGCGACAUAACUGGGAAUAUUUCAUGGAUUGCAGGUGCUUUUCUGUCAUCUUUUGCUCAACAGUUCCAUCAGCAUCAAAUGAUUUUUUCAGUAAAUCGUCCAUUGCUGAAUAACUGUCAAUGCAACUACCUCUCUGUUCAAUACUGAAUUUACUUGAGUACCACGAAUUCUCAGGAUUUUGAGGGUCAAACAUGUGACUUGAUAUCAUUCCCUUAUUGGAGGACUUCAUCAAAUGAUCAACGGCGUCCAUUUUAUCACAUAUUUCAUGUGAAUCACUGCCUGGCUUUUCAUGAUGACGGGAAUUUUGUAUUGAACUAUUUAAGGUAGUGAACUUCAAGAAGCUUAAAGCAGAUAGAUGAUUUUGUUGUCCUGCUGCUGGGCAAGGCCAGCCACUAAGCUGAUCAGACUCCAGUUGCUCGUCAGAGCUGUUUAACGAUGAACUUUCAGAUUGACCAUACAUAUCUUCCAGCAAAGACAUCUCGUCUUCCAUACUUGAGACAUCCGAGUCCAAAUUAUUAGAUCCCCUGAGAAUUUUUACAAAACAUCAAUGACGAAAUAACAAAGGGAAAUAAAGUCGUAAGGACAAAUAUUUAAUAAGUCAAGCAGAGAAUGAGAGAAACAUGUUAUUAAGUGUAUGCAUCUUCAUGCACACACAUUUUUCCUGGGGGUGGGAGGAGGGGAAUGAAAGUAACAGAUUACAUAUUUGAAGAACUUUUAUCUGCUGUUGAACAGACAAUAGGUUCGUCUUCUGACAUGAGCUGGCCUAGUUUGUCUAGAGUCCCCACAUCAUUAUCAAAAGAAGAAACUGGAGCAUGCAUAGGUACCUGCAAAAAGGAAAUUCUUCAAGCAUGAGAACGAAAAACAGAGAGAAAAUAAGUACCUACUCGUAGUGGGAAAAUCAGUUCUUUUCUGCUCUCCAUUUAUUUUUAUUUUUGUCCCUAAUGGACCAAAUUUUAUACUUCCAAUGCUCCUUUUUCGAUUAGUGUCACUUCCAAAAACUUAAUAUUGAUCAAAAUAAGAUAAAACAAGACCAUUGAUAGGAACAGGACCAUGACGAAAUUUUUUUAUUCCAUAUAAGGAGCAGUAACAUUCUUGAAUAUGGAGCAGUAAUAUGCAAGCUGCACGCAAAUGUUAUGAUCACAGCAUGAAUCCAAGAACCAUUGCACUUCAGAGUAACAAGUAAUAUAUAACAAUUAGAUGAAAACAACACAUAACUCUAAACUACAUAACAUCCAGACGGCAAGAAUCAAGCUUUUACUGAUGUUAAAGAAAUACAACGUAAAUGACAGUACAAAGUAAAAAUACAAAUAAAAUUUAAACUAUAUCUGCUGUGCAGAAACAUUGUUUGAUGUUAAAAAAACCACAUGAUUCCCCAUAUCGUAGUAUUAAAAAAUAACAAACUACAUCUAAGGUGAAGGAUUGCCUGAGCAUUAUAAAGACUAUUUUGGUUAUAUCUUCAGUCGACAUGGGAUCUCAACAAAUACUAAUACUUAUUCUAAACAAAUAGGAAACAAAUGAUGAAAAUAACUAAGAAAUAUGAAAACAAAUCAUAAGACAUAAUCUAAGAUACUCUAAAGAUAAGAUCCAAAUAUUAUAGGAUAUUUUUAAUAUCAUCUGACAUAAACAAGAAGGAAAAGAUCUUGGUACAAACAUAAUUCUAAAUCAAUAAUGGGAUGGAUUUAGUUAGAAAGUAUCACAAUAAUUUGUUUUCUUCCUUACGUAUGACCUACAUCCGUUUUAAGUGAAUUUGCUUAUAGUUUUUUUUCUUCAUAAAAUAAAAAUCUGAUGCCUUUUCUGUAUUUCUUCAUCCAUUGGUACCUGUAAGAUAAUAUCUUGAAUUUUUGGCCUUGCAAUCCCUUUCUAUUCUCUUGAAAGUAAAUUAUGUAUUGGUACCACAAAAUAACUGAAAGUAAAUAGAGAUAAAAAGUUCACUGUACAAGAAACCAAAACUAUGGAGUACGAUUACCUGCUGAUAUCUAACUUCUAAGCUGCUCAAAAGGCUUUCAAUUUUUUCAUUCAUCCUUUUAUAGUAGCUUUCUCUUGCAAGCACCAUAUUAUCUAUAGUAUCUUUGUUGAAAGUCAGUGGAGAGAAAUAAGACAGACUGUUGCUUGAAAAGCCGCUCCAGCAGGGUAGAAAGUCAUCAGAACUAUGUUGUCCAGCAGCAACAUCAAUGCACAGCUCAAGUAAUUUCAAUAGUACUUGAAGCUGCUGACCAGCUCUAACAAGUGGAACCAAUGAGUCCUUGAGAAAUCCAGGAAUGGGAACUCCAUCUCGCAACUGACAUUAAGAAGUCCUCACUAUGAGAAUCAAUAUAACAAGGCAAUAGUACAUUAUUAAUACACAUGAAAAAACAGGCUGCAGGUCAGCACAGAAAAGAAUUACCCUGAUACUUGCAGAUGGGAAGUCAGCAGAAUUACCAGCUUUAACAUGCGACUUAGGAGAUAAACACCCUAUAUUUUCAACUAUAAACUCCUUGUAGGGAUCAUGUAUUUCAGCUUUGAAAAUCCAAGAUCUAAUAAACCCACAAUAUGGUUCACAUGAUUGAAGAAAAAGAAACUUGAGAAGAGUACAGUGAGCAGAAUCAGCAACCUAAAUUUCAGAAAACUGUAAAGAUGAGAAGAAAUUUAAAAAAAAACCAAAAUUUGAGCAACCUAAGAAGAAACAUGCACAAGUUCAUUUAUGAAUCAUAUUUUUUGCAACCAUAUUUAUCAUGAAAUUGCAUUUUAGUCACAGGUUAUUAUCUAUACUUAUAUAUACAGGGGAUACACACACGAUUUUGUGAUGAUACUUUUUCUUGUAAACAUACCUUUCAUUUAAACUAUGAUUGAAAUAAGUGAACUGACCUGUAAUUGAUGAUACAAAAAUGUUAAUAAGCUCCCUCCUCUGUAGAAGUCAGCAAAUUCCGAAGUAGCUUUAGCAAUGACGUUUUCAAAAUCAGUAUCGGAAACACAAUGAGCCCACUUUAGUAGGUUACAUAUACUGGCAAGGGCUUGAAUAUGAAUUCUGAGUUGUUUUGUGUGCAAAUAUAACUCAAGCAGCGUAAUUUCAGAAUGUGAAACACUGUUGAAACAACUAGAGGCAGAGAAAUCAACAGGUAUCUCCGAAGCACGUCUGAAAAUGAGAGAAGAGUGGAUAGUGUCGAGAGAAGAAAUGUAACCUUCCAAGACCUUUCCAACGGCAACAGCAAAGGCUUGAUUAACAAGAGUACAGGGAGGGAGGGAAAUAGUGAAAUGAUCAACGAAGUGACGGAGAAGGAAAACGAGAGAAGCGGUGGAGGCAAUGGAUUGAAGGAUAUUUGAGAAAGAGUGAGUGGUGGAAGCACGAUACCAGAGAUGAAGGAAAGUGGUGUUGGGAUGAUGAGAAGAAAAGAUGGGAGAUAGGUUAUGGAUAGCGAUGAUGGAUGAUUUGGAACCUAACAUUGCAUUCAUAACCAAACGAACCAAACUGGAUUCCUAAAGUAACAGAUGAUGAAAUGAUUAGUUGCAAUUAAAUAAAUAAGAUGAAAAGAAACAAAAGAGAAUAUUGAUUGAAAUUGAAAAUGAGUACUUACAGAGAGAGUGGUUUGAUUUGAAUUUGAAUUUGAAUUAGAAUUUGAAGAUAAUUGAAGAGGAAGAAGGGGUGUUGGUGUUCGUUGUUCCCAAGUGUUUGGAGGAAGCCAUGGAUCGUGUAACUUCAAAUUCUGUAACAACGAAGCACUCAUUUCCCAUUCCAUAUUUCAGUAAAACCCGCCUCACGCUCAAUUUGCAAGAACAACUUUACUUUACUCCAUGUCACUCACUGGGUUCUUCUUCUCUUCACAACAUUUUUUUAGAAUUUAGAAUCAAAAUACAUUAAUCCUUCGAUUAUAAAGUCAGUUUUUUUUUAGAGAUUUGUAUAUUAACAAAACUUUGAACUAAUUAACUUUAUUUUCCUAUAUAUAUUUUUUUUUUUUUGUAAGUAGCCCACAUUUAAAUGCAAGAAGUGAGAUGUUUGAGGUUCGAAUUCUGUCCCUUGUUCAAUUGUUUUAUAUGGUGGCUAGUGUUCGAACCCAAAUAUUGUAUAUAUUAUGCAUUGUCUGUACCAAUUGAGAUAACUUCACUAAAGCAUUGUUUUUAUUCAAUUUAUAAAAAGGCAGUUUAAUCAUUUUAAAAUUAUAUAUUAUUCUUUAAUUUUCUCUAUGUGAAUUUUAACCAAUGAUAGAGAAUACGUUCGAAAGUUUGUGUUAGAAUGUGUAUUGUUAACAUUUCUCAUACUCUAAAAUAGUUUAAAAUACUUAAAUAUUCAUGUGACAUUCUUUCUUUUUAACUUAGUCAAUAAGAAGUUAACUUAUCCAGAUAAUUGUGAUUUCAACUUGUGUUGUUGACGCCAACUUCUCUAUGUAAUUGAUAAUUUGUAACAACUCUAUUAACGUUUGAGGAGUCUUGAAGUCCAUCCCUCCUAUCAUAUUAAUUAUAAAGUCCAACUAACCUAAACUCUUUUUAUUAAAAAAAUUUCUUUUUGUUCCAUUGUUAUUUUAUUAUGUACUACAUUUGUCUCAUUUCAUUUGUCACUUUCACAUUUUUUUUCUUAAAAUAAUUAUCAUUUUAAAAUAUCAAUUUAAUUUUUUUUUCAUUAAUAUACCUUUAAUUAUUGAAUUUUAUACAAACUAAUUACUCCCUUGAUUACAAUUAAUAACAAUGUUUUAAUUCUUUCAAAAAAAUGAUACUAGUUUUAACAUUAAAAUCAAUUCAACUAUUUAUUUUUUUUUAAAAAAACGUUCACAACUCCAUAACAACUACUUAAAAUAAGAGAAAAAUGGUUUGAACAUUUUCUCUAACACUAACUUUUUGUGGAAUUAAAUUUAUAUGAGUAUCAUACAUUGAGUGAUUUGUGAAAAUUAAGAAAGGAGUGAGUAAUGUAAAGAAAAUUCUUGGUUAAUAUUAGUCCGGCAAAUAAAUAACAAUAUAUAUAUAGGAGCAUAAUGUUCUGGAGAAUGAUUAUAUAAGACAUUUAUAAUGGUUAAAAAACUCAACAUCCACUUUUUCUUUUUCAAACACUCCACAUCAUUUUCUCUUUCUUCCAGCUAAUAAUUCAACACUCAUUCAACUUAUACAGUUUCCAAUUUUUUUUUUAAAACAUUCAACACUCUACUCUACCACUUUUUAUUUCAUAUUCUUAUUUAAUUUUAUAUUUUGUUUUUAUAAUUACACAAAAUUACAAUUAUCGAUUAUAAUUAAAUUAAAAUAAUAAACACUUAACAAUUUAUCUUUUACUAAAAACAAAAUUUAUUUAAAUAAUUUAUUUUUAUUUUCUUAACUUAAAAUGCAAUACAAUAAACCAAACACGCGACACACAAAUAACUUAAAUGUAAGACAACUUAAAUUGAUAAUUAGAAGAAUUAUGGGUGUUGAAAUUAUUAUUAUUGGGAUCCAUUUUACCAAAAAGAAGAUUAAAACUUCAAAAUAAAAGUAAAUAGAAAGAUAAUAAUAUUAAGAUAGUGGAAAAUUUCACUUCUUAUCCACCAACCUCUUCUUUCUCCGCGUCUGCUGCACGCGCUCUCUCCUCCAACCAGUUUGCAUUGCGUGGCCUGCUUUGUUGGCCAUUUUUCAGCAUUCAACACGUUGAAUGUAUUCAUCAUCAUCUCUCUCUUCCACAUCAUUUAUCAACAAACUUCAACUCCCCAUUGCACAUGUUCUAAGUGUUUAAAUUGCUAUUCAACACAACCAUUGUAUUUUUUUUUGACAAAAAAAAAAUGAUAUUCAUUCAUUCAAAUUGAUGGAGUACAUCGAUACAAUACAAAUCCAAAUUCGCUAAAAACAAAAAGGAUGAAUCUGUGAACAAACUCACAACAUCCAUGUUAAUAGCCUAAAACGGCAAAGUACCUAUGCCUACUAAUAUGGCUAAUAUGACCGUAUUCAAGUCUCCGGAAUACUCAUGUCUCCGGAUCUGCAACGUUGACAACGCCAAAGUCAUUGUCAUUGAUCAGAUCUACACUUGCUCAAGCUAAUCUUUCAACCUGAAUCAAAUAAACACCGCACCACGACGGGAAAUCAAAAAACACACCGCACAAAGCCAGGAAAUCAAAACAAACAGAGUCGUGCGCAGAGACGACGAAAUCACAAAAACAAACGAAAGAAAACAUAAAAUAUGUGAAAUCACUUAUUCAAUUAGGAUAUAAGGAAACACAACUCGGAGAGGUGAUUUUUGAGUCAAAAUUGACCUUAAAUCACCUCACUGAAAAGAAAAGAAGAAAAGGGUUACCGCUAGAGGUUGAGAAGGAGAGAAGAGAGAGAGGAAGAAAGAAAAUUUGAUAACACAACCAUUAUAUUUGGUCUCAGUAGAAUUAGAAAAAUGACAUUUCAUCUAUCUACAAAAAAAAAAUAAAAAUAAAAAUAGAAAAAUGAUAUAAAAUAAAAUAAAAAAACAUAAAUGGCAAAUGGGUCUUUAUCAUGAACCUAGCAAGCAGCAAAAGAGAGUGAGUUGGGAGUGUAAAUCACAGUAAGAGUGAACGGAAACAACAACACACAACACAACAGUCGCAAUUCGCAAAUGAAAGAGGCAAGCAUGGAUCCUGCUGCAAUGUAUAUGCUCCCUCUUGAAUUGAUCAUCCAAAUCCUACUUCGCUUACCAGUUAAGUCUCUUAUUCGUUUCAAAUGUGUUUGUAAGUCUUGGUUAUCUCUCAUCUCCAAUGAUACCCAUUUUGCACUUUCCCAUUUUCAACUCACCUCAUCAACUGCAACACUCACUUGUAGAAUCAUGUUCAUUACACCAAUUCCAUAUCGUCAUCGUCAUUGUCAUUGUUUAUCUAUUGAUUUUGAAGCAUCUCUUAAGGAUGAUUCUUCUUAUGCUUCCUCCAACAUUUAUUUUAUGUACCCCCAUGAUCUUCAAUUUAAAGUUUCUUGUAGAGGCUUUUUACUUCUUCACGGUUCUUUUGACAUCUAUAUAUGGAACCCAUCCACUGGAUUUCAUAAACAAUUACCUUUGUCUCGUUAUGGUUCCUCUUAUCGAAAUUAUUUCUAUGGUUUUGGGUAUGAGGAGUCAACAGAUGAUUACUUGUUGGUGUCAAUUUCUCAUGACCCCAAAUUAGCUAAUACUAAGCAUUUGGAGAUUUUCUCAUUGAGAGAUAAUACAUGGAAAGAAAUUGAGGGUAUUCACUGCCCUUAUACCAAUUCCUCUACUGAUUACCCCAAAAUAAUAGGCUCUCUUUUUAAUGGGGCUAUUCAUUGGUUCUCUUUUCGUCAUGAUCAUUUACAAAUGGAUCUUAUUCUUGCCUUUGAUCUAAUCAAAAGGGAACUUUUUGAGAUUCCUCUCCCAAUUGAUAUUGACUAUGAAGCUACAAAUUGUGAUGUAUGGGUAUUUGGACAAUUUCUCAGUAUAUGGGCUAUGGAUUAUGAUAAUGAUACAGUUGAAAUAUGGGUGAUGAAAGAAUACAAAGUGCAUUCAUCUUGGGGGUGAGUGGAACACAGAUGAGGUGAAUCUCAAUGAUCUGGACAAACUAGUAAGGGAGAUAGGUGUGGAAGGUGACUAUAAGUUGUGGUAUGUUAUACCUGGUGGAAGUUUGGGUGGUGGUUUAAGGUUGCUGAAAACAGAUAGAGACUGUGUGAGGUUCAUUAAUGAGUUUCAGAAUCAGGUAGCUGCUGAUAUUUAUGUUGAGACUCCACUAACUGAAGGAUUGGAUAGUAGGUAUGACGGUGAUGUUGAGGUGGUAGAAGAGGUAAAAGGUAGUGAAGACUCUAGCUCAGAUGGUGAAUACAUAGCUGAAGGUGAAGGUAGUGAAGAAGAAGGUGAAGGGAGUGAAGAGGAAGGUGAAGGUGGUGAAGGUUCUGAAGGUGGUGAAGAGAAACAAUCUGAAGAAGGAAGUGUUGAAGGGUUAUCAGAGUAUGACAGUGAGUAUGAUGAAGACUAGGAGUGGACAUCUGUCUUGCCUGAUCACACUUUGAAUCCGCUCCAUCUUCAAGUGUGUUGCCUGUUGUAGUUGCUGCUGCUCAAUCAUCUAGGAACCCUGCUCCAACUACUCUCUCUGAUUUUGAGGAUGACAAUGCUGAUUCAGAGGAACUAGAGAGUCCAUACUCUUCAUCUGAUGAUGGUGUUGGUAAGAAAAAAUUGAGUAAGUUUGUUUUGAAUGAGAAUGAGCAAGUUAGCUUUCAGGUAGGUCAGAUAUUUGCUAAUGCCGAGUUAAUUAAAGCUGCUGUUAAAGAGUAUGCUUUAGAAAGUAGGAAAAAUGUUUAUGUUAAGAAAAAUGAGAGAAAAAGAGUCAUUGUCAAAUGCAUGCCUAAGUGUCCAUUUCAUAUGAGGUUUAGUAGGGAUGAACCAAAAACUUAUUAUGUGUUAUCUAGGUAUAGGUCUGGUCAUAAGUGCUAUUUCACAAAAAAAGCUAGGUUAUUGAAAACAACUAUUUUGGCUAAGAAACUUGUUCCAAUUCUGAAACACACACCAACUAUGAAACUAAAAUCUUUAGGGGAAGAGUGUCAGACUAGGCGGGGUGCUCAUUUAAGUAAGUUUCAGCUGUAUAAAGCAAAAAACAAAGCCUUGGAAAUGAUUCAUGGUGCUAUAGAUGAGCAAUAUGCUCAUCUUAGGAAUUAUGCUGAGGAAUUGCGUAGGAGUAACCCUGGGAGUACUGUGAAGAUAAAGUGUAAUGCUGGUCUUGAGGGUCCUUUGUUUGAGAGGAUGUAUGUGUGUUUCAAUGCAAGCAAGAGAGCUUUUGUUCAAAGUUGCAGACCAUUGAUAGGUCUAGAUGGGUGUUUCUUGAAGGGUAGGUAUGCAGGACAUAUGUUGUCAGCAAUUGGUAAAGAUGGGAAUAAUCAGAUGAUGCCCAUUGCAUUUGCUGUUGUGGAGGCUGAAACCAAGGAAUCUUGGGAUUGGUUUCUAGAUCUGUUGCUAGCUGAUUUGAAUGGUAUUCAACAUAAAAGAUGGGCCUUUAUGUUAAGAUAUGAAGGUGAUAUUUGUCCUAAGAUUGCAAAAAUUAUGGACAAAAAUAAGAGGGAUGCUGAUGGAUGGUCACCAAAUUGGCAUGGGGACAGAGAUUACUCCUCAUUUUCUGUGGGUAAUGGUAUUGAUAAGUAUGUAGUUAGUCUGAAAGAUAAGUCAUGUGCUUGUAGAAAAUGGGACAUCACUGGCAUACCUUGCCCUCAUUCUAUUGCUUGUAUGAGGUUUAAUAACCAGAAUCCAGAUGAUUUUGUGGCCUGUUGGUACAAGUAAUUAUGUUGUUAACUAUUUUGCUAAUUAUGUGGUACAAGCAACAAACUGUUUACUAACUGAUUUUGCUAAUUAUGUUGUACAUGAAACAAACUUUCUUAGAUUGCAAUAGCAAUCCGAUGUUGCCAUCCAAUGGACCUAAGCUUUGGCCAGAAGUAGUUGGUGAUCCCAUAUUACCACCUAAAAUGAGGAGAGCUCCUGGUAGACCAAAGAAGUUGAGGAGGAAGACAAAUGAUGAACCAAAGAAACCAUCUGGUGCUGGUGGGAUGAAGAAAAGAAACCAAGAAACUGUGAGAUGCAGAAGGUGCAAGGAGUUAGGCCAUAAUCAGAGAACUUGUGGGGGAAAGACUGGUGCAGAUAGGAAGCUUCCUAAGGGAGGUAACAAGGUAUGAUUGAAUCUUGUGAACUAUUUAUGAUGAAUGUUGUGUAUACAUGAUGUGAAAUAAGUUUGAAUGAAUGUUGUGUAUGUUUUAUGUAGACUGGUGCAGAUAAAGGGAAAGGCAAAGCAGUUGCAACUGGUGCAUCAAAGAAAGCUAAGAAGCAUACACAAACUGGAGGUAGUCAAGCCGGUGGGAGUCAUGUUGGUGGUGUACUUCAAGGUGGUGAGAGCAAUGCUGGUGGGAGCAAGACUGUGACACAAAUUGUGACACAAACUGCUGCUAAAUCAGCCUCUGUUACUGGUGGGAAACAUGUAAUUGUUGGUGAGGCUACAAUGUUUGUGCCAAGAAAGAUAUGGACAACAUGAGUCAAGAGGAAGGUGGAUGAAAUUGGAACUCAACAAUCUGUCAACAAGAACAAGUCCUUUUUAAAGUCAUGAGACUUAUGUAAUUUUGGCAUGUAAUUCAUAAGUACUUUUUGCAAUAUUUAUGUUAUUUUGGGAUGUAAUUCUGCCAAGUACUUUCUGCUAAGUUAUACUGCUAAGUUGUUCUGCUAAGUUAUGAGACCUAUGAUUUUUUGGUUUGUAAUGUUAAGUGCACCUUUGGUGUAUAACCUUUUAGCAUGUAAUGAUUACUACUUUUAUGCUGUUAUUUCUAUGUGCUUAUUUAAGAUCGCUUUUAGCAUUUAACUUUUGUUCAAUAAGGUAACACAGUUGCCAUAUUAACACAAACAAACAAACACUUUUGAUUAAUUUAUCACAAAUUACAUCAAACUUUAACAACACAUAGUGUUUCAUAAAAUUACAGAAACUUAAACAACACAUUAAGUUACUAACAUUAAGCUAAAAUGCAUAAAAUUACACCUAAACAACAGAAACUUAAAGACACUUAUAGCAAACUACACCAACACUCAAGACCAACAAAACCACUAAUAUGACUAUCACUUUAUUGUUUUUCUUCAACAACCCACUAAUGAUUUUCUUCUGUCUAUCUGGAACUUCAGGAUCAAACCAACGAAAGAAGUUGCAUUUCCUUCUUAAGAAAAAUCUUCCACAUCCAUGGAAUCUCCUUCAUGGGUUUUCUUCUGUCCAAGCAGUCACCAAAGGAGAUUCCACACCCAUUGAAGCUUGAGGAUGAAAAUUGAGACAUUUUCGAAGUUUCUGGAAAAACAAGGUCCGCUAAUGGAGAUGGAGGGAGGGAUGAAAUAAGAGAAGAUGAAGAUGAAGGUUUGGGUCGGAAUUUCUUGAAAGGAAUUUUCUGGAAAAACAAAGGAGAGGAUGAUGAAAUAAGAGAAGAUGGAGAUGAAGGUUUGGGUCGGAAUCUUCGAGAAUGAAGGUUUGGAAGAGGAAGAUGAAGAUUUUGUUUGGAAAGAGAAGAUGAAGGUUAUUAAAAGGAGGUGAUAUUACCGUUUGGAGCUCGCACGUGCCUCACCUUUUUCUUUGUUAUUUUUGGUUUAUUUUUUUAAUUAAUUAUAUGCGAGGAAUUAAAAAAAUACAAAAUAAAAAUAAAUACACAGGUGGCGUGCCACAUAGGAUUGACUGAGUCAAAAUUGACGUUUUGCAAAAGGGGGUAGACAUGGGGUCACUUUUGCCAUUUUUUUUAAUAGGGGGCCAAAAUUGCAACUUUUGCAAACUUAAGGGGCAAAAAGCGCGUUUUAGCCUAGAAAUAAUUGUCACAUCAAAUAUUGCGAUGUGCUUAAGAGAAAGAAGAUUGAAAUGAAAGCACUAUUUUUGAUACUCGAGCUGAUCGGAUUCAGAGUAUGUAUACAAGCAAUUUUUUCGUACAGCAACAAGUCACUUCCUUGAAUCUCUAUACAUUCUCUAUAUAUAAAGAUUAGGAUAGAAAAUGGGGACAAGCUGUGAAGAAUUUGUUUUUUUGAGAGAAGAGUGAGAGAAAGAGAAAUAAGAUGAAAGAGAGUGUUGUGGGAGAUAGGGUGUGGUUUACGCCAUAGAGAACUCCCUAUAAGAAAGGGAUCAAGGCAACUCACAAUCCUAACGUGGACGGUGCAUGCAAUAGAGUUGAAGGGUAUCUAAUAUCUUUCAACUACAAUAACAUGGGACAGACAGACAUACAUAUACAACUAGAAAAAAAAAUAGUAUCACUUUAUUCAUGAAAUGACCAUUUCAACAUAUGGAAAAUGCAAUGCCAAUUGAAUUCUCAAGAAACAUACGUUACAAACACACUUGAAGGCAUCAAAUUGAUAGCAGAAUCUCAAACGGAAGAAGCUACAAAGAUGAAACCAAGUGAAUUAAAAAGACUGCUACACUUUGAUCAUAACUCAAGAAUUUGUCACCUCCCAACUCUUUUUCAUGUAUGGAGGCAAAUCUGCUUCCAACUCAAGUGAUUCAACUGCUGAAAGGUCAUAACUUGAAUCUGAUACUGAUUGCACAUUUUGCAGUGCUUGAGAUAUAUUGGGCAAGACUAUUUGCUUGCAAUGAAGAUGUAAUCGUGGAUGCUUGUCUGAGAUGCUCCCCUUGUUCAAAUUAAGGCCAAAAGGGAGCGCCUCUUCCUUGAGAUGUUCUUCAGUUGAGUCCUCCAGAUUAGAGAAAUCAAACUGUCCCCACUUCUUAUGAGCUUGCCGUCCAUACUUGUAGUCCCCAACUAUCGGUGUACCUAACACUUCAGCACAGUGGACACGGAGCUGCAGAACCAGCACAAACAAUCAGAAUAGAAAUUAUGGGGAUGCAGCAUAUGCAUUGAUUAAACACUUUAAGUUAGUACCAAGAUCAGCUGGUUUUGAUUUUUCCCUUUUUUCUAUUACCUGGUGUUUUCUACCGGUUAAGGGGGAAAGCUCCAACCAUGUAAAACCUGCAUCAUUACCGGUGACAUGAGUAGGGGUUGGCAACUGAGAAGAUCAGAAGAGACACAUUUUGAAGGAAAACUCAUCAUAACAAAGGGGGGAGAGGGAAGGAUGCAUCACAAAUUUUCAAUAUAUCCUAGGCUCGAACAUUUGCAAUUAGGUCUGCUGUGAUAAAAAUCAUGUAGGACAUCAUCUAUUGGUUUAAUUACUUGUGCCCAGACUAUAUUCUAUUUCCCAAAUAUGAAAUUAAAUUGAAAUCCUGCUUUUUAUGUAGCUAUCAGUUCACUUUUGUGUAUGCUUUUUUGAAUAACAUGUGAUGAUAUGAAAUUAUUAAACUAAAUUAUGUAAUAAAUCAUUUUGUAAAUUCGACUAGUUUGGAAGCAUGCAUUUCAGAAAUUCCACUAGGAGGGAUGUUAAUUAGUGCUUGAGAGGACGAAACUAAAGAUAAGUUUAAAAUGUCAAAGACACUGCAAAAGGGAAAAAAGAACCUGAACCCAGAAUCAUGUUGUGCUAUAAAACACAAGUUCACCCACACUUAAUGGGACAAUCACAAAUGUCAAUCUCUAAAGUUAAGGUGACUUAAAACUCAGAAUUUAACCAACCAUGAGACGAUGAUGAAAUCACUCGGUACUCUGUAACUGCAUGUUGCGAUGACAGUAAUGCAGAAUUGUCAACGAUAGUUAUUCGAUCAGAUUUUCCAUUGUCAACCACCACCUAAAACCAAAUGAACAUUAUUCACAAUAUGAGGACAUCCAACAACAUUGUGACAUAAGUAAGUUCAGAAUAUGGAUACAAACCUUACCGAGUGGAGCAUUAACAACCCCGCCUGAACGUCUAGGACAUCCAAGAACCAAUGCCCAAUACCUUCUUUGUAGGAUUAUCUUUUCAGUGUCAUUCUCCUCAUUUGAAGCCCUUGAAGUUUUUUCACGGAAGAUGGAAUGCAGAAGUGCGGUAGAUGUCUUUGUUCUUCCCAUGACAAGAAUUCCAGAACAGUCUCUGUCUAGUCUAUGGACCAAACGAGGAGGUUGAGAGUAAUCAUAAUUUAAAGAUUGAGCAGCAACAGCAUCUAAACUCAGUUUGAUAUUAAUGCCACCCUGCACUGGCAUUCCAGGAGGUUUGUUUAGAACAAGAAUGUGAGGAUCUUUAUAGAUAACAAGAGAACGAAUGAAGUUUAUUUGUUUAGCAGUGAGAGUGAGGGGAGAUUCAUGUUUGGGGGGUGUAGGAGUAAGAGGAAUUUGUUGUUUAACAGAAUUGGGAAGAAAUAUACGAUCUCCUGAGUUCAAAGUAUCCUUAGGUGUUACCCUUUUGAAUUUGUUAUCAUCUUGUUGUCGUGGGAGCAUUCGAACCUGUUUUAGACGAAAGAGUUUAUGAAUAAGGGUUUUAGGUAAUUCAGGGCAACAUCGAAUAACCCAUUUCAGGGCAGGGGUCGAAGUCGAAGAGGAGGAAGUGUUUACAGUAGUACUCACAGGUGGCAGUGUAAGCCAUUUUCCAUCUUCCGCCACCGCCGAAGAUGACAACUGACGACGACGACUCCAUGAUCUCACGGCGGCUCCGACUCGGACAUACAUGUAUGUUUAGUUAGUGCUCAAUGAAAAAUGAUGGCCGCCGCCCAACAUUAACGAACCAGGUAGAACGACCGUCAAGAUCGGUGGGCCCAAACCAAAUUGUAAACAUAUACUAUAUGCUAAUAACACGCCUUAUUUUCCUCUUCACCCCUAGAUUCUACUAAGUUUAUACUCCAUCCGUCCCUAAUUAUAUGUCUUUUUUUAUAAGACCAUUUUGUCAUUUCCAACUACAUUAAUUAUUUCUUUACAUACAUGCCCCUAUUUAUUAUACAUCUUUUUCUUCAAUCAGCAAUAAGUAGCAUAUGGAAAACAUAAACUAACUCUCUCUCUUAAGGAUAAAAUUGUAAAAACAAUAGUGAUUACAAACAAAUUUAAUACAAAUAUCCGCUUUCUUAAUUCCCGUGAUUUUAGCAAAAGGGUCUUAUAAUUAGGGACGGAGGGAGUAUAUACUAUAAGGUUAAUUAACUAAGGCUUAAAUAUUUAUUUCAUCUUGAAAUUAGGGGUCGUUUAAAAAUUAGUCAUUGUAAUCGUUAAUUCUGGAAAUUUAACCUUGCAUUGUUUAAUCAUUUAAAAUUUCGUCCCUCCCCCCACUUAAUCACUACCAUGUCACUAAUUUGAUGACGUGGCAAUCACUACCAUACAUGAAAUUCCAAUUUUACCCCUGGGUUUCCAAUUCUUUCUUCAAUAUUUUGUCCUCUUCUUAAGGGCAAACUUGAAAUUUCAUGUGUGGUAGUGAUUGCCACGUCAUCGAAUUAGUGACGUGACAAUGAUUAAGUUGGUCAAAGGACGAAAUUUUAAAUGAUUAAUGAUUGCAAGGCUAGUUUGCAAAGAUUAGCAAAUACAGGGACCAAUUUUUAAACGACCUCUAAUUGCAAGGAUGAAAUACAUAUUUAAGCCAUUAACUUAACUGUUCUAAUAAACAUCCAGAAUUUUGUUUUUAAAACCUUAAAAAAAAAUCAAAAGUUUUACUCCUUUAAAAUUUUCCCUAUGUUAAGUCAAUACUUUAUAUAAACUUUAAAUCGUUUACACCGUUGAACCUAAUUUUAUUUUCCAUUAAUUUUUCUUCUGGUUGAAUGAUAUACAUGUUUCAAUGUUCAAUUAAGUGUUGGUGGAAAUUUUAUUUUAAAAUUCUAGGUACAUGAUGAAUCAGGUAAAAAAUCAUUUCUUCUUAAGGUAGAAGUAUCACUAUAAUUAUCAACGACAUAAAUCCUAAAAUCAAACCAUAGAACUUACGAUGUUUGAUAUAUACCUACUCAAUUGCUUCCAAGUUUCAUCAACCCCUGAAAUUUUGAAUAAGGAAACCAUUUUUUGACUUUCAACAGUUAAACCAUUGAUAAGUCAACGAGUAAGAAAAAAGUAUGAAACAUAACAGUUUACUCACAAUUUUAAUUACUGAUAGUGGAUCUUAAAUGCAAUCGGAGUUGAUGGAAGCAUGACUCAUAACGGUGUGAUACCUACAAACAAUUUAACGUUCAAGUCGAUUGAGGUAAGUGAGAGGUUUAACAUAACGAAACGUGUACAUUUCUCAUAAUGAAGAUGUUUAUAGCAUGGGAUUUAAAGGAAAUGAGUGAAAAUUUGUAGGUUGUCUUUGAAAUCAAUUAAAACCAAUCACAUGUACAUAGUUAGUGGAAACGCGUGGUAGAAGUCUUCAUUUAAGUCAGCCACUGAGUGAUGAUCGUCCGAUCCGGCCCGUUUACGUGUCUUAGGCUAUCAUCCAACUCAGGAUGUUAAUUACCGUUGAUAGAGAUUAUGACGUAGACUUCUACUUUGGAGUAGUCUUUGAAUGUGUGACAUACUGAGAAGUUUUCCGGUAAGCGUGCGAGUGAGGACAAAACACGCUGAAAAGACUCGUGUUGGUUUCUACCAAAACAAAAAUAAUGUUAAAUAUAUGUUAUAAAUUGCAUAUAGUAAUAAAUAACUAAAGUUCGAAGUCCACAAAAUAUAUAUACAUAAAUGACUCAAAGCCUAGAUGCAAAUAUUUUUUAGUAGUCAGUAAUAAUGCUAAACAACCUAUACAAAAUACUUAAAAGGCAAAUCCUAAAUGCCUGACAAAAUACUUAAAAGGCAAAUCCUAAAUGCCUGACAAAAUACUUGAUCACGAUUUCACAAGUGAGUAAGGCUAAUUAAGUUUCAAGGCAAAGACCAGAUGCCUAACAAAAUAUUUAAUGGCAAAGGUUAUAUGUAAUCAUAAAUCACGAAUAAAUCGUCAAUUAUAUGGAUUAUCUUCCAUCAUAUCAACACUUUCAUCUUCAUCAUUUCCUCCAUCAUCAUCAUCAUCAUCACACCACUUGCACCAUUUCCAUUGUCUGUCUUCUAUAUCUUCAGACACAUCAAACUCAUCCACAUUUGUUGCAGAUGCAGAACUAGUACCACUAGUAUUUCUGGUACCAAUCAGCUCAACAUCUAGAUCAAGUGGUGAAAAAAAGAACAAUCCCUUGUAACUAUUGUAGUCUCGGAGCACUUUUGUCUAUAAAAACGCAAUCAUUGUUGUGAAAUAUUAGUCAAAUCGUCAUCUUGCUUAAUUUCAAGUUCGCUAACACAGUCUUUAAUUUCCAAAUAGUUUCUUUUUAUCGCUCCCUGAUAAUAUGAGUAAAUCAUUAUUCGAGGGAUGUAAUGUUGUCAAUGAUAUUCAAUUCUAUCAUUUCAAAUUUCUAAGUGGACAAAUUCAGUAGCAAGUUUUAGUAUUCAUUAGAACUUUCAAUAAUAUAAGGCAAAUAGUUGAGAUUUUUCUUGUGUGUGUUAAGGUGCGUGGGUGACUUUACACCAAAUUUAUAACCAGCAUAUCAUACUUUUUUUGACCGAACCAACAUAUCAUACUUAUAUUAUAACUGCACAAAUAAGGUAUUACCCUGACUUAAGAGAGAUACAUAUGAUAUACAUCUAACCUGACCAUAAAUAGAAGAAUAUUGUUGCAAGGAAGUUAUAUAUGAUGGCAUGAUGCCAAAUAUUUUGAGUGGAUAUGACAUUUCAUUCAUUAUGCGCGCGCAUCCACUUUAUGAGUUCGAGAGACAAGAAUUAAUGUAGCAAAGGCCUAGUUAGUGUAACGCCUCCGCUUGGUGGGCAUAUAACACCCGAGGCUGAUGAGGACGGGAAGUGGUCCGGUUCUAGGCAAAACUGAAUCACAUCGGAAUGAGAGGGAUCCUGAGGCCGUACAUGUAUGGGACUGCAUGGUUGAAGGAAGGCUUAUAAGAAUUGUUUGGUACUACCUAUAUCAACAAGAUGUAUCUUCUUUUCGGUAGCUCAUUCCAUAAGAACUCCACAGUUAAGCAUGCUUGACUUGGAGCAAUUUUGGGAUGGGUGACCUACCGGAAAGUUUCCCGGUAAACGUGCGAGUGAGGACAAAACACGCUGAAAAGACUCGUGUUGGUUUGUGGGAUCAGUCCGCAAUCCUGAAAGUAGUCUGGGAUGUUACAGUUAGCAGGGUCAUUCAGAAGUGCAUAUAUAUAGUAUGCUAAAAAUGCAAAUAGAAGACUUUGUCCUGCGCAACUUGAUUAUGGUUUUGAAUUUGAACGGAAAGACAUGGUGAAGGUGCAUGCAUAUAUAUGACUUAGAAGUUCCACAUUAAAUAAAAGAGGAGUGUUAUUUGAACAAUCAUUUGGUUGACAAUUUUUGGGACUUAGAAGUUCCACAUUAAAUAAAAGAGGAGUGUUAUUUGAACAAUCAUUUGGUUGACAACUUUUGGGACAAUCAUAAUUUAUAAAGAAAAAGUUGAUAUUUGCACGAAAACCAAAGCAAUAGAGAGAUAAAGUAAAAAGUAAUGUGAGUAUGAGAGAGAAAGUUGUCACAAAAGUUAUCAUAAAAUGGAUGUUCAAAUAUCAUUUCUCUAAAUAAAAAAAAGUGAAGGUUGGGCCAAGACAUCUAAAACCCUUGGUUUAGACCUCUGAACAAAUAUUUUUAUUAGAUUUUAUAAAUAAAAAAACAUCAAAAGUAAAAAAAACAUGCAUAUUAAAAUUUGUUUUAGGAUUCAUUUAUUGAAAAUUAUUGGGGUGACCUUUUGAUAUUUUGAUAUAGUGGGGUAAAAAGGUAAAUGUCAGGGUUCAUGUCACCAGAAAAAAGUAUACAGUGUUUAUACGGUUGAAAAGGCAAUAGUAGUAAGCUGAAUGAGAGAAGAGAAGACAAACUGUGGUUCAUGCAUUUGAACAAAUUUUACACAUAUAGCUAUUUGUAAAAUAAAACGCAAAUUGUUAGAGAUUGCUUGAAAUUUGUAAAUUCACUCUAGCUAGCUACCACAUGAGUUAAGUUGAUUGUGUCCAGGUUCAGAGCCACUUGGCAAAAUAGAGACAUAUAGGAAAUAACAUUUUUGUUAUUUUGAUAAACAUUACCAUAAUUAGAUAUUUAACAUCAGAUCAACUUUUUGUGGUCUUAGGUAAUUAAGUCAAGUAUGAUGGUAAAUUUAACUAACCUUGUUAUGCAAUCUCAUGACACGUUGAUCUAAUCUAGCUACAUGCACACAUUAUAUAUACCAAUAUAUCAUGGAUUAGCUAGUUCCUGCAAAUUAAAGUAGAAGAUUGAUCAUAGAAGCAACCUAUGUUGACUAGAUUUCCCUGUAUUGUUUCUAAAAAGUGACAAAUAAUUUGCAUUAAUUGCUUAACGAGUUAAUUAAUUUCCCUUUGUUUGAUAGCGUAGACUUUAGCAAAUUAGGAGGUGGUGUCUCAAAACAAUUAAACUCCUUAUGAGCAACACUAUAAAUAGCAAUGCAUGUAUAGCAUGCUCUUCUAUAUAGCAAAAUCACAUACAAGUUAUUAAUAAUGGUUGGAAAAUCAGUCAAAUUAUAUUACUUUGUUAUUAUUGUUAUUAUUUUGUUUGAGUUGAGCUUCCAAUUCCAACAUGGGAUGGCUCGGCCACUAAAACAGCAUAAUGAUGAAGAUGAUCAGCAUAAUAUUAAUACUAAUAGUGUUGUAAUAAUAAGCAGUAGUUCAGCACAUAAUAAGAAAGUACUUGAGGAGAUUAACAACUCUGGUCCUAGCCCUGGAGAAGGCCAUAAGCAACAACUACCAGAUGGCUAUCAUCAUUAAUAUUCCAUCCAUCAUUUUAAUCAAGAAAAAACAUGUUCUCUCUAUUUCAUAUGAAUUUAAAUAUUAUAGUGGCUACUUGGUUGUCUGCAUUCUUGUAUAUAUGUAUGUUGUGUGUGUUCUUCAGGGAAUUAAUAUAUCUUGGCUUUAUUGUUUCCAAUGGUCAUUCUUAUAUCCUAAUCUUCUAGUUCUUCCUCAAUGUAAUAUUCGAACAAGCAAUAUAUAAAGUCAUAUAUAUCUACGAUCUUGUUUUUUUUUCCUUCAAUUUUUACAUAUAUUAAUUAUCAUGUUGGCAUACUAUAUAUAUGCUUACUUUUUCUUUUAAGUGUUUUGGCAAAGUGCCUUAAGAAAAAGAUUUGUCUAUCAUGUGUAAUAAUUGCACAUGUUAAAAGAACUAAAAGAUAUUUUAUUAUAGAAAAAGUGGGGUAAGAGUCUAAGAGAUUCAUAUAUUAGUUAUGUGCAAAAUAUAAAUAUGAACUAUUGCGUGAGUUUACAUGUCCCAGUCUUCCUUCAAAAAAAAAAAGAAAAACUACGGCCUAGUCAAUUUAUCUUUAAUGCCCUCUUUUUCUUUUUGAAAACAGAGGCUCAAAGCUUUUCAUCAAUAUGUAUUUUUGAAAUAAUUUUUAUAUGUAUUUGAUGAGUGUGUCUAAAUGAUAUUGUGACUAUAUAUAAGUAUUUCUCUUAAUUAUAUUAGAGGGUAUAAUUAGCAAAAGAAUAACUAAUAUCACAUUAAUAACUGAAAAAUCAUGAACAUAAAAUUUUAAUUUUUUUAACAAGAUAUGAAUCAAAUAUGAAUUUUUAAGAACCAAAAACAAAAAAAAAUUAUACUUAAUUCAUUUUUUUUUUUUUUUAUAGUUUGUCAUAAUAUUCUACCAAUUUUUGGAAAAUUUUAUUAAAAAAUAUUAUGGCUAGAGCUGGGUUGGCUAAAAAGUAAAGAGCAAAAGUGAUGAUGAAUUUUUGGAAUUUUUUCACCGUCCGGCGACCCCGGGCAUUUGCCCGGGUUCAAUCGGUACUUUCUUUAUAUAUGACACAACCAAUAGCCCAUUAACCCACUUAAAACAAAAGAAAUUUUUUAGCAAAAUCUAAAAAUUCUCACACGCAAAGAGGUUUCGGAAAAGAUAUUUACCUUCUAAUUUUAUUUAACACACUAUUGAUAGGUUCAUCUCUCUUAUUUUAAAGGGUUAAUUGUUUAAAUUGACCAUGUAAUAUACACUAUGUCUGAAAAAUGACCCUGUAAAAUACAAAACAUAUGUUGUCAAAAAAAAAAAAAUACAAAACAUAUAUUUUUUCACGAUUUUUUCCAUACAUGUUUAGCACGUUAAAAUAUAGUUUUACACUAAAAAUAAAAUUUUUUUGACCAGGGAAAAAUUAAUUAUGAAUUUUUAUUCCCCCAUAAUUAUGAAUUUCUUAAACAAUUUAUAAUUAAUUUGUAUCUCAUUUAAAAACUACAAAAUUUCAUUGUUAAGGUUCUUAUCAUGUUCUCGUCAUGCCUAUAAAAUUAGGGAACUAAAUUUGACCUAUGAGUAUACGUUUACUCGGAACAAAAUUUCAAUUUACAGAUGUCUCUGCAAAUAAUGAGCUCAAAAUUCGAUUUAUAGGUCGAGAUUUCCGUUGUUUUGUUUUUUGAUUUUUUGACACUUUAAAAAUUCAUAAUUAAUUUGUUGUUUGUCGAAAAUUUAUAAUUUUUUUUUUGUGUAAAGCCAUAUUUUAAUGUUCUUAACACGCCUCUAAGAAAUCAUGAAAAAAUUCAAUCUCUUGGUUGCUUUUUUAGACUUCGCGUAUAUUACAGGGUCAAAAUAUGUGUUAUUUAAUUACAGGGUUAAUUUUCAGACUUUACGUAUAUUACAAGGUCAAUUUCAAUAAGUAACCCUAUAAUGAUGAACUUCUUUUAUUUUGAUUUAUGAUUGUUUAUAUAUUAUGUUACAUGUGAAUUUGCGAUAAAUUUUUUACCCAAAUUCUAUAAAAUUCCUAACUCCGCCAUUGUGUUGAAACACAGACUAUUUUUAUGAGAGUGCAUAUCCUUUAAAUUAAUCCAUUCACAAAUGGUUAUUUAAAAAUAAAAUGGAAUUCUCUCUCUCUUUCCCCCCUUCCCCAUUCCUCUUUAUUUUGCUAAGGCUGAAAUUCCAUUUUGUUUUUGUUUGUAUGCUAUAGUACAUUGCUCAAAUCACUAGUUUUAGCGCAAGUUGUUGAUGCACAUAGUAUGUUUCUCCUCAAAAAAUUGUUUUAAGUGUAUAGGUUAUACUAGAGCAUAUAUAUACAUCUUGUUUGAUUGUUCUUUUUUCAUAAGGGGGAAUAUUAUAAAGUGAAAUACGUAAUUUAAGUCAUGUUAGAAAGUCAGGGUUUUAUUUGAAUUUAAAAUUACUCUUAUUGUUGUGCAUGAAAUAUAUGUUAAAUAAUAUUUUUUGUUGUGCAAUAUAUAUAUAUAUAUUUUAUGAACUGACCAAAGGCUCAAGCUCAGCACACAUAUAAUCCUCUUGUUCCCCCUCAAAGACUAGAAUUUGGAUUCGCAUCAUUACUCAAAAGGCUCUGUGCAACACCUAUAAGAGACACUCUUUACUCUCUUUUACUGAUCCAUUAGAGCUUCGUAACCCUGACCCAACUCCCAUCUAACAUCUUGAUCAUGUUUGCAAGUACUUGUGAAAUGAAUAUUGAAAACUAUAUAUAUGCUAUAUUAUUUGUAUUUUUGUGGUAUUCCCCGUAUGCUCAAUUAUCUGCUAAAGAUGGCAAACCUUGUACUAAAAACUGCAAUCAACAUUCAUCAGUUUAAUUAUACCUCAAAUUGGGGUGAGGUAGGUACAUAUACCUACAAGUCCAAAUGCGUAUAUAUAAGGAUAUAGUGACUUUCUAGUGCACCAAUUGAUCCAGAUUGCAACCUAACAUUCUUUAUUAUAGUACAUACAUGCCACUCAGAUUAUUAUAUAUAUAUCAUCUGAUCAUUCAAGGAAAUUAAUUAACAAAUUAAGAGAGAUGAAUGAGAUUAAAGGGAAAAUGGGGUGUGAUAAUGAUAUUGUAGAGCAUGUGUUCCUUGUAUCGUUCCCGGCGCAAGGACACGUGAACCCUCUAUUGAGGCUGGGGAAGCUGUUGGCCUCAAAAGGUUUGGCAGUGACUUUUUGCACACUAGAAAGCUGGGGCAAAGAGAUGAGAAAAGCUAGAGAUUUAGAAGAAGAGAAGGAAGUUGUGAUAGGAAAAGGAUUUAUUAGAUUUGAAUGGUUUGAAGAUGGUUGGGAUGAGGAUGAACCAAAACGGCUUGACUUGGAUGUGUAUUUGCCACAACUAGAGAUGGUUGGGAAACAAGUCCUCCCUACCAUAAUCUCCCAACAAAAUCCACCUGUCUCAUGUUUGAUUAACAAUCCUUUCAUUCCAUGGGUUUCUGAUGUUGCUCAAUCCCUUUCCCUCCCUUCUGCUUUGCUUUGGAUUCAAUCAUGUGCUUCCUUCUCUACUUACUAUCAUUACUAUCAUAAAUUAGUUUCUUUCCCUUCUCAAUCCCAUCCCCAUAUUCAUGUUCAGCUGCCAUGUAUGCCUCUGUUGAAUUAUGAUCAAGUCCCUAGCUUCUUGUAUCCCACCACUCCCUAUCCA